GGUACCUCCGCGGGUGCUCCUUCUAGUCCCAGCAUUGUUAGGCGCCGCACUUGGGAAGUCUUGGUUUCCCGUUGUACCGUAAGCACCCCCUGUAUCUCCGCCAAACCCCACACUGCUGAGGUCAUCUUGCCUGCCUGUAUCAUACCCACUACCUGCGGUGGGGUACCCACGGUUGUCAUGUCCACCGGUACCGCCAUAGCCACCAGUAUCCCCUCUGUUGUACCCAGCUGUGGUGUAGCCAGUACCACCAAUACCACCACCACCAGCAUGGCCAGCCGUGGCGUUAUGAUGGCGGGCCUCUUGUUUCCUCAGCUCUGCAUCUUCUUGUCUCUCUUCUUUCCUUUCCCUCGCCAUCUCUUUCUCAUUAGGGUCCCUUGUCUUCAUUUGGUCCACCUAAACACAUCAUCCAUUUCAAUAAAUUCUCAAAAUACAUAUCAACAAAUAUAAUGCCUUUAGUUGAAAGGGUAACAAAGAUAUUAACCUUUUCCUGCAUGGAGGCCUUGGCCUUCUCCAUGCCGGCCUUAGCAGAGGCAGCAGCAUCCUUCAUUGACUGCAUCUUCAAUAUUUAGUGAAAGGGUUUUUAGGGUAUAUUUGCUUGCUGAUGAAGUUGAUGCUCGAACUCCAAAAUUCUUGCCAUUAAAUAGGACCCAAAUGAUAGUUGCUCAGCUGCCACGUAUAAAAGUAAAUCUGACACGUAUGCUCCUUGGAUCAUUGAACUGCUUACACGUUUCAGCCAUAUGGCAAACAUGUAAGGCUUAGGAUGUUUGUUUAAGUAUUUUAAUCAAUUAGAGACAGGUAAAUCCAAGACAAGAUAAGAUAAGGUGGCGACAAGAAGCCGGUAUGGCUGCUGUCGGCUAUGGAUUGUUCACCGCAUCCACGCAGAGCUUUGACAUUUAGAAAUACGUUUUACUAUUUUUAGAAUAAAUAUAAACUUUCGGGUUAAUUAGAUGAAAAAGGUUUAUUUAAAAGUUAAUUAUGGAUUUAGAUUUUUUUGUCAAAUUUAGAAAAAUAAGUCGAUUUUGGGGAAAGAAACAUAAAAUAUGUCUAGUAGGAAACGUUUUUUGUUUCUAAAAUUUUUUUUUUUUUUGUGUUGAGUGUUGGAAAUUUGAGGAGAAAGAUUUAUUUGUGUUUGUGUUUGAGGUAGGCAUUAUGAUAAUUUUAAGGUAUGUUUGAGUUCACGGUAAUGCAAUGACGCUCGAAGACCCACACAUUUCAUCUACCGUGUGCAGAUAAAACCAUCACCUUAGAAGCUCAUCACAUUUCAACUCAGGCUCCUAGUUCAUGAUGACUAUACAGUCACAGGUUGAAGUAUAGCUAGGGCUCUCAGUUGACGGUGGUUAAACGAUCACAGGUUGAAGUAUAACUCAGGCCUAAGUUGACGGUAGUUAUGUGGUCAUGGGUUCAAAUUUCAUGAUAUCUAAAGAGGAUGCUUUAUAAAUCUCAUAUAUAAGUUUGAGACCAUCAUAGGGAAAAACAAAGAGAUUUUCCAGUAUAAUCAACUUAUUAUUUUUCUUCAUCCCCACCAAAGGUAGUAUCUUUAACCUUAUUGUCCAUAACCUGUGACAGUGUUGGGCGCAAGAAGACUUUCAGGGAGAGGAAUGAUUGUGACGGUGGAGAAAAAGCUGAAACUCGAGUUGUAACAGCAACUGCCGCCUCGACUCCCGUUUCAAACAAUGAUGUCUACUUUGAUGGAGAUGGAGAAAAAGAAUAAGUUGAUUAUACUGGAAAGCCCCCUUUUUCCCCGAUGAUUAUGAUCUCAAACUUAUGUAUGAGGUUUAUAAAACAUUCUUUUCCGAUGGCAUGAAACUUGAACCCGUGACCGCAUAACCAUGGUCACCUGGAGCCCUAGUUAUACUUGAAUCUGUGAUUGUAUAAGUAUAACCACUGUCAAUUGAGAGCCUGAGUUGCAAUGCAAUAUCUUCUAAGGUAAUGGUUCUAUUGUAAUGGCCCAAAUUCAAAGUUAUCGGAAUAGUGGUUUCGUAACCACAAAUCCGAUUUAAAGAUAAAUUUAUUUUAAUAUUUUUGCAUGAAUAUUUAUAUGAUAGGAAAAUCAUAUGAAAAUAUCGAUAGAAAAAUUUUACCGAUUUAGUGGUUAGUUAGAAAAAGAAAUUAUUGAAGAAAUUGGGUAAAAAUAAGGUAUCGAGACUUUGAUCUCGUAAAACUGAGUCAAAAAUAAUUUUAUAAAUAAUUAUGAAAUAUUAGUAAUAUGGUAUAAAAAUUUCGUUAGAAAAUUUUAAUGUUUGGAUAGUCAAUUACGUAAAAAGGACUAAAUUGAAAAGGUGUAAAAGUUACUAGAAGGAUUAAAUAGCCCAAUUGUUAAAUGAGGAGGGACAUAAAUUGAAAUAAUCCCAAAAGAAGAUAUUUUGGGCGGCAUACGUUGAGAAAAAUCAGGAGAAUUGAAGAAUUAAGGGUAAAAUUGGAAUAUUGCAAAAAUUGCUUUAAAAGUUAGGACUAAAGUGGAAUAUCUAGAAUUCUCUUCAUAUUUUCUGCAUUCUCAUCAGCCAAAAACGUCCCAAGGGUUUCUUCAAGCUGGUUUUUCAUAAUUUUUGCACCAAGUGAGUUAAUGCUUGCCUUUUUCUUGUAAUCUUUGUGUUUCUAAGACUUUUACAACUAGGUCCUAUUACUAAAUUCAUUAGCUUUUGAUUUUAUGAAUGAAAUGGAAAGUUGCUAUGAAUAUGUGCUGGAAUUUUAUGAUGAAAUAGGAUGAAAUUGAAGCUUUAAUUUGUUUAUGAGAUGAUUUUAUUAGGUGAUUUCAAUAGAAAUUGAUUUGUAGGACCUAAUUGUGAAAAAGUUUGGAAUUAAAGUCUAAUGCUAAAAUUAUGAUUUCCAAAGGCUAUAAAGUAGUUUUAAGUGAUGGAAUAAUGUGUUAAUUUAUGAAAAAUCAGCUCAAUUGAGAGGUUAAUUGAGCAAGGAUGAAAUUAUCAUUUAUUGAAAGUUUAGGGAAAAAUGGUAAUUAACCUCAUGCACUAAAACAGUUUGGACAGCAGCAGUAGGUUAACUGUGAAAAAUCACCAAAAAUUGUAGAAAUUGAAUUAGAGAAUGAAUAAAAUAUGAAAUUAAAUCUUAUUAAGUCUAGUUUCUUAUAAAAGAAAUGGUGUAAGCAAUGGAAUUGUAAAUCAUGAGAUAUUAGGUUUUGUGAGACAAGGUCAGAAUGAAUUCGGGUUCCCCUGUUCUGACUUUGGAAAAAUCAUUAAAAAUUGUACAAAAAUUAUUAUGAGUUAUAAUUUAUAUGGUUAGAAUACUUAAUGAGUAUAUUUUCAGAAGAAACAAACAGAAACAUCAUCCGAAUUCUGUACAAUGAGAUAAUUAAUUUUUAGUGAAGAGGGGUCGGAACUGUCAACAAGUGAAACAGGGGAAACUUUAAAGAAUAAACUGUACUUAUUGACUAGGCCAAAAAUUCUGAAAAUUUUAUGGUAAUAAGAUAUGUGAGUCUAGUAUAAGGGAAAAGAGGAUCUUAAUUUGGAGUUCUGUAGCUCAAGAUAUAAAAAAUUUAGUGANNNNNNNNNNNNNNNNNNNNNNNNNNNNNNNNNNNNNNNNNNNNNNNNNNNNNNNNNNNNNNNNNNNNNNNNNNNNNNNNNNNNNNNNNNNNNNNNNNNNCAUGAAAUGUAUUAGAUUAAUGAUUAAAUUUAUUUAUUUAGAUCUGGAAAAUUCAAAUACGAAGCUAGAUCGAGGAAAAGAAAAUUUUCGGGAUUAGUAGAUUUUUAUUUACGAACAAGUAUCGAGGUAAGUUCGUGUAACUUGAAUUAUAUUCUUAAAUGCUUGAAAUGUUUGUUAUUGUUGUGAAUAUGAGUUGUAUGUUUAUUGUAUGAUAAUUGAUGAAGUAUUGAUAUUCUUGAUGAAAAGAGAAAAUAAAUCCCAGUUGAAUGAAAGGAAAAUUCGAUAGAUCUUUGAAAAGGAAUUGACGGUAAAAAGGAUCUAGCCCGGACGGGUGAUCCUAUCCUGAUAUAGCCCUCCUGAAGAAUAUGUGGAAAAUGGAUUUAGCCCAGACGGGUAAUCCGAAUUAGGGUCUGAAUUUAGCCUGGACUGGUAAUUCAGAUCCAAGCUCGUUAGAGUAAUUGUCAUUGCAGGGGAUUUAGCCUGGACUGGUAAUCCCGACAAUACUCUGUGAGUUUAUAUUACAGGGGAUUUAGCCUGGACUGGUAAUCCCGCUGUAAGGAUGAGGUUCGCUGGAGUGUGCUAUCUGAAAUGGAAAUGUGCGCACAUAAAUAUGAAUUGACGGACCCGAAAUUGAACACUAAAGUGUACCUCUGAAAAUCCAUCGAAAUUCCAAGUAGUUCAACGGGGUAAAUAUGGAAAAAUGACAAGGAAAUGGAAAUCAUGGUAUUGAUGAGCUCAUCAAUCAUGGUAUAAAUUAUUGAUACAUGGAAAUUAUUGGACUAAUUUGAAUGUUAAGUUUGUGCAUGAUAGGGGAAUAAUGUAUGGAAUGGGUGUAUGAAUGUUUAUUACAUUGUAUGGAAAAUAUUAGGUAAGUAUAAUUCUUGUUACAUGAGCUUACUAAGCACAAAGUACUUAUCCUGUUUCUUUUUCCCCUGUUUUGUAGUGUUAAGAGCUCGGAGGUCGGAUUUGGUCGGAGACGCAUCACACUAUCAACCUCAAGAUCUCGGUACAUAAAGAAACUUAUUUUGGAAAUCAAUGGCAUGUAUAAGCUAGUAAAGUAGAUGUUAAUGUGGAAUGAAUGUAUAGUUAGUCAUUGGUAUGGCUACCAAAUUUUGAUUUUGGCAUGUGAUGAGAUUAUCUUAUGAAUACAAUAAAUCUAUCUUGAAAAUAUGUUGAAAUGGAUUGGUUAUGUUGGCUUGGUCUCGGUUUAAAAUUUGCAGGGAGGAUUAGAUAUUUAUAAAGGGGUUAUAUUGAGUUUAAAAAAAAAUCAGUAAAAUCUGGUAAUACCUCGUAUCCUAUUCCGGCGACAGAUACGGGUAAGGGGUGUUACAUCUAUCCCCACAAGACAAAUGAAAUAUGUAGAUCUCCAAGUGUCAUCGCAUCACCGUGAACUCAAACAUACCUUAAAACUAUCACAAUGUCUCCUUCAAACACAAACAGAGUUUUCUUUCCAAAUCUCCAACACCUAGCACACAAAGAAAAAAUAUUUGGAAGGAAGAAAACGCUUAUUGCAGGAUGCAUUUUCUUUUUCUUUCUCCAAAAUCAGCCUAUAUCUCUAAAUUUGAGAAAAAAUGACCUAAAUCCUUAAUUAAUUUUAAAAAAUACUCUUUCUAUAAUAUACAAAUACAUAUAUAUUGGAUAUAUGUGUAUAGAUAUAAAUCUUUUAGCACUUAGAAUAUAUUAAAACUUGACAAUGAAUAUGGGUUUCAUUUAGAAGUGUUUAUAGGUCUAAUUUUUUUAAAUAAAAUCAAAAUGCAUUAAAAAGAGGAUAUGUGGUACACUAAUCAAAGGUCUGAAAACACCAGUUGUUUAAUAGCUAUCAAGAGAGUAUUGAUAACCGAGGCGGUGCCUCGAGUUUGCCUAACAGUAAAAGAAAAAUAAAAGAAAUUGAAAUGCCUCUGUUAAAGCCCUAAGCAAAAAAAAAACUAAAGGAAGCCUAAAUCCUAUCGUCAGUCAAAAUCACAUUUCCUCUUCUUGCAUCUAUAGUUGUUGUAGUGGAGUAUACUGGUUGUGCCUUUUCAUCACUGUAAAAAAUCUUAUUGAAGCGCUCUACCAGAUUUCUCCUAAAUCUGAGUUCAUCAGAGGGUGCUGAGGACAGACGUUUUUGUGUUGCAUCCAUGGACUCAGACAAAAAUGACCUAUUUUUACAGAUUCUAGAGUCUUAUUUGGUUGUUGACGAUGAUAGGUUCAAUCUCCGUUGUACUUCUUCAAUCCAAUAUAAUGGGUUAUCCAGGUUGAAUCCUCGAGUUGCAAUGGCAUGCGCUGCUUCAUUUUUCUUUCGAGGGGUAUAUUCAAAGGAUAAGGUAACAAAACUGAGUCUUUUUCUUUAGAUUUCAUUAAUGAUGUUGCCAAUCACUGAUCUAUCCACCGAAUCUGACUUAAGCUUUUUAAUGACUAUAAGGGCAUCACCUUCAAAAACUAGAUCUUUAAAGCCCAUUUCUUCCCCAAAUAUGGCAGCCUGUAGAUACACAUUCGCUUCAGCAGUGGUCAGAUCCCCUGUUCUUCCAAAUGGGCAAGUACAUGCUCCCAUUACAAAUCCUUCAUGAUUUCUUAUAAUAACUCCCGCAGUUGCUGUCAUGUCUUGUUGUGAAAACGCUGCUUCAAAAUUGGCUUUGACCUGUUCUUCCUUGAGGGGUAUCCAAAAUACCUCUCUUGGAUUGAUUUUGGUUUCUGUUGAGGAGUUUACUUGCUCUAACUCUCGCAAAUAAGCUCUAAUAAAAUUAGCAACCUCUUGUACCCUUUUUCUUUUUUCCUUCGUGGUAAAUUCUUUUUCUAUUAUGCCAUAUUGCCCAAAUAGAAAUUUAUAUGGUCGCACAUACUUUAAUAUUAUUCAUGUAGAAGAAAGAGGCUGACCAUUGUUUCCAUGUGUGACUUGCAUUUAUGGGCGAUGUGUCCAACCCAACUUCCUGCAAGACCUGUUUUUUGAAUUCGCAAUCUUGAAAAAGGUGUUCCACUGUUUCUUCUUCAACUGAGUAGACUGGAUAUGCAACAUUGUUCCUGAGUCUUCGAAGUUUAAGAGUACUGAGCGUCGGAAGAAAAUUGUUGACAACUCUCCACAGAUGUAUUUUUAUUUUACUUGGACUGUGUAUUCGCCUGAUUUGUUCCCUCGCCAUAUUAGAACAUCCGGCUGCGUAUUCACCUGAUUUGUUCCCUCGCCAUAUUAGAACAUCCAGCUGCGUCCUGCUUACCAAAGGAAUAGACAAAACUACCUCCGCUUGAUCCCUUUCGAGUAAGUUCCAGAUUGCCUCGUAGUUCCAUGAAAACGAGUCUUUAUUGAUUAGAUCUGUUACUUUUGAACAGUUGAUAUUUAUGUGUUGAUGCUUUACUCUUCCAUCAUCAGGGUGGUGUAACAGCCCAAUAUUCAAUGGUGUCAAAAAUAGUGGUUCGAGACCACUAAGUCUGAAAAGUGAACUUGUAAAUUUUAUUAUAUAGUGUUUAUGACUUGAUUGUAAAUUUAGAAAGGCUUAUGAAUUAGUGAAUUAUGCUUUAGACAUAUUUGUUAGAUUAAUUGGUUUUAAAAACGAGGUAUCGGUACCUCGAUUAUAUAAACCGAGCAACCCAUAUUUUUAUAAAUAUUUACAGAGUGUCAUUAAGGUAGUAUUAAAGUUUCGUUAGAAAAUUUUAUCGUUUCGAUAGUUAAUUAAUUAAACUAAAUUGAAAAAGGUACAAAACUUGCUAAAGUGAUUAAAUAGCAUAAAUGGUAAACAAAGGAGGACUUAAGGAUAAAUUAUGCCUAAAAUAAAGGCAUGAGGCGGCAUAAGCAGAAAAGAAAACAAAAAUCAUGUGAUUAAAGGGCAAAAUUGUAAUUUUUGUGAAAUUAACUUAAAUAAAUUGAAUUCUAAACUUUUCGAGGCUAUUCUUCUUCUAAUUUUCAGUCCAAAAAUGCCAUUGAAGGUAUUUUAAGCUGGUUUUUCAUAUUUUUACAUCAUGUGAGUUCAAUUCUUGCUCUUUUCUUGUAAUUUUUAUGUUUUUAAGACUUUUACAAUUAGGUCCAACUAUCUAAUUCAUUAGUUUUUAAUUCUAUGGGUAAUUUUGAAAGUUACCAUUGAUGAGUUCUGGAUGUUUAUGAUGAAUUAACAUGGAUUUGAAGUUUUAAUUUUGUUAUAUGAAGAUUUUAUCAAGUAAUUUUAGUAGAAAUUGAUUUUAGAACCAAAUUCUGAAAAAGAUUAAAUCUUAGGGUUUGGUAUUAAAGUCCAUUUAUUAAGGACUGUGUAAUAGCUUAUACUAUUUAGAUAAAGUGUUAAUUGAGAAAAAUUAUCUCAUUUGAUGAGUUAAUUGGUGAGGGACUAAAUUGCAAAAAUAGUAAAAGUUAGGGUAAUUGUGAAAUUUAGAAAUUUGAGGGGAAUAAACUGUGAAGUGGACUGAAAUUGAAAUAUAUGCUAAUGAAUGAAAAAUUUUAUAUUCUAGAUCAAGAGCUCAUAGAUCAACGAGAAAAAGGGAAAUUAGUCGAUUAGUCUUUAAACUAUUACCAAUUUUACAAUCCAACCCAGGUAAGUUCAUAUGGUUAAACUUUCAUGAUUAUUUGUUAAUUUAAGAAUGGUAUAAUAUAUUUAUUCAUAUUUUUUUGUUGAAAUUAAGAUUAUUAUAAAAGUAUAAAAAUUGAAUUGAAUGUUUAAAACGAGUAGAACGCAGGAUUGAGUACGAUCGUUCCCUGGAAAAGAAUGAAUUGACGGAUAAGACCAUGGUUGGACCAUGGCAAUGUUUAAAUGUAAGACCAUAGCUGAGCUUUGGCAUUUUAAUGAACAGACCAUAACUGAGUUAUGGCACAUUGAACGUAAGACCAUGGUUGGACCAUGACAAUAUAGAUACAUGUGUAAGACCAUAGCUGGGCUAUGGCAUUCUGAUGAUAAGACCAUAACUGGGUUGUGGCACUACAAAUGUAAGACCAUGGCAGAGCCAUGACAAUGCAUGUAAUACCCCGAAAAUCUUUACAGUAAGAUAUUAUCUUUGAUAUAAUAAAAUAAGAAAAAUAAAGCGUUAAAAAGGGGAAAUUUUGGAGUUAUGUCAACAUUGGGUCGUUUAUUAUGACAUAUUAGUUCAAGAAAGGAUUAAAUCGUAAAAGUGAGAAAAGUUUUGUUGCCCAAGAGUAAAUACUCAAAAAUUAAGAGGUUAAAGUGUAAAUAUGAAAAGUUGAAGGACCAAUGGUGUAAAUAUUUUAAGGGUGGAAUGAUCUAGAAACUAAGAAAAAUGGAUGGAUUAGGACCAAAUUGAAAAAGGUGAAUAAGUUUGAGGGACUAAAUCACAAUUUUACCAAAUUAAGUGAUGACUCAAGAUGGAAUUUUAAAAGAUCAUGAAGGGCAAAAUGGUCAAUUAGAAGAGAGAGAAAUCUAGAAGAUAAUGAUGAUGUUGGAGAUAUUUUAGAUUAAAUAAAUAAAUAAAUAUUAGUUUAUUAAUAUUUUGAUUUGAUUUUUAAAUGAUAUGUUAUUAUUUUAUUAUUUUAAUAUUUAGUAUAUAUAUAUGUGGAAAGAAAGAUGAGAAGGAUAAAAAAAAAAACCCACCAUCUUUUCCAUGCAAUUCACGUUAGAAGAGAAGAGAAGAAAGAAAGUUUUACUUUCUUUACAAUUUAGUCCUUCCACCAAAAAUUCAUCAUUUUUAUCUAGAAAUCAAAAGAAUUUUCAUAUCCAUCAAGAGAGAAAGAUGACAAGGAGACUAUGGGGAGCUAGAAUAUCAAGUUAGAUUCAAGAAAUAGAAGCUGGAGGAGAGAGAAAAUCAAGUUAAAGAUUGAAAUCAAUAUGACAAGGUAAGUACAUCAAGAUUUUAAUAUAUUUUUAAGUUUGAUAUUAUUGAAAAAGCAUGGAAAUGAUGUUAAUGUAAAGUUUUUGUAUAUAUGGUCCUAUGUUCUUGAUAUGUUAGUGAAGAGAAAAUAAGAGAAAGUGAUGAGAAAUAGUGUAGAGAAAGAAAAUAAGGGUGUUAUAAACAUGGUAAUAAACAUCUUGCACUAAAAUGGUUUUGGACAGUAACAGUGGGCUCAUUUUGAAAAAUCACCAUAAAUUAUGAAAAUCUAAUUAGAGUAUGAAUAAAAUAUGGAAUUAAAUCUUAUUGAGUCUAGUUUCUCAUAAAAGAAACGGUGUAAGUAAUGGAAUUGUAAAUUAUGAGAUAUAAUAAAUUUUGUGAGACAAUGUUAGAAUGAAUUCGGGUUCCCCUGUUCUGACUUGGAAAAAUCAUUAAAAAUUGUACAAAAAUAUUUAUGGGUUACAAUUUAUAUUUUUAAAAUCCUUAAUGAGUCUAUUUUCAAUAGAAACAAAUGGGGACAUCAUCUGAAUUCUGAACAAAGAUAUAAUUAAUUUUUAGUGAAGAAGGGUCGGAAUUGUCAGACAGCAGAACAAAGGUGAUUUUAAAGAAUAAACUGUACUUAUUGGAUGAACCAAAAAAUUCUGAAAAUUUUAUGGUAAGAAGGUAUGUGAGUCUAGUUUCAGUUAUAAUUAUAGGAUCCUAAUUUUGAGUUCUGUAGCUCAAGAUAAAAAUAAUUUAGUGGCUAUGACUCAAAUGGACAGCUUUGAAUAAAUUUACAAGUAAAUUGUGAAAUCAUAGAUAAUGUUACUUAUAAGCAUGUAUUAUAAAUUAAGGAUGUGGAAUGGAGAGGAGGAGGAGGAAAAUAUAUAUAUGAAUAUUCAGUUAGCAUGGAUAACUUGCACGUUUUAGACUCAGGGACUAAAUUGAAUAAAAGUAAAACUUUAAGGGUAAAUUUGUAAAAAUGUCAAAAAGUGACCAAAUUGCAUGAAAUGAAUUGUUUUAUUAUUUAAAUUAGUAAAUGGAAUGAAAUAUUAAUUUAGAUCAAGAUUGGGUGAAAAUUUGAGAAAAAUAGAAAACUUCCAAAAUAUCCCUGAAUUUUGGUAUUUCUGCAAUUUAGUCUGGUAAGCUCGAAUGAGUUAUAUUCUGUAAUAAUUUUAAUUGAAGUGAAUGCUAUUUGGUAAUGAAAAUUAUAUAUAUGUGUGUAUUAUUAUUGGAAUUAAAUUAUUAUUGGUAAUAUGUAUAAUUAUUUGAUACAUUUAGCUGAUUAUCGGAAGUUAAAUUGAGUUGGAAGCUUGUUGGAGAUAUAUCACAGUAUCCAUUGGUUCUAUCGGUAAUUUUGGAUGAUUUGAUUCUGGUUAUAAUGGCAUGUAUAAGUUAAAUUGGUUAACGUUAGCUCAUUAAUGUAUUGAUUUUGAUUGGUUAUAAAUAUGAAUGCUAGAUAAAAAUGAAAUGUCUGAAAAUUAAUUAGUAAACUCCGGUAAUGCCUCGUACCCUAUUUUGGUGUCGAAUACGGGUAAGGGGUGUUACAAUGCAUGUUAAAACCAUAGUUGGACUAUGGCACAAAAAGAACAAUGUACUCAUAUCCGUAAGUCGUUCUUCGAUUUAAUAAGAAAUGGUAAGAGACUUAUGUGAUUGAAUUGAAAGAUUUAUAGAUUAUUAUUGAUAUUGAUAUGAAGGAAGUGUGUUUAUUGAUUAUAUUGUAUUUGACAAGGAAAAAUGUAUGAUUUAUUUACAAUUUAAUUUAUUUUAUUAUAUUAAGUUCGGUAAGAUCAAUGUUUAACCUAUUGAACUUACUAAGCUUCAUUAAGCUUACUCGUGUUGUUUAAUGUUCAUGUAGAUUAACGUGUAGUCGAAAGAUCGGAUCAACACAUCAAGCUACACUAUCUAGUUUAUUCCGGUAGUUUUUGCAAUGUAAAUUUUGGUUUAUAUGACAUGUAUGGGGUUGGUUUAGUAAUGAAAUGGUUUGAAUUGUAGUUGUGAAUAUUAAAUGUUUGUAUGUAUGUAAUUAGUAGUAGAAUUUGAUAAAUCAAUGAAAUGAAUUAAAUAGGUAGGUAUAAGUAAAUGAAAUAUUUGUGAUGUUAUGUGAUGUUGAGAAUAUGUUUUAACUUGUAUUGAUUGCUUGGUUGGGAUAUAUUGGUGUAUGUGAAUGUUGAGUACAGGUUAAUGUCAAAAAGGGUGAGAAAAAUGGCCUUAAAAUGACCAAUUUUUGUUCACACGGGCAGAUACUCGGGCAUGUGACCCCUGCUUCUAAGAAAAUUUUUAAAAUUUUGGGAAAAAUUCCCUGAGUAGCCGGUUUAGUCUCGAUUCAUUUCUAAGGUGAAUAUUGGGCUUCGAAGGCCAUCUGAGGGACAAUAUGAGUGUUAUAUGAUUGACUCUUAAUAUGUGUAACGGAAAUGUCCGUAUUUAAAUCGUAAAGUUUGGUAAUGCUCUAUAACCCCGUUCCGGUAACGAAUAAUGGUUAGGGGUGUUAUAGGUGGGUAACCAAGAGUCAUUCCAGAUGUUUGUUGAUUCACCAUUCCCUAUCAUUCAACCUGUUCCUUCUUCAAGUAAGCUUCGUGUGUUCCAAAUGCUGCACCAGGUAAAGGAGGGGUAAUCUCCUAACCUUGCAUUUAAAAACUUAUCACGCAGAUAGUAUUUUAAUUUCAUAACGUCCGUAAACAAAUAGUUAGGCUGGGUGAUUAGUCUUCAUCCCUGUUUAGCCAACAGGGUCGUAUUAAACAUUGUUAAAUCCCUAAACCCCAUACCUCCAAAUGCUUCUGGACUACACAUCGCAGACCAACUACACCAAUGAAUGCCUUUAUUAGUUUUUAAAUUGCGCCACUAAAAUUUAUUCAUCAGAUUUUCUAAUUCUUUACAAAGCAAUACUGGUAACUUAAAACACUGCAUGGCGUAAAUCGGAAGUGCUUGUAAAAUUGAUUUAAUAAAAACUUCUUUACCACCAAAGGACAAAUUAUAGAUACUCCAAUUCUUCGAUUUUUGGAUGAUUCUUUCUUUUAGUUCUAGGAACACACCUUUCUUUCUCCGCCCUACCAUUGUUGGUAAACCCAUAUAUUUUUCUAGAUUAUUUGAAAUUUGGACCCCCAAAACUCCCCCUAUCUGCCCUUUAAUGUUGUCUUGUACAUUUUUGCUGAAGUAGAUCAAUGACUUCUCGAAAUUCACUAGUUGUCCAAAAAUACUUUCGUAUUUAUUAACUACUGCCUUUAUUGACAUUGCGGCUUCCAUUGUUACUUUCCCAAAUAAAAUAUUGUCAUCAGCAAAGAAAAGAUGGGUGAUAGUUAGCUCUCCUCUACCCACUUUAGCCCCUUCAAUUUGUCUUUCCCUUUUAACUUUGUUUAUGAGCUUAGAGAAGCCUUCUGCACAUAUGAUAAAUAAGUAUGGGCUCAAUGGAUCACCUAGUCUGAUUCCUCUUGUUGGCUUAAAUUCUGCCCCUUGAAUCCCAUUAAGUACUACCGAGUAUGACACUGUUCAUACGCACCUCAUUAUGAUAUCAAUCCACAUAUUACAAAAGCCUAGCAUUUUCAUCACGUUUUCAAGGUAAUUCUAUUCCGCUCUAUCAUAGGCUUUGCUCAUGUCCAAUUUUAAAGCAAAAUAUCCUGCACCUCCUCUUUUCUUUUCUUUUCUUUUUUAAAGGAAUGUAAUAAUUCAUAAGCUAUCAUUAUGUUAUUAGUUAUUUGUCUUCCUGGGACAAAAGCACCUUGCGUUUCUUCAAUACAUAGUGUAGCACCCUUCGAAAUCUGUUAACCACUACUUUUGAGAUCAAUUUGUAUAUGACAUUACAAAGACUUAUGGGUCUGAAUUGUCCCAAAUUUGUAAUGGUUUGUACCUUUGGGAUAAACACAAUAUUGGUUUUGUUAACUUCCUCAAAAUUCAUCCCAUUAUUCAGUACUUGAAAGCAAUAAUUAACAACAUCUUUUCCUAUAAUAUGCCAGAAUUUUUGGUAGAAGAACGCUGGGCAUCCAUAUUUUCCUGAUGCUUUGAGAGGUGCCAUACUUUUUAAUGCUUCCACAACCUCUUCUUCCUUAAAUUCUCUAAUGAGUUCCUCAUUUAGAGAUUCUGUAAUACACGGUUGGACUUUGCUUCUAAGCCUUUCACAGCUUUGUAGUGGAUUGGAAGAGAAUAGAUAUCGAAAAAAAUUGGUUGCAAGUUUAUUAAUGACGUUGUCACCCUCCACCCAUCCACCCCUUCCAUCCUCCAAAGUCUUUAUUGUAUUUCUCUUUUUGUGUUGGGUUACAAAAUUAUGGAAGAAAAUAGUGUUUCGAUCCCCCAUACUUAACCAAUUAGCUCUUGCCCGUUGUUCCUAAUGCAAUUCUUUCUUGUCGGCUUCCAUGUUGAGUGCUAGCUUAACUUCUGUUAAUUCUGCCAAGAUGUCAUCAUCUGGAUCUUCUCUAUUUAAAUUAAUAAGCCGCAAUUUUAAAUCCUCUCUAGUCUUUCACCUGGAUCUACUACUAGAUUUAUCCCAGGUUUUCAAUUUUAAUUUCAGAUCUUCUAAUUUCUUUAGCAAAUCCUUAUCUCCUAAAUCCCAUCCUUGACUGAUUACCUUUUCGAAAUCGUUUUCCAGCACCCAAUUAGCAUUGAAUCUAAACAGGAUUUUACUAUUCUCAAAUCUUCCUAUUCCAUGCGUCACUAUGUUAAUAAUUAUGAGAUAAUGGUCAGAAAUACUAUGACACUUAUCUUGAACUGAGAAAUUCGAGAACCUUUCCCACCAUAGUAGAUUAGCCACCCCCUAUCCAGUCUUUCACGAAUGUUAUUGCUUGGAAGUCUACAUUGUUCCCAUGUAAACCAUUGUCUUGAAAAUCCUAAAUCAUUCAAUUCACAAUCUUCCAAAGCCUCCCUAAAUACCAACAUUUUUCUUUCCUCCCUUAACCUACCCCUUCUUUUUUCAAACGAGAAAAGUAUUUUAUUAAAAUCCCCCAUAACAAGCCAUGGCAACUGGCUGCUUCCUUUUAGUUGUCUAAGGAGGCUCCAUGAAUCUUUCCUUUUCUAUUCAAUUGGCGAGCCAUAAAAACCUGUAAAACGCCAAUAUUAUUCUCCACUAUUUCCCAAAACUUCUAUAUCAAUAUGAGAUUUAGAAUAACUUCUCAAUUUAACAAAUACUCUUUCCUUCCAACUAAGAGAAAGUCCCCCUUUUGAUCCUUCCGCACACACAUCAAUCCCGUUUGCAUAGCCACAUGUUUUUCUUAUUGAUUCCAUUCUUCUUGAAUUGACUUUUGUUUCAAUUAGAAAUAAAAUUUGAGGCUGAAGUUAUUUCAAGCUAUUUUUUAGACGUUUUACUGUUCGUGACUGCCCUAGGCCACGAACAUUCCAACUUAAAAUUUUCAUUGUGACCGGUUGGCCUGCUUAUUAGCGGCCGCCGAUAUAUCUUUACUGAUUGAAGGACUUGAGUGGACAUUUUGAUGCGUUCCUUCUAUUUGUUGAAUCAUCUGUUUUUUCUUUCCUUCAACAGGUCCGAUUGGUAUUUCCUCGAGAACCUCAUUAUCUUCAAUUAUCAUAUUAUGCAUUGCUUCGAUUUCACACCUUCGGUUUGCAGUUUCAUUAACCUUAUUAAUUCUAUAACAUCUUCUACUAAAUUCCCUUUCUUUACCUUUUCCUCUAACAUUAUUAAGUUCCUCUUCUCUUUGAGAUCUCAUCUGUCUCUUCUACGAAUUUCAUCCAGAUCCAAUUCGAAACCUGGGCCUAAAACUUUACCAAACCUGAGCUCAACCCAUAUUUUAAACUAGUCUAAAUUUUUUGCUCAAUCCCAUUUUUUGUAUCAAAUAGUUUUAUUUAAACCCUCCCAAAAUUUAAAUGGAUGUUUGAGUGGACUUUUGAACUUAGAUGAGUAGCUCAACCCAAUACAAAUCUAGCUCCACGGCCAACUAAGGCAAAAUAUUGGCUAGUUAAAUGAAAUAAUUCUAUAUUUAGUUCCUCCUAAAUAUUAAUAAUUUAAUUUAAUUUUUUUAACCAUUUAGCUAAGUUUUCAUAUAAAUUAAUAAUUCAAUUUAAAAUUUUUUUAAUACAAAAUUUUGAAUAAUGCAUUUUUAUCGAGUUUUAUAAUUUCAUAUCGACUCCAUAACAUAAAGAUGAUGACUUCGCCUUUCACUUCAUAAUAGCAAGAGGAUAUUUAAUGGAACUAAAUUAAAUUAAACAAAACAUAUUACGAUACGAUGCAUAAAAUUUGAAUGUUUUUAUGUAUCUACAUCCAUCGUAAUGAUGAUAUUUCUUAAAAGACAAAGUUGAUAUGAGUAUCAAUUUGAUAAAUUUCAUCAAAAUUUUUAAAGAAUAAAUAUUUUGAUCUCUUGAUAUUAGAAUGAAAAUGAUCAGAAAUCGCCAAAGCUUUUGGUCUACUUGCUGCAGUUGGAAACCUAAUGAUUGAUAUUUUUUAUGAUUGAUAUUGACUUUUAAUUAUGUACUCGAAGUACCAAAAGUUCUUAAUUUUGAGAGCAUUUGUACUGUUUUCUAUUAUUAAUUUUUUAUCAACAUUAAAUUUCUUGUUUAAAUAGUAUUCAUCGGAUAGUUAACCAGUCACUCAACAAUCGAAAGCAUUGUUUUAAUGUUAGGAGUUUGUUCUCAAUAUCCUCAAAGAGCUAUAGACUGUUUAUAGAGGGGUAUCUUGUUUGGUGAAGAUACGACACUAGAGAGAAGUGUUAAUAUUGUGCAUACCAUCUAAGACUUCAAAACAACAUACUUGCAAAUAUUAUAAAAUCAAUCAAUAAUUCCUACAGCUAAAUAAAUAUGUAAUAAACAAAAUCAAUAAAUUUUACAUAUCUGGCAUAAUAAAUUUAAAUUAAAACGUCAUUAGCAUUUCCUGUACAUAAUAAAACUGCAUAUCUCGAUCGAUACAUACAAACCAAAUAAUAAGAAAAUCUUAAUUGAUUAAAAGAAUAUUCUAUAAAAUAUAAAUACGAUUUUUUAAAUAACAUUUAAUGAGUCUUUAUAAAUAUUUUAUUAAUCUUUAUAAUAAUUCUAAAUAAGCUAAUCCAGUUUUGGCGGGGGACCAUUCAAGGUUUUCUUCAUUACCUUGUUGAAUCUCUCCCCCUCUAAAGUCUAAACAAAUACACCAACUGUGUCCCCCAUCUAUUCUUUCAAACAUGGAGAAUUUGAUGAUGAAGAAACAAACCAGAAUGUCUCCUUCAACACCACUAUCCAUUCACAAGGAUUCACAAAUAAUAUCAAAGGCAAAGCCCAAGAUACGCAUAAUUCACUUAUUAGCCCCACAGAUCAUUAAGACCGAUGUGGCAAACUUCAGACAACUGGUCCAGACACUUACUGGGAAACCACCUCAAGAAAAGGGUUCCAAAGAUCAGAAAAUGGAGCUGAGAACUGGGUUGCUUGCAGGCUUGGAAGCAAUAGAAAGGGUGAAGGAAGAAGAUGAAGGUAUGUGGGGAGAAUUCAGGUGGUUUCUUGACUGGUUUUGGAGAUUUGGAUGGAUUUAUUCAAGAGCUAACUGAAUUUCCUUUGGACCCUUGUCAUCUCAUGCAUGGAUUUCAUGAACCUCAACUUGCAUAGAUUGAUUCUUUACUUUGUGUGUGCCAAGGGAAGGGGAAGGGAUUGUCUAAGCCAACAAUACUAUUUUAUUUUUUACUGGCUAGUUAACACAAAUGAAUGUCUGGGUCAUUAAUGAAGAUUAUUAUUAUUAUUAUUUAAGAUAGAGUUUUCACCUAAUUUUUAUGAAUCUUUUUGUGUCUCUCUAAGCUUAUUAUAUUUGUGUAAAUACAAGAGAUUAAACUUAAUUUCUGAGAUAAUUUCUUAUUUUUGCGAUGAAAUUUCUUCUUAUAUAUAUUUUUCUUUAUGCCAAUUUUGGAUGUAAUACAACCAGUCUUCUCUUCAUUUUAAUUUAAUUAAUUAAACAGAUAGUUUGCUUCUGUUCAUAUGGAAUGUGCAAUCGCAUUUUGUCUUAACCCGUUACUUUGGGAAUAAAAAACGUGCAAAACCAAACCUGUUGUAUGGUUUUUUUUUCUAUUAAUUGAUAAAUGUCUUGCUUUGCAAGUGUUCAAUUUAAUACAUCAUUUUAUCCUUCAAAGUCUCCUCACAUUAAUAUUGUAAUUAGUGUAACAUAAUAUUUUUUAUUCCAUUGAAUAUAAUUAAAAUAUAUUAAUUUAUUUAAUAAUUUAAAUAUUUUAAUAAAAUUAAAGCAUUUUAAUAUAUACAAUAUAAUUAUAGUUCGUGUAAUUAAUACAAAGCAAUAUUAAAAUAUAGUGCUAAUAAAAAAUCCUAAUAAUUAUUAAAAAAUUUGCAAAAAUUAUAAAAAAUAAUAAUAUAUCUUCACUAUUCAAUUUUUAUUUUUAUUUUCUUUAACAAUCAAUAAACGGAUGAUAAUCAUUUUCAGAUAAUAUAUUAGUAAUAUAGACUAUAUUAUAAAAAUCAUUAUCGUUAAAUUUUUAUAUAUGAAAUAUUAUUAUAUGAAUAAUUAUAAUUUACUACUUAAUAACAAAACUAAUACAAUUUUGUUUUACUUUUUAUAAUGGAAACACAUUAAAAAAUUUGAAAAGAAAAAACAUUUAAGUUCGCAAUUAUAUAUAUAUAUAUAUAUAUAUAUUAGGAAAACUAUGAAUAUAGAUAAAAUGCUUCGUCCCUGCUCCCUAAUUAUUAGAAAUGGGGGCAUUUGAUGAUAGCUUCAAGGAAAGAUAAUUACUAAAAUGCUUAAUAAAUCAUUUACUAGUUGAACUCCACAGUUUUUUAAAUUGCUACUUAUAUUUAAUAAAAAUUAUGUAUUUUGAUAUUUAAAGAUAAAAUUACUAAUUUUUCAUUGUCUUAUUUAAAUUUUAAGAUUAAUUUUAUAAAAGUUAAUUGCUAAUGUUUUAGGUUUGAUUUUUAUGAUUUUAUGAAUAUGAUAAUUUAGUGUUAAUUGUGAAUUUGUUUAUUUUUAUAUUUAGUUUUUCUUUUGGCGAAUGAAACUUCAUUAUAAAGAAAACUAAUUAUAGAUACAUCCAAGCUCUCAUGGAGGCGUUUCAAAAUAUUGGGUACUACUUUUGUUAUUAACAUCCAUUUUAGCUAGAUUGUUAACUUCUUUAUUGAAAUCUUUGAAAAUGUGUUGAAUCGAUCAUUGAGUCAAAUAUUUAAUUUAUUUAAUAUAGUAUCAUGACUGUGAUUUCUUUUUCAAUUUCUUGGGUUCAUUUAAUGAAAUUUAAUUGUUAAUCUUAUUAAUUAAUUAUGAUUUUUUAUUAAAUAAAUUCUAAAACUUAAAUUGAAUGCUAAAAGUUAAUAGUGUUACUUUUAAGUACCAAAAUAUAUAAUAUUUACUAAAUUUAAAUAUCAUAUUGGACUAAAAAAAUUACAAUUACCAUAUUAAAAAGGUGAUGAUGUAUUAAACCUCACUAAAAACAUGAAAUGAUUAAAGGUGAUAAAGCAACGAAUCUAGAGUUUAUAUUUUAAAAUCAUAGCAUAAGCAAUUAUUUUUCUUUUCUCAACAAUUUGAAAAAAAAAUGUUAAAAUACUUAUUCAAUUUUGAUAUUUAUUAAAUUGGUCCGUUUAAAAAAAUAGAGCAAUUUAGUUUCUAUAAAUGUCGAAAGUGAGCAAAUAAAUACAAUUAAUACACCGAUCAGUUUUUUUUGUCAAUUUAUCUUACUUUUGAUUAGUAUAAUUGCAGUUUUAGCCUUUAAUAUUUACAUAUUCUAUUAAUUUGACCCUGAUUCUAAAAGAAUUCAAUAAAUUUAACCAUCAACAUUUACACAUUCAACCAAUUUGAUCUUAAUUCUAAAAAAUCUAAAAAUAAAAAUGUAUAAAAAUCUAUUCAAAAUGAAUAUAUAUAUAUAUAUAUAAAUUAAAAUUAGAGAGAUGUAUUAAAAUUUUAAAAAUUCUCAAAACGCAAAAAUGACGUGUAAUGGUUAUAUUCUCAAAAUGAGGUCCUACACGCUGCCUACACACAACCAAUCUCCUCCACACAUCAACACACAAUCCUAUAUCAACGUUAACUAUUGAUUUCAACGGAUUCAACAACUUUGACCCGAUUUACUUCGGUUCAAUCUAUUUUGACUACGGUUUGACAUGAUUCGGUCCAUCUUAACCCGAGUCAAACCAAUUCAAUCCACCUUAACCUGGUUCAAACAAGAUCCAUCAUCUUUAACUUGAUUUGACCUAAUUUGGACCAUUUUAGCCCAAUUCAAAUCAAUAUAAUCCGAGGUUCUAUAUGGUUAGCUUGGUCUCACUGUAUGAGUUGACUUGAUUUAACUUUAUCCAUGGACCAAGUUUGACUUUAACUUUGUGUUAAUUUCGUGGGGUUUGCUUGAAAAGUGUUGAAUUACUCUAAUAAAUUCUAUACAAUUCAUCAAAUAAUGUGUGAUUUUGUAGGUUUUUAAAUAUAUGAAAAUUAAUUAAAAGCUUUCUUGAAAGCAUGAAUUUUAGAAAUUUUAUGGAUGUGAUAAUUAAAUUUGGCAUUCCUCCAUUCCCAAGAAAGUCUCAUAAUUUAUCAUAAAAUUAUUCUAAAAUAUAUUAUUUAAGUAUUUAAUUGAGUUGAUGUUACAAAUUAAUUGAACACUGUAUCAAAUAAAAUUACUUAUAUUUAUAUUACUUUAUCAAUAAUUACUAUGUAAAAAAAUCAUUGCUCAAAUACUUUGAUAGAUAUGGUGAAAUUUUUUAAACUUUAAAUACUGCACCAAAUAAUUUAUUAAAAAUGACCCAACAUGGAAGGCAAAGGUUAGCAUUGGUGCACCUUAUAUUUAAAUCAACCAUUUUGGUAAACUAUAUCCGUUCAUAGAAACCUACUCAUUUAUCUAAUAAAAACAUAGCAGGAUCAACCACCUGCUUCCACUCAUCUUAAUUACACCACCAACCCUAAUUUCUUGUUUUAAUAACAAAAUUCACAUUUCAUCCUUUUCAUUUCUUCAAUCCAUUUUCAAACAAUAUUUAGCAAUUAAAAGGAUACAUAUUACUUUAAUUCAAUUUUUCAUCUUAAAAUCAAUUUGGACCAAGAAUAAGUCAUAGAGAAAUUCUGAAUACAAAAUACAACAAACUGAUCAUUGAAAUAUAUAUACCCAGUCCCUCCUAAAUUGGAAAAUUCUUCAUUUAGGCUCUUUAUAAUUUAUAAAAUUUUAAAUUAGUAAUAGUAAAACUACACUUUUGCCUCUCAAAAAUAAUAAAAAUUUGAUUUAAUCUUUUAAAAAUUAUAAAGAUAUAAACCAUUAGAAUGGUGAAAUUGCAUUUUUACCAUUAUAAAAAUAAUCAUUUUAAUUCUGCCCCUAAAAAAAGUUUUCUGCCAUACUUAAAACUCUGAUUGAAUUGGUGUUAUGAAUCUAAUAGAGAUCAAUUCAAUUUAAAGUUAUUAAAAAAUCACACUUUUUUAUAAAAAUAAAACCAUAAUAAAAACCAAUAUAAUGAGAUAUGAAUAUAAAACACUAUAAUUUUGAGAUUCAUUUCAACUAAAAUUUUAUUUAAUUUCCAUAUAAAAAGAUUGUAAUGGUUUUUAAGCCACUUGUUUUGGAUGUUAUUAGAAAAGUUUGCUAUUUGCCACAAAGUUGUAGAUUAGAUAACAUAUACUGUCCAUUUCCCACGCAAUUCGCAGUCCAAUCCACUUCCAAACAUUUUCAUUUAAACUCUCCACCCAACGGAUUGAUUUUAUUAAAUCCUAUCUAGAUUAAUUUUAUUUAAAAUAAUAAAUCAUUAUAAAUAUUUAGUACAUUAUCACCGGAGUUUUUAGAUUCUUCAAGUAGGGCUAGGGGUUGAUAAGUGCUAGUAAAAAAAUUUUUUAAAAAAAAGAGAUACAUGUUAAUUUUUAAAAUUAUUUGUAAAAUAAAAAAAAAUACACUAUUAAUAUAUCAAUGCUCACCUUUUUAUUUAAAUAAUCAUAUGUAUUUUUUUAACAUAAAAACAAAAUUAUAUUUUGAUUUGUCCAUAAACUUUAUUUUCGACUAUAGAUUAAUUUAUAUUAUCAUUUAAUUAUAAAAUUAAAUUUAUGAGUUUUUUUUAUAAGUUAAAGAUUAAUAUCUUAUUAAAGUAUAAUUAAGAUGUUAAUGAUUUUUUAAGAAAUUACAAGUAGAUCAUAAUUACAGUCACAAAACAGGUAUAAUGAUAAAUUUAACUUUUAAUAUUUAUCCUUUCUAUCAAAUUGGCUUUUGUUUAUUUAUUUAGUUAAAUUUGACUUUUAACCUUUAAAAAGAGUCAAAUUGUUUUUCUUUAAUAGAAAUAUUGACAAAUUUUCUUUUUAAUGAUAUUGACACGGUAUCCCACAUGAUAGUCCAUGUGCAUUUCAAGUUGAUAUGACAUUAUUUGUCUUAUAUACCAUGUCAACAAAUUAAUAAUUUAAAAAUAUAAAAGUUCAAAAAACUAAAAAAAAGCCUCGAAAAAUUAUAUUUUUUUUCUUAAAAUGCAAUAAAAUUAGAAUGAAGUAGCGGGUUGCCAUAUGGGUUACCAUGUUUAAAAAAUUAAUUUUUUUUAGUAUUUCUAUUAAAAAAAUCAAUUCGGCUCUUUUUUAAAAGAUUGAUGGUCAAAUUUUACUCUUUCUGAAAUGUUGUGGCAAAAAAAAUGGGGGACCAAAUUGACAAAAAAAGUAAACGUUAAGGGCUAAAUUUGGCAUUAUGCCAAAACAUACUUCUAAAUAACUAUAUUUAACCAUUGUAAAGCACUAUGAGACUAAAAUUAAGAUAUAUUCAUACCUAGACAAAGCACGCAACAUAAAAUUUAAACCAAAAUACAAUAUAGACUGAGAAUUCACAUAUGACUUAUACAAUAUAGACUUAAAUUUGGAAUCUUAAAAUUUUCUAGACCUCAACCUUACUAUUAAACUUAGGACUCAUCAUUGGCAUGUUAAUGACUAACUUAAAGGUAGAAGAAGUAUGAUUUCUUAUUUAUAUAAAAUUGUUGAAGGUAGAAUAGGGAAGGAGGAGGAAGAUGACGGUUCCCAUGGUAGAGGUGUGUUAAGAGUCACUUGAGACAAAAGUUGAAUAGGGUAAGACAUAAUAAUAAUAAUAAUAAUAAUAAUAAUAAUAAUAAUAAUAAUAAUAAUAAUAAUAAUAAUAAUAAUAAUAAUAAUAAGUUCGAGAGAAGGAUUCUUAAAGGCAAGAAAAGGUAUUUUAUAGACGAGAUUGGUUGCCUUCUUACCCUCAAGCCUCAACACGUGUCCAUGCUAAUCUUAUCAUGGUUAACUCUUUAGGGAACAUGAUAGAUUUCUAGCGAGGUGAUGGGGUUGAUGGAUUUGGAGAUCUGGUUACAAUUGGCUCGGUGUAGGCUUAAUGAAGUUCUAUGCGUGCUUCAUGCUUUGAGGAAGUUCAUUAACUAUAUUUAGGAAGGUAAACUAGAGGUGUUUUAUGUGUCGACCAUGCAUCUGUGGGCAAGGAUCAAACCUAGCAAGGUAUCACCCAUAGGUAAGGUUGUGGUUUGCGAGGUAUGGUUAGCAAAGCUCGCAUUGGUGAGGUAUGUAUAACAAUCCCCUCAAUUAAAGAAAAUGUUAUAAAGUGACCUUCCUCAAGGUGAGGUAAUGACAUUUUGAAUUUAUGCUUUUUUAAAGCUUUGGCAACUUGUGCAUGAGCAAUACAUGUGGUGGGAAGGAGUUGUGUGUUGCACACACAUCAUGUAAUGGUGAGGACCUUGAUUUUAGCGGCAAGGUGUGUCAUUUGAAUAUUCGUUAGUUAAUGAAAUACUUACAUGUCUAUUGUUAAUAGGAUAUAUGGACCAUCGAAUCAUAUUUGCAGGGACACAUUUGCAUUUGGUUUGUUCUAAAAAAAUGUCAUUUUUUAAAUCAUGUUGGGCACACAUGUGUUCUAUAUAAAUUGGGCUUUUCAAAAAUUUUGUAAGUCUUUAGGCCACUAUAUUGAGAGCCUAAGGAUUUUUUAGGAGAGUUCUUUAGAAGUUGUGUUGCUUAAGUUUUUUGCAUUGUGGGAGUCUUUGCUUUUUGGUUUCAUUUGGUAAGUUUCAUUUUUUUUGUCCUUUCUGUUUUGUGUUUUAAGUAAAGUUAGUAACAAUUCGUCUAGACAAAUCAGAGUUUAAAAUUUAGAAUUUAGAUAUAAUGGCUUAUAGGAAUAGUUAGAGGAGAAAAGGUAAGGAUAUUGAAACGGAAAAAGGUAAGGAGAAGUGAUAAGUGCAUAACUUUAUAUUUAUUUGUGAUAUUUUUCGCAUUGAAUUAUAUUAUUUAUAUUUAUAUUUUAUUUAUUAUUAAUUUAGGAAAUAAUUGGAGAAAAUGGAGUUUAAAGUUUAUUUUUGACAAGUUUUUGCAGUUUGAACUUUUAAUAGUAUUUUGGUCAUAAUUUGAGAUACAAACCUCCGUUUUGGGACCAUAAUGUAUCAGAGCUAGUUAAAUUUUCAUAGAUCAUCCCGUUCAGAGAUGGCAGCAACAAGGUUUGAAAUUAAGAAGUUCGAUGGUGAGAUAAAUUUUAAUCUGUGGCAAGUUCGGAUGAUGACAAUUCUAGUUCAAACUGGACAAAAAAAGGUUUUUACCGGGAAAAAGCCUGAGAAUCUAAAUCAAACAGAAUGGGAAGAAGUUGAUGAAAAGGCAUUGUCUGCAAUCUAGUUGUGCCUUGAGAAUACGGUAUUGCAGGAGGUAUUGACGUAGAAGACCUCAUUUGCCUUGUGAUAAAGGUUAGAAACUCUUUAUGCGAUUAAGUCUCUGGAUAACCGUUUAGUGUUGAAACAACGUUUAUUUACGUUUCGCAUGAACGAAGGUGAGCUUCUUAGAGAUCGCAUUAGUCAAACCAUUACUCUUUUAAAUGAUUUAAAGAAUGUUGAGGCACAUAUUAAUGAUGAAGAUCAGGCUAUGAUAUUAUUGUGCUCUUUUCCCCCUUCAUACAAGUCUUUCAGGGAGACCCUGAUUUAUGGCAGAGACAAACUCUUGUUCGAAGAUGUGAAGGAUCAUUUGUUGAGUAGAUACAAACUCAAUAAUAUGUUUGAUUUGGAUGCAAGGCAGAUAGGCAAGCUUCCAUUUUGGUAGCAUCAAAGAAACGAGACAAAAGGUGUCGUUAUUGUAAAAAGUUAGGUCACGUCAAACCAGAUUGUUAUAAACUGCAAAAUAAAAGAGCUGUUGAGAGUAACAAGGAAGAUGUAGCUGGUGCUAAUUUGGCUGAUGAAAGCGGUGAUGAUUUCUUGUUAGUCUCAACGAGCGAUAACUCCAAGCUCAUAUCUGAGUGGAUCCUAGAUUCGGGAUGUUCUUUCCACAUGUGUUCCAAUAGAGAAUGAUUCUCCACAUACAGUUCGGUUGAAGGUGGAGUUGUGCGUAUGGGAAAUGAUUCAUCUAGUAAGGUAAUUGGUAUCAGUACUGUUAAAAUUAGGAUACACGAUGGGAGGAUUAGGACACUCUCAGAUGUCAGGUAUGUACUUGAUUUACGAAAGAAUCUCAUCUCCUUAAAGUAUUUUAGACUUGAAAGGAUGCAGAAUCAACAUCAAGUCGAGCGACAUUAAAGUAUCUCGUGGAGCUCUUUGGAUGCAGAUUUUGAAAAGUUAGGGCAUUGUGUUCGUGAAAAUCAGACCAGAGAUAGUUUUGAUUUGGCAGUGCACAAGUCGAAGGCUAGAAGUCUUCUAGCUUCUAAGCACAGAUUCAAUUUAGUUAAUUUCCUGCAUAGUUCAAGAUAGGCCCGUUGUGGGCUUUGGCAAAGAUGGUGUUAUAAAAAUUCGUGUCAAUAUGGAGAUUCUUAGAGUUGUGUGGCUCAAAUCCUAAGAGAUUGCUUGCAAGUCAAAUUAAACAAAAUAUAUUUUCUUUUUAGAAGAUUUAAUAUUUAUUAGCAUAAUAUAUUUAGCAUUUAUUAGCAUAGUUUAUUUGACCUACUAAUUUAGCCUAUAAAUAGGUUCUUUUACAACCUUAGAAAAAAAACACAUUAGAGAUUAGAACUCAUAACAUAUUUAGAGAACUUUGUGUUUACGUUUUGAGGGUUCUUUGUUUUUGGGGUUUAGUUUUUAUCUCCAUCUUUUGUACUCUUCGUUCUUUUGCCAUUAUAGUAAAAUUAUCUUUGCCCGUGAUUUUUUAUCCUCUUUGGAGGGGUUUUUCCACGUUAAAUUUGUGUGUUCAAUUUCUCAAUUUAUUCUAUUAUUUUUUUACUUGUUCCUUAAUCAGAUGGAUCCUAACAAACGAAGAACCGAAGUUAUUUGUGAUAGAACCUCCUUCCCAAAAAAGUUUCAUGGAACGCAAAAAGGAUGAGGAAGUUCUUAAGACUUUCGGUAAAGUCAAUAGAAAAUAAAAGAUGAAGUUACGAGGGAAGAGGUUAAGAAUGAAAUAAUAGUGCAAGAUGAUAGCUAUUCAUGUAGUCUGUGUACUACAAUCAAUUGACUAAUUUUAUUUAAACCAACUUGCUUAACUCGCAUUUACUGAUUAACCAUAAGGGGUGAUGUGGUGGUUGUUCACCUCAUCCCUUAACCAUGUGGUCUAAGGUUUCUAUUCUCGCUCAUGGAAAUAGAUCACAUUUCAUAGCUAAUCGUUUACCUAUUUGAAAAGCACCCACAACAAGCGAAUUAGUUAUUACUUUCGACAAUAAAUACCCUAAUUAUGACAAAAAAAAUUACCUAAUUGAUCAAACUGUAUAUGAUAAAUUUAUUAGAUUAAACUUUGGGCAACUUUAAAAUCUCAAUCUCAUUUAAGUAUGAGUUUUUAGGUUAAAUUUUAUUUUGGUUUAAAUCUCAUAAUAUGCAUACUCUAUGUAAAUUUAUUUUACUCUAACAUUGCACAUUAAAUCAAAAUUCAUGUGUUAUUGAUUUAUUUUGUAUAUAACAUUGCUACAUUGGUACUUUUCUAAGCUUUUAUUUAAGCACCUUAAGAAAUGUCUUAUUUAACCAUUUUAAAAGAUUUGAUCAUUAUGUAAAAAACCCUAAAAAAUUGACCUCAACUUGUAGAUCCAACAAAGACCCCGCCCAGACCCAUGGAAGGGCUCAAUUACAACAUUAUCAAACACAACGUAAACAUCAUUCAAGAAUUUGAUACACUAUUUUACUAUAAUUUACAUUUAUGAUCAUGGAAUCUUUUUGAACAAAAUUAUUUGGAGGGGGAAAACAAACAAACACAAUCCUCGAACUCCUUAGCUCUCAUAUUCGGGAUUAGUUUCCGCCAUGCCAGAUGAAGAUGCCUCCAACCUAGUAAGAACUUCAGGUAUUCCCGCAGUGUCCCUUAUUAUCUGGCAUCAUGAGAAACAACAACGAUCAUUGCUUUUGCUAUGCCUAUUGAAAAAUUGACUAACAUAUAAAUACAAAUUCGCAUAUUUAUCGAAAUUAAAUUAUUAAUCAGCCAAAAUUUAUAUAAAUAUAUCAUAUUUUCAACCCUCUCCAUAACAUCCUUAUUUGUCAGUCAAAAUUUUAGAUGUUACAGAGAGGUGGCUGAGGGUGGCUUUUAUAGAGAGUGCUGCCUGUGCCCUAAAAGAUGAUUCUGACACGUUGUCAAAUUUAUCACAUACUAUAGAUAUUAACAGCAGAGGCAUCAUUGUCAGUGCUGUAAAUAUACAGCCGACUCUUUGUAUGUUAUCUUCAUUUUUCUUGAAUUAAACAUGUUCAAAACUCAAGCCCAGCACAUUCAAACAUUGGUAGGGGAAUGGACCCUAAAGAGUAUGGGAAAACUUGGAACAUAAUUGAACAUAUCUGUGUCAACCACGUAUUUGUAUCCUAUACACUAUAGUCCAAGUAACAAAGGCAUCUACCCCACAAAACUGAACUGAAAAUUUGAAGGUUGUUUCAGCAAAGUUAGCAUUCUCAAUCUACCAUAGCAUUCUCAAUCUACCAUCUUAAGCUCCCGUGACAAGAAUGGGAAAGUUUAGCAAGCUGAUGGCAAGUUAUGGCAUUGUAAUAUUAUCAGCAUACCUAUCACAAUGUCUAACAAAAGUCCUUUUGCUAAGGCAUUAAAAAGAAUAAUGCCUACAUGUAAUAUCAAGUGGAAUAAUACAGCUCAUAUGAACUUGACUGAAGGAGCACAGGAUCAGUUCGAAGGUGAAUGAAGAUCAUCAAGAAGAAAGUCAUAAUAACAUGUGGCAACCAAAAAAAUAUCAAAAUACAGAUGAUUAAUCACAUAUAGCUAAUAUAUAAUUGGGAUAUGAUACACUAGGGUUGCGAUAAGAACCCAUUUUCUUUUCAAAUAGCUGAACUCUACUUGAUUCAUUAGCUCCUCAAAAUAAAAGAUAUCAAUGGUAUAAUUCCCUUUUUCUCAAGGCAUUAAAUGACCAUUUCAAACCUUUGGUUUUUGCAUCAAUUGCUAAUUACGUCCAUGUGGUUAACUCAUUAUUUCAUAUGUUAUUGCCAACUUUAACAAUGAAGUAUAUAGAAAAUGAUCUGAAGGCCAAAAAGUGUAAAGAUAAUCAUAAAAUCAAAAGAAACAGAGGAAAAAGUACAUAAACUUACAAGGAUCUCUUCAUCCAGAUAAGAUAUCAUGAACAGUCUCUGGAAUGUCCCACCUGGAAACACAAAGAAACUUCUGCUCAGAUUCAUGAAAUGGUUGAAUAUCAAACAGAAAAGCUAUAUAAUUUACCCAUAACCAUGUAAAAUUUUACCCUUGACACAUUAAUCAUCCAGUACAUGACAGCUGUUAAAAUUGCUGCCAAAGUCAUUGAGUGAUGACAGAAUUGGAACAGCAUCCGUUUAUGGAACUGAUUCUCUGCCAUCAUUUUCGGCUAUGAUUUCAUUCCAAAUGCAUUGGCACUACUCUUUGCCCAUAAGUAACUAUUUUAUAUAUUUGAAGUAAGGUCACCUAUUCUAAGUAUACAUUGAAGCAGGAGAUUGUGCUACCAGGAGGGGAUGGAUAAGUUCACCACAUCCUUAAUUUGACUUUGUAAAUUGCAAAAUUUGGAAACUAGCGUCCCUCAAGGAAAGAAACAUUCAAACAAUCACCUCAUUAUAUUUGUAUGGCAUUACUUUUACAACAGACACCUGGAAGAAACAUGUUGCAAAAGUGAAAAGAAAACAGAAUAGAAACAAGCUAGAUAUUGAGAUCCAGAAAAACAAUACGUUCAUAAUCUCUAACUUUGUUGUGGCUGCCCACCUUUCAGUUUUCCCAAACAAAUGUUGGGCUACAAGAACUUAUUCCACUUAAACAAUGAAUGGACUUGCCUGAGACAAUGACCCCUCUUCCUACCUACACCAACCAACCAAAAGUUCAACUUCUUGACUCGGCAACAUCCAAAGGGUUCCAAAAAGAGGGAUGGUAACUGUCUCACAUCUAAGGGAAUUCAGAAAAAAAAAAAAAAAAGAAGAAGAAGAAGAAGAAGAAGAAGAAGAAGAAGAGAGAAGGGAGACGGUAACCAUCACAAUUAGCUGGUAAUGUUUUCCUUACAUGGUAUGAAUUAACCAAGUAAAUUCAUUAUUUCUUUUGAUAAUCCACAAUAAAACCAUACAAGCUUGUAUUUCUUUUUGAUUAUCAGCAUUAUCUGGCCUUCUUAUGCUGCAGCAGAAACAGAGCCAAAACCAUCUCCUUCAAUAACCUUUGCUAGAAGUGUAUUGGUAAUACUGAGAUACAGUUCAGUAUUUUAAAUUCCCGUGUUCUUCGAUCUCAAAAGAAAAUUUACUAUUUCAUAUAGCAACCUCUAUAAAGAUAUCCAAAUGAUCAAACAGCUUUCUUUGCCAUAAAAAAAUGAUCAUAACUAUUAUAACUCUGGUAAGCACCUUCAAAGGCUAAUGACCAAGCUUUAAGCAUAAGAAAUGGAAAAACAGAAGGGAUAUUUCAGAACUUUUCAGAUACAUCAGAGCAUGUCUAUAGGUGGAAAAAGGGGCACUAAUGUCUAGCAUCCAUGAAGAUCAGCUAUGGGCUUCGAUAUUUGUUCAGAAGAACAUACUCGAGCAUACUGUUUCUCAUAAUGUAACCCUAGAUUAGAUUUGAACUAUGUUUUAGUGUUCAUUUCAGCAUGGUCUUGUGCGAUAAUGUACAUUAACAGUGAAUUCCUAUCAGCCAUAUCAUCUUAGGAGAAAAUUGGAAAAUUUGAAUGCUUACUCAGAGGAACUCGUAGUCCAUUGGCCACUGCAUCCCUAAUAGGAACUGGAAGUUGCUGGGCAGUAGUAAGAGCCUGACUAUAUGCACCUUUCAACUGCUCUGGUAUUGUUUCUUCAACAAUAGUUGGUGAUUCAAAUAUCCCCUCAACAUAUUCUUCUUUCAUCCUUAAUGGUCCCUCCACAGACACCUUGGCGGAAAGAAUAAAUUUGCUUUCUAUCUGCAUUGCACCAGAGAUAACCCUAGAUCAGUUCAAAUUUUUGUAAUGAUGAGCGCACUUCCUGGCACUCAAAUAAAAUACAAUGAAAAAGUGGCUGUUUAAUUAACUCUAUGUAGAAGAAAGUUGUUUAAUCAAAGCAUAAUUUCGGUCCAAAUUCAUACAGCAUAAUUUCGGUCCAAAUUCAUACAGCAAGUUUAAAAACAGAAAACUCAAAUGGUAAACGAGUAAAAACACUUGUUCCACACAAUUUGAGAAUUGCAAAGUUGCAGGUAAUACAAGCCAGUGACAAUACAUAUGAGAAACUAGCAGAAGGAAUAGUUCCACUGGGAAGUCAGUGCAAAGGCUUGCAGUACGUACAUGGAUGGUCCAAGCUUAUACCCUGCUUUUUCCACUCUUUGGAACAUUAUCUACAAAUAUGAAAGGAGCAACCUUACCCUCCACCAAGAUUGAGUUGAUCACAGUAUAAAAGAAACUGAGGCAAUGAUUCUAAAAUUAUCACCAGUUAUUUAACUUUGAUGGUAACAGAAAUAAAAGAGAAACUUAAUGUGGAAUCUCUUGUACACAGCAUCAUUUCAAUAUUCACAUAAUGUUACCUAAUUCACAUAAAUAAAAGGCCACCCCACCUUUCUAAACAGAAACAUUUCAACCAUAAGUAAUGAAGUUGAGUGACAACAGCUUUUGACAGUGAGCAAGAUCAAGCAAAAUUUGUUAAUACAAGUACUUUUAAAUGGGAGGAAAUUAGUCUGGUCUCAAAUUACUUAAUCUUAUUCCCCAAAUAAUGACAUCAGUGAAGGUUUAAGAUGUACAUCCAUCCAGUUAAGACUAGGGGCAAAACAUAAUCUUUACCAACUUCCAUAACAGUCGAGAAAAAUACAUUAAUUAUUCUUGUUUAGCUUAAUACUAAGAUAUAUCAAGAACAAGAAGCACAAAGUAGAUGUUGCAUAGAAAAAAUAGUAACUGAGACCACAUAGUGAUUUGGUUUGCUAAACAUUUUUUUACUAGAAUAGAUUUAAAUCAAUUUGAUUUAAUUCACAUCUGACCCAUGCAUAAAGCAGUAAUAAUAUGUUGUGCUAUGUAACUAGACACAAGGGUAAGUAUUGAAUACAGUUACGUAUCCAACAUGGACACACUCUUCAGUUAUAAGAUUUUCCGAAAAUUUGGAGGAUCAUCUCAUGUCCAAAUAUGUGUCGGAUAGAAGUGUCAAGCAUAGGUACCUUAAGAAAAAUGAAGAGUCCAAGUAACACAGGUGCUAUGCAUGAUUAAAUAAAGGAAGAUGACAGCUGAAGAUCACUAUAAAGUUCAAGGUGAGCAGUUCAUAUAGAAGACCAUCUUGAUGCUUUAUGACAAGUGACAUUUAUUUGUGUAGGAGAGCAUACAAAGUUGGUGGGGAAAUAUUUACCGAGUUAAGCAAUUUUAAAUGUGCUGCAACCUUUGCAUAUCCAUCCUUAAGAAGCAAAUUCAUUUUUGACAUUCUUGCCAAGGUCGAAGGAAAUCUCCUGCAAAGUACAACGAAACACCAAGAAGAUCAGCUGGCAGUCAUCAGAAAGAAAGGAGAUCAUCAGCUUUCAGAAGAUACUCACUCAAAUACGACUCUAGCAGCAAAAAGUCCUGGGCUUCCAGAUCCAAACCACUCAAAGUUCCAUAGACCCUCCAGAAAGGGAGACCUGGAAAGCUAUAUAAACAAAUAAAAGUCUUAUGGAAAAGAUGAACAUGCAAAUUUCGUUUUUUGACAAAGCACCUACGUUGUCGGCCUUGUUGUUGGAUUGAGCCUCUCAAGGCCAGUUAUCCUCUCAUUCACAUCAAUUCGUUGCAUAUCUGUUGUCUUUCCCGUGACUAAUGCCUCGAAACCCCCAGCAUCCUUAAACUGAAAUAGUAUUUAACAAAGUUAAGAUGAAGGGCCAAACUUUAAGAUGCAUAAUAAAAAAAUACAUGAAUAUAUUAGAUAGAACCCUCAGAAUUAAUGAUUGAUACCUGAAAUUUUAUCUCACUCUAAAUUUACCUUUUUAUAGGUCCUGAAAAAAUAGAAAAGAAAAAAAAAAGAGGCAAUUUGUAGACAGAACCUAAGCACCUAAGCUGACUGCUUUGACUUGUAAUUGAGGCAAUUAGCCAAUUACUUGUAUUUUCUUUUUCUAGGAAUCAAGAUUUGGCCUUAACUGAAAACCAACUCAAAAUUCUCGAAUGAACCACUUCUUCUUUGGGCAAUUUGUAUAACUACAAAACUUAUUAACAAUUAAAACUAGAGACAAGAAAAUGUUAGUAAGGAUAAACUCACAGCAAGCAGAAGAGAUUCCUUAGCAGAAAGUCGUUCCAUAUCUUUAGCAUAAGUAGCCGGAGCUCCUCCCUGCACUGCUUGCUGAACCAUUGCUCUACAGGACGUUCUACGACAGCUUAUCCGGUCGCCGGAGCUCCUCCGGUUACAGUCCGGCAGUCUAACGAAAGAAACUCCCACCAAAGAAGACGAAGAGAAGCUCGAACGCACAGCCGAAAUUGCAGGAAACGAUCCCUGUAAAGAAGCCAUUGGUGGAAUGAAAAUGUUUCUUUGAGUUUUUUCUUCUGUUUUUGAUUUGUUUAUUGUGAGGAGCGAAGAGGGUCAAUUUUGUGAAGCAGAUUUUUAUUUUGGUGUCUCUUAUGACAGCUGCUUUUAGAAUAAUAGAAAUUUGGUACACUAUCAAAAUAGUUAUUUUUAUUGUGUCAAGUUAUAUUUUAAUUAUUUAUAUUUUAAUUGUUACGUUUUAGUCAUUUAUAUUGUGAUGAUACAACAUAGUAGUGAUUAAAUUAUUAACAGUUUAAUAGUAAAUUGACAUAGUUCAUUAAAUCAUCAUUUUAAACAAAAAAAUUUAAGUUAAAUUAGAUAAUUAAUCCUUAUAUUUUUUUUUCCUUUUGAGUAUUUUAAUUUUUUAUUUUAUCUUUUUUUAACUUUUUUCUUUUUCUUUAUUUUCCAUUCUCUUCUACUUCUUAACUAAAAUUUUUAGAGCUUAGAGAAGAAAACGGUGGUGUUACAAGGGCACUAAUAGAGAUUUCGAGAGCAGGAAGAGAUGAAGGAAUGGUGCUUCGAAGGAACGGAAGGAGACUGGACAGAUUACUUGCAUCAGCCCUAGUGGGACUGGGGAAGGAAGAGGAGGAAGGACUAACUUGACAUGAAGGAAUUGGACUUGAAAAUGCAGAAGAUUAGGAUUUUGGGAAGAAUAUGGGGUAAUUUUAGCUUAAUUGCCUGCUAUAUCAAUCGGAGGUGGCUUACAUCCCAGAAUAACAAAACCAAUUAAAAACAAAAAGUAAUCAACAAAUCAACGCUCAAGAGGAUUAUACAGGAAAAAUAGCAGUUGAUCAAGAAAACUUGUUCACGGUCCAGUUAAUAAAGUUUCAGUUCCAACAGUUAUCGUCUUUAAGUAAGAACUAUUGUUUUCAUGCAUGACUUUCUAUUGAUUUUUCCAAUAUUCCAAGCAAGCAAACAUAAGUCAAAUCAAACUGAAAUAAAGCAGAUCAAGUAAAAAAAAAACCUAGAAAGCAUAACCAAUUUAGAAUUACUAUGGGAAUUAGAUCCAACUAAAUUACAACCAAAACAAAAUGAGCAUAGAAGGGAAAGAGUUACAUCUUGUUUGAACAGAUCGACCAUUUUGUGAGUAGUGAAAAGAAGAAGAGAAGGGUAAAUUAGGUACAUUUCGAUAAGUGGUGCCAUCAUCUUCAACAACCCAACCAGCCUUGGCACAAAGAGCUUUGAGGACCUUGUUGUUAUUAUAGUGCUUGGGCAGAUUAUAAUUUCCUUGAGCUCUCGGCCUACUAUAUAUCUUAGCAACGAUAGCUCCUCCUCCUCUCCCUCCUCCUGUUGUUCUCUCUCUCUCCCUCCACGACGGCUUCCUCUUCGAUUUUGGUGUCGAUGUCAACGUCCUCCAUUCAUCUUAGCGGUGUCGACUUCCUCCAGAAGCAGAAGAGAAUGGGAAAAAAAAAAGGGAAAAAAAAACAUAAAAGAAAAAAAUUAAAUUGCUCAAAAUGAAAAAAAUAUAGGGACCAGUUAUAUAAUUUAAUCUAAAAUUUUUGUUUGAAAUGAUGAUUUAAUGUGACGUGUCAGUUUACCAUUACACCGUUAACGAUAAUUAACGGCUCAGUGACUAAAAUGUUACAACACAAUAAUGUAAGUGACUAAAACAUAACAUUUCAAAUAAAAUUAACUAAAAUGUAACUUGAGACAAAUAAAAUGUAACAUUUCAAAUAAAAGUGACUAUUUUAAUAGUUUACCUUAAAUAUUUAACUAUUUAAAAUUAGAAUUUAGGUUAAACUAGAUAUUUAAUCAUUUAUAUGUGAUAAAAAUUACUUUUUCAUUAUUAAACUUUAAAAAGUUUGAUACUUUUUGAAUUGUUAAAAGGGUGAAAAAUAGAAAGUUACAAAAUAUAAUUUUUCUUUCCUUAAUAUUUGGCAGGAAGAUGAAAAAAAAAUGGAAGAAAAUUACCUUCUUUUCUCUUUAUAUGCAAAUUUUAUUAUGAAAAUAAUUUGCUUAAAAUUUUAGUAUGGAACCUCAAUAUAUAAUGUAUUUAUUUUAUAGGAAAUACUAUCCCUGAUGUCAAACAUAAUUUCAAAAUGUUCUGAAAAAAAAACCUUUAAAAUGUUGGAAAAGAUUGAACAUGACAAAUCUAAAAAAUGCUUCUCGUUAGAAGCAUUUUCCUAAAAAAACUAAAUAGUUUUUAAAAAUUGCUUCUUGUUAGAAACGUUUUUCAAAAAAAUUUGGGAUGUGAUGUCUGAAUUUUAUUCAUGAUUUUCGGGCCCGAGAAUUUUGAGUUUAGGGUUAGGAUUCAAAGGGGUUGAAAAUGCGAGGGAAGAAAAAGCCUCAUUUAUGGCGUGCUUCAAUGUUUCUACUGCCACCUCAGUUGAAAAUGCCUUCUACAGGAGACAAUUUCAACCCUAACCAUAACAGAGAAUCCCGUGAAAAAAUUUCGAAACAUGGGAAUCCUAAGAUAAUUUUCAAAUAUCCCAUCUUGGGAAUCCCGGACGAUCAUGGGCUCCAACAUUUUUUUUUAAUUUUCCCCCCGGUUGUCUAUAUAAAGGGAGGUUUUGCUCCUCCUUACUCCAUUAGCUCUCUCGCCCACCGUCCUUUAAAAAAAUAUUUUUUUAAUUAUUUUUUUGGUUGAAUGUUGAAAUUUUGGGAGGGAAAAAUUUAUUUGUGUUUGUGUUUGAGGGAGACAUUGUGAUAGUUAUAAGAUAAGUUUGAGUUCACAAUGAUGCGGUGGUGCUAGAAGACCCACACAUUUCAUCUACUGUGUAGGGAUAGAACCAUCACUUUAGAAGAUGUCGCAUUGCAACUCAGGCUCCCAGAUCACGGUGGCUAUACGAUCACGGGUUGAAGUAUAACUGAGGCUCCCAAUUGACGGUGGUUAUGCGGUCACAGGUUCAAGUUUAAUGUUAUCGGAAAAGGAUGCUUUAUAGACCCUAUACAUAAGUUUGAGAUCAUAAUCGUAAGGGAAGAUAAAGUGACUUUCCAGUAUAAUCAUGUAACACCCCUUACCCGAGACCAUGGCCGGAGUCGAGCAUGAGGCGUUACUUGACUUAACUUAAAAGUUCGGGGCAUAAAAAAUUUACUUUCAAAUUUAAUUUCAUCAUUCAUAAUAAAGCUGUCCUCCUGUACAGCAGUCACUAAAAUAAUUAUAAUUCAAGCUAAGAAACUCGAAAUUUAGAUCCGUAAAUUUUUCAUAAAACUAGACUCAUAUAUCUAUUCACCAUAAAUUUUUCAGAAUUUUUGCUUUAGCCAAUUAGUACAGUUUAUUAGUUGAAGUCUCCCCUGUUUCACUAAUCGACUAUCCUAACCACUCAUCACUAAAAUUUAAUUAUCUCUUAUUAAAGGCUUCAUAUGGUGAUUAAACUUAUUUCUACUGANNNNNNNNNNNNNNNNNNNNNNNNNNNNNNNNNNNNNNNNNNNNNNNNNNNNNNNNNNNNNNNNNNNNNNNNNNNNNNNNNNNNNNNNNNNNNNNNNNNNNNNNNNNNNNNNNNNNNNNNNNNNNNNNNNNNNNNNNNNNNNNNNNNNNNNNNNNNNNNNNNNNNNNNNNNNNNNNNNNNNNNNNNNNNNNNNNNNNNNNNNNNNNNNNNNNNNNNNNNNNNNNNNNNNNNNNNNNNNNNNNNNNNNNNNNNNNNNNNNNNNNNNNNNNNNNNNNNNNNNNNNNNNNNNNNNNNNNNNNNNNNNNNNNNNNNNNNNNNNNNNNNNNNNNNNNNNNNNNNNNNNNNNNNNNNNNNNNNNNNNNNNNNNNNNNNNNNNNNNNNNNNNNNNNNNNNNNNNNNNNNNNNNNNNNNNNNNNNNNNNNNNNNNNNNNNNNNNNNNNNNNNNNNNNNNNNNNNNNNNNNNNNNNNNNNNNNNNNNNNNNNNNNNNNNNNNNNNNNNNNNNNNNNNNNNNNNNNNNNNNNNNNNNNNNNNNNNNNNNNNNNNNNNNNNNNNNNNNNNNNNNNNNNNNNNNNNNNNNNNNNNNNNNNNNNNNNNNNNNNNNNNNNNNNNNNNNNNNNNNNNACACUUGAUCAGAUAAGUGUAGCUGAAGCUACCACUUAUCACUUUAUCACUUGAUCAGAUAAGUGUAGCCACUUAUCACUUUGUUUCUUGAUCAGAUAAGUGUAGCCACUUAUCACUUUGUUUCUUGAUCAGAUAAGUGUAACCACUUAUCACUUUGUUUCUUGAUCAGAUAAGUGUAGCUAAAACUACCACUUAUCACUUUGUCACUUGAUCAGAAGUACUCAAAUCCGAUGUUCCACUUAAUUUGAUCAUUUAUUCGAUUUUCACAUUUUUAUUUUAUUCUCAUUUCAACAAUAAAUACAUUUCACCAUACAUUGUAUAAUUCAUGAAAUUAACAUUUAAUCAUUAAAUUUCAGCCAUAUGAACUUACCUGGAUCGAUUUGCAGAAUUUGUAAAAGUUCAGGGACUAAUCGGCUACUUUUUCUUUUCCUCGACUUGUUUCAGGUUCUCGAUCUAAAAUGCAAAUUUAUUCAUUCAUCAGCAUUUAAUUCAAUUCUAAUUCAUUUCACAAUUUAUGCCCUUUAAUUUUCGAAGUUACACUUUUACCCCAAACUUUACAGUUUUUACAAUUUGAUCCCUACUCAAUUAACCCCUCAAUUGAUCUAAUUUUUCUCAAUUAACACCUUUUCCAACUAUUUUAGACUACUACAUAGCCUUUCAUACUCAAAACCGCAACACCAAACCUUAAUUCCCAACUUUUUCACAAUUAGGUCCCUAAAAUCAAUUUCUAUCAAAAUUACUUAAUAAAAUCAUCAUAUAACAAAAUUAAAGCUUCAAUUUCAUGUUUAUUCAUCAUAAAAAUCCAACACUAAUCAAUGGUAACUUUCAAAAUCAGCCAUGGAAUCAAAACUAAUGAAAUAAUUAGUUGGACCUAAUNNNNNNNNNNNNNNNNNNNNNNNNNNNNNNNNNNNNNNNNNNNNNNNNNNNNNNNNNNNNNNNNNNNNNNNNNNNNNNNNNNNNNNNNNNNNNNNNNNNNNNNNNNNNNNNNNNNNNNNNNNNNNNNNNNNNNNNNNNNNNNNNNNNNNNNNNNNNNNNNNNNNNNNNNNNNNNNNNNNNNNNNNNNNNNNNNNNNNNNNNNNNNNNNNNNNNNNNNNNNNNNNNNNNNNNNNNNNNNNNNNNNNNNNNNNNNNNNNNNNNNNNNNNNNNNNNNNNNNNNNNNNNNNNNNNNNNNNNNNNNNNNNNNNNNNNACAAAUUUUACACUAUUCCCAAUUUAGUCCUUUUUAGUUAAUUAACUAUCCAAACGUUAAAAUUUUCUAACGAAACUUUAAUACCAACUCAAUGACACUCUAUAAAUAUUUCUAAAAAUAUUUAUGGCUCGGUUUAAAAUCUUCGAGGUCUCGAUACCUCGUUUUUUAUUUUAAUUAUUUUAAUAUUUAUUCCUAGUACACUAUUCACUAUUUCAAAAAUUUUCCUAACUUCACAUUUAACUUAUACUUACUAAAUUUAUAAUAUUUUCUACUCGUUUGUCAGAUUUAGUGAUCUCGAAUCACCAUUCCGACACCACUAAAAAUUCAGGCUAUUACAAAUCAACUUAUUCUUUUUCUCCAUCUCCAUUAAAGUAGUAUAUUUAAUCUCAUUGUCAAUAACCUGUGACAGAGUUGGAGGCAAUAAGACUUUCUAGGGGAGGAGUGACGGUGACGGUGGAGAAAGCUGAAACACGACUCAAGGCGAUAACGAUUGCUACUAUCAAAGAACUUAUUAAUAACUACAACUGCUGCCACUCGACUCGAGUUUUAGUUUUUUCUCCAUCGUGACGGUUACUCCCCCUGAAAGUCUUCUUGGCCCCAACUCUGUCACAGGUUUCAAACAAUGAGGUUAAAUAUACUAUUUUAAUAGAAAAUGAAUAAGUUGAUUAUAUUGUAAAUCCUUUUUGUCACUUAUAAUUAUAAUCUCAAACUUACAUACGGGGUUUAUAAAGCAUCCUCUUCCGGUGGCAUGAAAGUUGAACCUGUGACCGCAUAACCACCGUUAAUUGGGGCCUAAUUUAUACUUGAACCCGUUAUCGCAUAAUCACUGUCAACUGGAAGCUUAAGUUGCAAUGCAACAUCUUCUAAGGUAAUGGUUUUAUCCCCCAUACGACAAAUGAAAUAUGUAGGUCUCCGAGCGUUAUUGCAUCACUGUAAAUUCAAACAUACCUUAAAACUAUCACAAUAUCUCCUUCAAACACAAACACAAAUAAAUUUUUCUUUCCAAAUUUCCAACACCCAACUCACAAAAAAAUUUUUUGGAAGAAAACGCUUAUUACAGGAUGCAUUUUUUGUUUCUCUCUCCAAAAUCGAUCUAUUUUCCUAAAUUUGGGAAAAAUGAUCUAAAUCCCUAAUUAAUUUUUAAAAAAACAACCUUUUAUCUAAUUAACCCAUUAGAUUUUAGGUUGAGUUAGAUAUUUAAUCAUUUAUAUGUAAUAAAAAUUACAUUUUGAUUAUUAAACUUUAAAACUUACAAUAUAGUCGCUUAUGUUAUCAGUUUGUUACCUUUUGAAUUGUUAAAAGGGUGAAAAAAUAAAAAGAUACAAUAUCUUUUUUUUUCUUUUCAUAGGUGUGUUUGGUAGAGUUGAAAAAUGAAAUAAAAUAAAAUAAAACAUUUAAAAAUUGCAUAAUUUUAAACUUUAACAAGUUUACGCGUAAGAUAUCCAACACCUAAUGUUCGUACAACAGUAUCCAAAAUUCCUUUUCGGGCUUCGUAACAAGAAAUGAUAUAUCCUGUUAAAGACAAUCAUUCGUGUAAGUUGCUUAUCAUACACUUCUCUCCCAACUUCUCUCAUCUCAUCAUUCCAAUUUGAAAGAAUUGAUUUUUCUGUAUUAGAAUGGAAAAUGGUCUCUCAUUCUAUUUUCUUUCCUCUCACUUUUUUUUCUUGUUGAGCAUAUUCAAAAUUUAUUUUCUUUCCAAAUUUUUCACUGCCUCCUCUCAUUAAAAUUAUUUAUUAAAAAGAAAAGUAGUCAUUAUUUCUUGGGCAGUAAAAAAAGUAAAAGUGAAAAUUUAUCACCCACUUAAACGGGAAAAAUAAAAUUAAAAGUCCUUUUUUUUCAAUAUUUACCGAAAUGGGCCCGGUAAAUAAUUAUUUACCGGAAUGGGCCUUUUUUCCCGAAAACGCAUCCACGUUAGCACGAUCUCAGGGUACGUGACAGGAAAACACGACCUCAAGGGCGCGCUUUGUCCACGUAGACAGAAAGCGCGCUGAUAUGGACGCGUUUUGUUGCCACAUCAGCACGUCCCAGGGGACGCGUUUUCCCCGCGCGUGAACAGUACCAAUGGUCAUUUUUUUGACCGUUGGCCCCCCCAACGGUAAAAAAAACUAUAAAAACCCCCCACCCCUUCAUUUUUUUCACAAAUUAAUCCUUUCUCAAUUAUUUUCUCAAUUUUCUCUCAAUUUCCUUUCAAAUUGCUCUCAAUUUCCUUCCAAAUUUCUCUCAAAUCCAUAUUUAAUCUCAAUUUGCUCUCAAUUUCCUCUUAAAUUUCUCUUAAAUCCCUAUUUUUAAUUAUUUUUUAAAAAAUUUAAUUUUUUAAAAUUUUUUAAAAUCGUAAAAAUUUGUACGAAUUUAGCAAUGGCCGGAGAAUUGAUUCAUCUUGAUAACAAGUAUAUAUCCGUCGAACAAAUGAAAAUGGUAAGUGUUAAAUUUAUUUUUUAAAAUAUUAUUUAAUAUUUUUUAUUUAUGCAUUUUUAAAUAAUUAUUAAUUUAUUAUUUGUCAUAAAAGUUUGUAGAUCGGAUAUUGGAAUGCUAUAUCCGGAAUAUGCAUGGUCAUCCAUCACCGUUGGUAGAGAAUUACCUGUGAGAAGCGGGUUUUUGGCACGUGGCAACAGUAGGCCGAGGAUACAAGUUGGACCCGAAACUUAUCAGUGCGUUGGUUGAAAGGUGGAGACCUGAGACGCACACAUUCCAUCUUCCAUGUGGAGAGUGCACUAUCACUUUAGAAUAUGUCAAUCUGCAAUUGGGUUUACCGGUGGACGGGUACCCAGUCAUCGGGUCUGUUCAAUCUGGCGAUUGGGGAGCGAUGUGCUACGAGCUUUUAGGCGCUAUUUCGGAGAAAAUUAACGAAGGUCGGAUCGAGAUGGGAUGGUUACGAGACACAUUCCCAGAUUCGGAUGAUGAUUCAACCGAAGUAGAAAGAAUCUGAUAUGUUCGGGUAUACAUUCUUCAGAUAAUUGGAGGUUAUCUGAUGUCGGACUUGUCACAGAACCUCGUACAUCUAAGAUGACUGUUGAAACUUGUUGAUUUUAGAGCAGCUGGUGAAUUGAGUUGGGGGUCUGCCUUGUUGGCAACAUUAUAUCGGGAGAUGUGCAGGGCGACGCGACCGAGUAAAGCGAAAAUCGGAGGUUGCCUGUCACUUGUGCAGUCAUGGGCACGGUUUCGCUUUUCAUUUUUACGUCAUCGAGUGGACUAUCCAUAUACAUUCCUACUCAUAACGAGGUAAAUUUUAUAUUAGAUUUUACAAUUAUUACGUAGAUUUUUAAAAAAAAUAGUAUGUUAAAAUUUUAUUUAAUUAGGUGGAACCAUCCUACAAGUUAUGCUCGAUUACUUAUCUCUCUUGAAGAUAUACGGCUUCUAUUGGACUAACGGUCGGAAGCAUAAGUAAGUAUUAAAUAAAAUAGAUAUUUCCAUAAUGAGAUAGUCGAUUGGUAUUUAGUAUUUAGUACAUAACUAAUAUUUCCAUCAUGGUCAUAUAGUUUGAAUGGACACCAUACGAGGAUCCGGCAAUUCGGGCAGUAAUUCCGGAUGAGUACUUCCAAAAUCGAAACGGUUGGCAUGUGAAAUUCCCAUUGGUCAACUUUGCGACUGUAGAGAUGCACCAGUCGGACAGAGUAUUACGGUAAUUUAGAUUUCGACAACCGAUUCCCGUGGCACCUGAGGUGUUGGAUGAUCAUCACAAAAUCGACCUACAACAAUUUCAUACGGAUUGGCCGAGAUUCUGGUCACACUACAUCCAAAUAUGAGAAGAUCGGUAUGACUAUAUACCUACUCGGGAACCGAUCAUCGUUCCAAAGUUAGCGUGCGUGCUGGAAUACAUGCCAUAGUUUAGGAUCAAUGGGAAGCUGUAUUUACUUUCGCCAGAGGAGAGGCAGCAGCAAUUGUGUGUCCAAAGGGAACGACAUGGCCCUUUAAAUCCAAAAAGAAGGGACGACGAUGCAGGCCCAUCAACGAGGCCUAGAAAUUUACCCGGCCCAUCAUCAGCGCCCAUAACUUCAUCAAGCCUAGCAACAGCACUGACACAGUCACUCGACCCAGCAGUUCAACCGACGAUACCCACUGCACAACUUUUUCAGAUGAUGCCAGGUGCAUAUCCUAGCCCUUUUAUGUAUCCUGACCCUUAUAUGUUUCCUUUUCCUAGUCUCAUGGCAGGUUGGAGUCAAUGGAUCGGUUCAUCUCCAUUUUCGACUACGUCGAUUGGAUCGCCGAUGUAUAGGUCAUCGUCGCAGGAGGGAUCGCAAGAGGGGCCGUCAGGGAGCUCUUUUUUUUACCAAACCCCAUCACUGUAUGGGUUUCAAAUACCUUCGCUGUUGGUGAUGCAAACACCUCCACAUUCACUAUUCUAUCAAGGUGACUCAUCGUCCCAACACCGACAACCAGAUCCCCUACUGGAUGAACCAGAAUCCCUGUCGGAGCAACCACAACCCCCACCGGAAGCUGGACAAAGAAGGAAUCCAGUGCGUAACCAUCGAUGACCGCCAUGUGGUACUGAAUCCGGCGGGCACGGAGAUUGAUUUUUAUUUUAAAAUAUUUGUACAAAAUAGUUUAUAUUAAUGUAAUAAAAUACAAAAUAGUUUAUUUUGAAUAUUUUGAUAUUAUUUGAUGUAAUAAAAUACAAAAUAGUUUAUUUUGAAUAUUUUGAUAUUAUUUCAUUUAAUAAAAUACAAAAUAGUUUAUUUUGAAUAGUUUGAUAUUAUUUGAUGUAAUAAAAUACAAAAUAGUUUAUUUUGAAUAUUUUGAUAUUAUUUCAUUUAGUAAAAUACAAAAUAGUUUAUUUUGAAUAUUUUGAUAUUAUUUCAUUUAAUAAAAUACUGAAUAUUUUGAAUAUCUUAAUAAUAGAAAUUCUUUUAAAUAAGGCAAUAUUUUGAACACUUGACAUAUUAUUUCAUUUAAUAAAAUACAAAAUAGUUUUGAAUAAAGUGAUUGUAAUUUACUUUAAUAUUUUUAAUGAAAUAGAUUUAAAAUAAAAUAAGUAAAUAUUUUGAAUAUUUGUACCAAUUUUUUAUUUUAAAAAAAUAUAAAUAAUACAAAGUUGUUUACAAUUACGUUCAACUAUUGCGAUUUGGAUAUGAUCGGCUUGUAUGACCUAGAUUUUUACACCAUCCGCACAACUUUUAUUGACUGGUUGUUUCUCGGAUAUCCAUAUUGUUACGUAUUCUAGUUGAGCAAGGUCGACCAUUUGGUUUGCGACGCAAUUCUCUAUCCGGUAAUAGCUUAAAAGGAGCAAGCGAUACGGGCGGCCACUUACGUUCAUCUGGGACCAGUGAGAAAAUGUGUCUCCAGAUGUUGUACAUGUUUUCUAAUUUGUAUACUUUGUCGACAUAGCUCAUCGGAUCCAGAUGGAGAUUCUGACAAGCUGCAAUUACAUGAGUGCAUGGAUAACGAAGUGCAUCAAACAUCCUACAGUCACAAGUCAUAUUUCGCAAAUGUACAUGAUAUUGUCUGCCAAUAAUACCUUGGUGCGGUCUGUCAAACUCUGCCACGCAAAACCAUAAGUUGUCUUGAUCGUGACACACUGUGUACAUGGUGUUCGCCCGCUCCUUGGCCUUGUUAAUUUCUUGCACUACCUUACUGCACCAUACAUGGCCUCCCUGCAUCUGACCUGCAUAACUCGCUGCUUGUUUUGGAAAUAGCGCCGCCAAACGAAAAUAUGUCUCUCGCACAACCGAUGUUAUCGGUAGAUGGCGCGUUCCUUUUAGAACAGAAUUUAUGCAUUCAGCCAGGUUUGAGGUCAUAUUACCAUAUCGUAGGCCGACAUCGUAUGCGUGCGCCCAUUGUUCAAAACGUAUGUUACAAAGGUAGUCCGCGUAUUCGCCGUUAAUUGAACACAAAACUACCAACAUCUCGUGAAAACGGUCUUUAUUUAUUUUAUACCCUGCUAAUAUAAGUUCAUAGCGAGUAUUAUAUACCACUUUUUCAUUUAUAAUAAAUUUAAAACGACAAACGAAAUAACACAGACAGAGACUAAAUGCCCAUGUUGGUCACUUGUCGUUGUUCGCUCUUAGAUGGAUAUUGCCUGUAGUAGUUGGAAGCAACAUGUCUUAGGUAAUAUCGAUGGUAUGUGCGCUGCCAUAAGCUUCCAUGUCGAUUAAAUGCAGCUAGUAAACCGGUGCCCCGAUCUGAAAUAACACAGAUAUCAAGUUAGGGGCACACAUGCCUCAUUAACCUAGAUAGAAAAAAAUCUCAGUCAUCAGAUGACUCCCCCAGUGUUAUUGCAAACACAAUUGGAAGAAUUCUCCCACCGCCAUCCUGUGCCACUGCAAGCAAUAGGGGUGAGCAAAAUUCGAUUCGACUCGAAAAAAUCGAAAAAAAUUCGAAUUUCGAGUUAAACGAAUCGAGUUAUUCGAGUUAAUCGAGUUAUUCGAAUCAACUCGAAUUUUUUUUCGAAUUUCGAGUUCGAAUCGAGUUGAGUUUUCGAAUUUGAAUAACUUGAAUAAUUCGAAUAAUUCGAAUAUCAAACUAUAAUAUUUUACAUUUUUACCCCAAACUCCCAAACAUUUUUACUUUUCCCUCAAAACUUUUACUCCUUCCCACUUUCCCCCCAAAACUUUUACUCCCCUCCCCUCCUAACCCCUCAAUCUACCCAACCCANNNNNNNNNNNNNNNNNNNNNNNNNNNNNNNNNNNNNNNNNNNNNNNNNNNNNNNNNNNNNNNNNNNNNNNNNNNNNNNNNNNNNNNNNNNNNNNNNNNNNNNNNNNNNNNNNNNNNNNNNNNNNNNNNNNNNNNNNNNNNNNNNNNNNNNNNNNNNNNNNNNNNNNNNNNNNNNNNNNNNNNNNNNNNNNNNNNNNNNNNNNNNNNNNNNNNNNNNNNNNNNNNNNNNNNNNNNNNNNNNNNNNNNNNNNNNNNNNNNNNNNNNNNNNNNNNNNNNNNNNNNNNNNNNNNNNNNNNNNNNNNNNNNNNNNNNNNNNNNNNNNNNNNNNNNNNNNNNNNNNNNNNNNNNNNNNNNNNNNNNNNNNNNNNNNNNNNNNNNNNNNNNNNNNNNNNNNNNNNNNNNNNNNNNNNNNNNNNNNNNNNNNNNNNNNNNNNNNNNNNNNNNNNNNNNNNNNNNNNNNNNNNNNNNNNNNNNNNNNNNNNNNNNNNNNNNNNNNNNNNNNNNNNNNNNNNNNNNNNNNNNNNNNNNNNNNNNNNNNNNNNNNNNNNNNNNNNNNNNNNNNNNNNNNNNNNNNNNNNNNNNNNNNNNNNNNNNNNNNNNNNNNNNNNNNNNNNNNNNNNNNNNNNNNNNNNNNNNNNNNNNNNNNNNNNNNNNNNNNNNNNNNNNNNNNNNNNNNNNNNNNNNNNNNNNNNNNNNNNNAAGGUGGACAAAUUGGGUGACAAUGGUUACAAGGACCCAAAAUUAUUUUUUAAAAUUUAACUCGAACAAAUAUAUUCGAUUCGAUUCGAUUCGAUUCGAUUCGAAUUCCAUCUCACUCGACUCGAUUCGAGAAAACUUCAAAUAAAGUUAGGAUGAUAAAAUGAUAUUCGAAAACUCGAUUAACUCGAAAAUUUUCGAUUCGAUUCGAUUCGAUUCGAUCGAAUGCUCACCCCUAGCAAGCAAUAGUCGAUGAGUAUACCUACCAAACAUAAAGGUACCGUCAAUUUGUACCAAUGGCUUGCAGUAUGGAAAUGCAUCUUGGCAUUGCUUAAAGGUCCAAAACAGGCGUUUGAACACUUGGCAUCCACGUAGCAAUCGGCCGUUGUAGUACGCAUGUUCCGUUUCAAGGUCUGUGAUGCAACCUGGGACGUAUCUCUCUAACACUUGACACCACUGUCAUAUUUCAUUAUAUAAAGCGUCUCACCCACAAAGCAUAUUCUCUAACGCCUUCUGCUUAGCUAUCCAAGCCUUGCGGUAAGAGCGCGUGUAUCCCAUUUUGCUACGAAUAUUGGCAAUUAAGACCGGCACUGAAGUCUUGAGACCUACCUUCACUGUGGGUAGUAUCAAGCUAGCUAACAUAGCUAAAUCCAUAUUGGGAUGAUCUUGUGAAACACCUAUAAACGGAGUACAUUAAAUAAUGCAACAUUACAUAAUAACAGUAUUAUUCAAAAACCAUUAAUACUGUACCUGCAGCACAUGUAUGUGGACCUUUGUACUUUUUUAUCUCCCAUAACCCUGUCCUUUUCCUCAACAAGGCAUAGAUUUUCCAUGACUUCGCCUCAAACUUAUCAGAUUUGGAUUUAACCACGUGGUAGUUAACACCGUUAUUGAUGCUAUAUUGUUUUAAAGCACCAAUAAAACUAUCAUUGUUGGAAAAUUGAUUACCAACUUCAAAUUCACCUGAAUCCAGCCCCGAACUUGUACGAUCACGCAACCGGUGUGGUAGAUCUAGAAACUCUAACGCAUCAUAUGCAGACAGGUCGACAUUAUGCAUGUGGGCUGAAGGUGAGUAUGCUUUGAAUCGUAGAUUUUUUUCUUCAUCUGAACUCCUUUUAGCAUCUUCAGGUUCUGUUGGAAUAGGUUCUAAUUCAGAAAAUAAGCCAACUUCUGUACCAUCGGGCUCGGUUCUCGAGGUGGAUCCACAUCGGAGUCAUCUUCUAACCCACUAUCAUCUGCAACGUACGAUGUCCCCUCACCGGUGGACGUCGUAGGGAGUACAUCAUCCCUUUUUCUGGGCAUUUCAUAACGUCCCCAAUUGAAUGUAGAUUGCCAAUCACUAGAACUUGAUGUCAUUCCCCAGUACGUAUUUCCAGCAUCAAACAUCGAGCCACCGACGUACAUGUCCUAUCCACCGACAGAGUGUCUUGUAGGGGAUGUGCAUUCCACACCGCUACCAAACAUGGGCUGUUCUGUAUUUUGUAACUUGCUAACCGAGUGUCAGCCAAGGGUCGUGUAUACCUCUCAAACACCAGUCGCAAGUACAUCAUUUGGCGAUGUAAAUUGUACAUAUAACCCAGUAUAAGGUGCACCACUAGCAAGAUGAGUCUGCACCAUUGCCUCUAAGCUACGAGCACCUUUUAUGUCGAACGAGUAAUAUGUCACCGGAUCAACAGAAGAACAAAAUCGAUACGUAAUAGAUAAAACUUUCAUUGGCAUCGUUCCAAAAAUUUUACGCCUAAUUCUUUUACGAAGUUCUGUCAAAUAUAUGUUCUGGUUAAAAACCAGUUGCACUGUAUUCUCCGAUAAAAAACAACACCGUUCUCGGUGUGACAAACUUCACCAUCAUAGUAAAUAACAACACUAAUACGUUCACUCAUCUUUAAUUUCUAACCUUCUUAGCCUCUCUAAAUUGUUUUUGCUGUAACUUAUGCAAUCCGAGAACAUUUUUUGCCUCAUUUAUAGCCUCAGCCCAAACAUGCUACUGUAGCAAAAACGUGUCCACGUGGGAGCGAUUUCAGAAAUUCUUCUGAUAAAACAUCCUGCUUGAAGCGUUUUUUAUACUAUUUGCUCAGAAACGUCAAUUCGAAAUUAUUUUUUCAGGACCUACUAUAGCAAAAGCGCGUCCACGUGAGAGCGAUUUCAGAAAUUCUUCUAAUAAAGUAUCCUACUUGAAGCGUUUUUAUACUAUUUACUCAGAAACGUCAACUCAAAAUUAUUUUUUCAGGACCUACUGUAGCAAAAGCGCGUCCACGUGGGAGCGAUUUUAGAAAUUUUUCUGAUAAAAUAUCUUGGUUGAAGCGUUUUUAUACUAUUUGCUCAGAAACGUCAACUCAAAAUUAUUUUUUCAGGACUUACUGUAGCAAACGCGAGUCCACGUGGGAGGGAUUUCCUUAAUAAAUUUUUAAUUUAAUUACUCAUGUAACCCUAAACCCUAAUUUAAUUAAUUUUUUCUUAAAAACCAUAAACACGAAACCUAAUCCAAUUUUGAAAAAAAUAUAAUUAAUUUAAUUAAGAUACCCUAAACCUUAAUCCCUUAUUUGUUUAAUUUUUUCUCCAAAACCUUAAAAAUCCUAAAAAGCCUAAACCCUAAACCUAACCCUAACCCUAACCCUAACCCUGACCCUAAAAACCCAAAACCUAACAUAGGGAGAAACGGGCAAAACGCGUCCCCAAGGGAGCGCUUUAUGUGGCAACAAAACUCGCCCUUGAGGGAGCGAUUUCCGUCCAUGUAAGCAAAGCGUGCCCUCAGGGACGCGAUUUUCUGCCAUGUCCCCUGACAUCGCGCUGAUGUAGACGCGCUUUCGGGGAAAAGGGCCAUUCUGGUAAAUAAUAAAAUACCGGGCUCAUUUCGGUAAAUUUAAAAAAAAGGGCUUUUAAUGGUGUUUUGCCCCACUUAAACACCCGAAAAAGGUGAGUCUCCAAUUGAGUCGGUGAUGUUGCUGUUGACCCUGAUCUAAAGGUAUCUUGUCCUGAGGUGGUGAGAGCUUUCCUUCAAAAAAAUAUAUGCGAAAACAUAUUACUGUUUAAUUUUCUAUUCGCUAGAGAGAUGAAUAAGGCAAUAAAAGCAGCCAUUUUCAACUCUCAAGGCAACUAUAAUUUCCAAAGGGCUACUUUCUUCCAUUCCACUCUCGUCCUUAAACGCAAAAUAUGCAAUUAUUGGCAAUUUGUAUGCUUUCUUGGACUUUUUUUAAGCAUGUUUCUUUUAAUGGAUUUUUUUUUUUGUUUUCUGAAAUUUUGUUAUCAUUUUUUUCAUGAUUUAUGGUGUCUUAGAUUGUAUAAUUUAGGUUGAGAGAGCUUUUCUUAAUAUAAAAUUUCUUAAGGUUAUAAUUCUCUCUUGAUUAAAUGUAAUAUGCAAUGUAAAAUCAGUUGUCAUUCGAGAUCUGUUAGAAAUACGAUUUAAGUUUUUGAGGUAGAAAAUUACAUUUUUACUUAAGAUAUUAUAUUCAUUGAAAGAAAUGGAUUCCGAUUUUUGAGUGCUUGUACGAUGAAUACUCUUUUUGAUUUAUUUGAUUUUGGUAGAUGCAUAUGAAAAUAAAUAUUUAGUUAAAGCAUCCAUUGUUGAGUUAAUAGUAGAUUGCAAUAAUUUUCUAGGAUGAUUGGAGUUAAGUUUCACCUUCUUUUAAGUUAUAAUAAAUUAUAAUUUGUAAGAAAUAAUCAAUCCAAAUACAAUAUAAUAGAUAAAACCUAAUUAGCUUGAAUUAAAUAAAUUAAAUUCAAAAUAAAUUAUUGAUUAAAAUUUUCUAAAGGUUGAAUUACUCGCUUGAAAUAUAAGAAAAUUAAAUAAAAAUAUAAAGCUCGAAAAUUAAAUUUGAGAAAAACUUUAGGCCCAUUUUUCAUUUGAAUCAAGCUUAGAAAUUUUAUCUAACCUAAAGGUUAAGCCCAAUUUCUAAUCAAUAAAACUCAAGCCCAAACUAAUUCUAAGCCCUAAUUUAUUCCAAACCUAAUAGAAGUCUACUGCCAAUUUCGAUUUUGCCGUCCAACAUAUCCCUCAAAGACAAAAGAAGCCUCAUUCCGGUAAUGGGUUUUCUUUAAUUUCCUCAAAAGUAAGCUACAACUCAACUCCCAAAUCUGUCUUUUAGAUUGAUACGAAUGUUUUGUACCCCGUCCCAGUCCAACUCAGAUGCCCCGUCUUCAUCUUGUUCUUCCGUUGCAGUUCAUUUAGCUGUGAGUAUUUUGUUGGGAAUUGUGAAUUUGAUGGUUAAUUGAGCACAUUAUAAUAGGAAAAGUUGAUGUGCUUUUGUUGUAACCAAGCAACUAAUUUAGUGUUUUACUUUUAUGUAGUAUGCUGCCUAUGUGAUUAGUAUACAAUUUUUUUUCAAAGUUUAGUGUAUAUUAGGGUUCAAAUGCGUAUGUGGUGGAGUUGGUUUUCUCUUCUAUCAACUUUAUCUGGAAUAUUGAUUAUGGGUUUGCAUUCAAUUAUCUGUGAAAUUGUAGUUAUGUGAUCAACCUCCAUUAAAAAUUAUGAUAUAAAUUGGAUUAUUCUUUGUAUAAGCCAAGUUGGUUUCAUGAUUUCAUCUUUAACUGUUUUUUUUUUGUUAUUUUGCAUUAUGAUGGAGAUAUAAACAUUACAAUUAAGCUUCCUUUUAUCGAUGCUCUUUUUUACUUUGUGGAUACCAAUAAAAAUAUCUGUUUUGGAUCUACUGUAAUUUAGUUGUUUUAUUUGUUUGAAACAUUUGCUUCAUAGGAAUUAGUUUUCACUUCAUUUUUUAUGUUGAAAUGUUGUGGAGAAGGUUUGUGAGUCCCCCCUCCCUUUAUUCUUACAGUCAUCAUUUUCUAUAUUAUCUGUCAUUUGUCAAGCUUACUCAAUGUUUGAUUAUUUGUCUUUUUCACCCUAAAUUAGAUUAACAUAGCAUGAUUUUUCCAGAAAUGGCUCCUUUGAUUUCUCAAAUAUUGCUAGCAAUACAGCUUCUAGGAAAUUUAUAGUACCGUAUGCAUUAAGCAUUAGAAGAAUCUUAGCCUUUAGCUUUGUUGGAGGGAGCAGAAUGGGAUUCAUAUCUUACAUGCUCGGCAGCUCAGUAUUCGUUGAUUUUUUCCAUUUCUUUUUUGGCAAAUUGAAGGCACUAGAAAUUGUAAUUCUCGUAGUUGUAUUGUUGAACCUCGAAUAUUUUCCUACAAGAUGAUUGUAAACUAAAUGCUUUGAUAAACUGAAAGUUGGAAUCUGUAUUGACAUUAUUCAAGAUCUGAUCCAAAGUCCAAAUCCUUAUUGUGCAGUAAAAAAACGAAAAGUAAAAAUGAAAAAUUAUCACCCGCUUUAACUCCUGAAAAAGGCGAGUCUUCAAUUAAGCCGGUGAUGCUGUUGUUGUUUCUAAUCUCAAGGCGUCUUGUCUCAGGGCUGCAAGCUUUCCUUCAAGAAACCUAUGCAAAAACGUAUGACUGUUUAAUCUUCUGUCUGGUGGAGAGAUGAAUAGGGCAAUAAAAGCAGUCAUUUUCAACUCUCAAGGCAGCUGUCUUUUCCAAAGGGCUGCUUUCUUCCAUUCCACUCCUGUCCUUGAACACAAAAAACGCAAUUACUGGCAAUUUGUAUGCUCUUUUUCUUUCUUUUCUCUGUUAAUUAUUAAAUUAGAUAUUUAUAGUUUUAAGCAUGUUUUCUUUGAUGGGUCUUUUGGUUUUAUGGAAUUUUAUUUUCAUUCUGUUUUCAUGAUUUAUGGCGCCUUAGAUUAUAUAAUUUUGGUAGAGAGAACUUUUCUCAAUAUAAAAUUUUAAUCCUAUUGCACUCCUUGUUUUGGAUAAGUUAAUGGUGAAAUUGGAGCCUUUUUUUCUACCUGGGGUUCUGUAUAACAUGUAAGUGAAGAUACUGGAGUCUUGGCUGUUUCUAUGAUUUGUUUCAAUGACUGCUGGAAACUUCGAAGAUUAAAGAAUGUAAAAUUUUUUUUUUGGAAAAUAGUGAAACCUGUAAAUUUAGUUAUACAUUUAAUUGAGUAGUUUAUGGUUUAUGAUUGUUAAGUGCAAAAUACUAGAUAUUUUCAUUUGGUAAAAAUGAGAAAAUUUAAAUCAGGUUUUGUGUAAUAAAAUUUCAUAAGGCUAUAAUUCUGUCUUGAUUAAAUGUAAUCUGCAGUGCAAAACUAGUGAGUAAAUUUUUUAAGGAAGAAAAAUACAUUUUUGCCUAAGAUGUGUAUGAAAAUAAGUAUUUAAUUAAAGCAUCCAUUGCUGAGUUGAUAGCAGAUUGCAUUAAUUUUCUAGGAUGUUGGAGUCAGGUUUCACGUUUUCUUUAAGUUUUGUAUUUGUAGACACAUUUAUUUUUUAAGCAUUAGUCUCACCCUUUGCUAAGCUAGAACUUCUCAGAUAUUAGUUCUGCUUGGUUUAGGGGGACUGUUGCUGGUUGAGCCAAUUCUCGCAUUCCAUUAAGAAUAUUUAUUUUCUUUUGGUUUAUUAUUCCACCAAUAUAGACAAAGAAUCCUUGUUAAAUUCGUUGUUGUUGUUUGAUAAUCUUAUCAUUUAACUUGCAGUACUUUAAAAGUGUUCUUUUAUUGCUUUCAGCAUUUUGAAUGAUAUUCAUGUUGUUCUUGUAAUACUUUUGUUUGCAGGGUAAGAGGAAAAGAAGGAUGCGUGCAAAACAAGAAUUACUGCGCAAUUUUGGUGCUUAUGCAGAUAUCAUGUUUGAGGUUUCUUUUCAAAUCGAUUAGUUGUUUUUCUAGUUUAUGUAUAUUGUAAUAAAACCUGUAUGGUCAUGGAAAAGCAAACAUACUCCUGUGGGUUCAAAAGUUGCAUUAUGGAGGACUUGUAUUGCACUGGCUCAUGUGCUUCUGUUUGUAUCCCUAGUCAGUCGUAGUUGUGUCAUCCCAUUCCUGAAUGGAGCUAUGCUACAUUUUUGGGAUUUCCAUUCAUGUAUAUAGGUGCAUCUCCUGCGGGUCUUAUAUAAUUUGUGGGAUCAGCAUGCACUGCUGUUGCCUUAUCGUAGAACUGAUUCUAAUUUAGCCAAUAAUGCUUACUUUUAAAUGGAACUCUAGUUAAUGUAGUCAAGAUCUAAACCAAUGUACUCGCUGGUUAAUUGUGUUUCUUUGGUGAAAAUUUAGUAGUGUAAUAUGUUUUAUCGACCUUUGAGCAUAAUAAUUCUUUUAAAAUUUUAAAAUUAUCAUAAAAUGUUCAAUUUUGAAUGCAAAAUCUAGAAAAAAAAAAAACAAAUUUUUUUAAGCUCAAGGUUGUAAUAGUAAUACAUAUUGCAGAAAGUUUUUUUUAAGCAUUAGUGAUCUUUGUACGUUUAGCUUAUUAGAAUACUAUUUUCUUAACUGGUAUCUUUGAAUCAAAGGGUUUCAACUGUUCUUUGGUCAUUUUGCUUUCAGAACUGGAGAGAUGAGUUUCAUGAAGAUGAUCCGUCAUCAAGUAGAGGCCCGUCAUGGUUCAAAAGACAGCAAAGUAAGGGAUCUAGAAGAGAUUGGUCCGACAAUAAGGGAUUUUAUUACAGGGGUAGAAGUAAGGAUUUUAAUCUCUUAGAACUUAAAAUUUUCAGACCUAUAAUUAUGUUACAUGACCAUAAAGAAUUUUUUCUACAUUGAAAGGAGCCUCUAGAUUGGAUUUCGUUCUAUUUUUCCAAGGAGUGACCUUUUGAAACCCGAGUGGUUAGCUUAUACCUGGAUCUACUUUAAUAAUCAUCAUUUGGUGUUGGAUGUAAUACUUAUUGCUCUAUUUUAGGCAUCUCAGUCAUUCAAUUACUUCAAAACAAUUUAUUUCCUUCUCUGGUUUUUUUUAUUGAAAUUUAUUGUAGCAUAUUGCAUGUACUAUCACAUUAUCCUCCUGGAUCCCAUGCUAGAAUCUUACUGUUUUUGAACACUUGAUUAGGACCUUUUGAGUUUUGUGAAGACAUUGAUGAUGACAUAGAGAACAUAUUUAGGUCUGCAUUUGGUGGAAGCCAGUUCUUUUAUUGGUCCUUCAUUAAUGAUGAGUACCCUAAAUGGAGGAGAUCCAGAUACUCGGAUAACUAUGAGAAAUCUUGGAGGUGGAGUUCUCGAUUUGAUGAGGAUUCAGACUCAACAGAAUCUGGUAAUGCUGAGAGUUCAGACCAAGAUACAAUUGCAGAUAGGCGGGCCCUUGGACUAAGUGCAUCUGGUCCUCUAACACUUGAAGAUGUCAAAACUGCGUGAGUUCUUUUGUUGUGUUUCUCAAAUAUCCUAGUGUGUGUGUAUAUUUUUGGGUUAUUUCUUUUGGGGUACAUAUAAUAACCUUGUAAAUUGUUUUUGUUGUUAAAACCACCACAGUUGCUUUUGAAAAGAUAUUCUUUUAUGUUGUCUGAUUAUUUUUGUUCUCUUAUUUUGUUAGAUAUCGAGCCUGCGCACUGAAAUGGCAUCCAGAUCGUCAUCAUGGCUCUUCCAAGGUAUACAUUCCCGUUCAUUAGGGCACUUUGUUGUUUGGUUCGCUUAAAAUAAAGAGCAUAUUUUGAUUGUUUUGUGUAAGAUUCAGAAUCAUUCCUUUAUUUAUUUAUUUUUUAAAUUCUGAUACUUGAAUAUCUAAAUUCUAAAGUAAGAGGUGUCAUCAUAAUACUUCAAAGAACAUUUUACAGCCGUUAACCCUCUUAUUUAUUUAGGCAAUCUUGAACGUGGUUUUUAUGGCUACAUUCAGUAAACGGUCUAGUUAUGUUAUCCAGACUUUUCGUUUGCCUUAAAGUAUCCGUGCCUAACACAUUAAAAAUCUUUAGAAAAAUUGAACAUGUAAGUGUUGAUCACAUUCAAUCCCGAGUUGGGGUAUCAUAGCAGACUGGUAAGUAAAUGUUGGUUGUCUUCAAACUGUUAUGGAUGGCCCUAAUAGAUAUUAUCGUAACUUUUUGUUUUAACAAACUGAUGAGUGAAUGCACAAUGAGCAGGCUGUUGCAGAGGAGAAAUUCAAGCUUUGUAACUCAGCAUAUCAGUCGUUAUGCGAUAAGAUGGCAUUGAACUGAGGAAUGUUUUGAAGCAUGCGCUCUAGAUGUCCUCAAGCCGAUAACAUUUGUUAUAUUUAUGAUAAUGGGUGUUGACAUUUUGUAUUUUAGAUAGAUCAGAUAAUAACAGUGGGCGGCAUGAACACAUCAUGUAUGGAUUCAUGUGAUUUUAACACUUCAAAUUUGCAUAUCAAUAUUUAAGAAAAUCACUCUCGCUCAGUUUCUCAUCUGGGCUUCUUCCUACUGAUGGUAUGAUGGUGUGAUAAACUAAGUACUCUCAUGUUAUGUAUGUUUAUGAAUCAUGUGAUAAGGUGAAAAUAAAUUUGUACAAUUCAAAAUCAUCUUAUUUUAAAAGGAAAAUAUGUUGUGUUAAUUUUGGUGAUAUAUUUUUAAAGACUUCUAAUAUUAAAAUUAAUUGCACUCUUUUAUUGGGUAAAUUUGAAGUAUAUGUGGAUUUGGAAAAAUAUUUAGGUAUUUUUUUAUAUUUAGGGAAAUAAGUUAAUUUUGGCGAGAAGCAGAAACCGUGUGUUGUUGGAACUAUUGUUUUUUGUGUUGGGUGUUGAAAAUUUGGGAAGAAAGAUUUAUUUGUGUUUGUAUUUAAGGUAAAUAUUGUGAUAGUUUUAAGGUAUAUUUGAGUUCAUAGUGAUACAAUAGUGUUCGGAGACCUACACAUUUCAUCUGUCGUGUUGGGAUGAAACCAUUAUUUUAGGAGCCAAUCGCAUUGUAACUUAGGCUCCGAAUUUAUACGGAGUUGAAGUAUAACUAGGGCUCUUAGCAUACGAUGGUUAUGCGAUUACUAGUUGGGAGUAUAACUUGGGAGUCCAAUUGAUAAUGGUUAUGCGGUUACUGGUUCAAGUUUCAUGAUACCGAAAGAGGAUAUUUUAUAAACCCCAUUUAUAAGUUUAAGACUAUAAUCAUAGGGAAAAAUAAAGCGGUUUCAGGGGAUGAGUGAUUGUUGCGGUGGAGAGAAAGCUAAAACUCGAGUCAGGGCGACAACAAUUGUAGUUAUUAAUGAGUUCUUUAAUCACAGUAACCGUUGUCGCCCUAAAAGGACUUUUAGGUUUUUUCACCGUAACAAUCUCUCCAAAGUCCUCUUUCCCUUAAUUUUGUCACAGGUUUCGAACAAUAAAGUUAAAGAUAUUGCUUUGGAGGAGACGAAAAAAAAAUGAAUAAAUUGGUUAUACCAGAAAACCUUUUAAUUUUUCCCUAUAAUUAUGGUUUCAAACUUAUGUAUGAGGUUUAUAAAGUAUAAUCUUUGAUGGCAUGAAACUUGAACUCGUGACUGCAUAAUCACCGUUAAUUAGGCUCCCGAGUUGUACCCCAACCCGUGACUGCAUAACCACGUUAAUUGAGGGCCUUAGUUAUAUUUCAACUUGUGACUGUAUAACCACUGUGAACUGGAGCCCGAGUUUCAAUGUGAUGGGCUUCUAAGGUGAUGGUUCUAUCCCCACACCGUAGAUGAAAUGUAAGGGUCUUCGAGCAUCACCGCAUCACUGUGAACUCAAACAAACCUUAAAACUAUCUCAUAGUCUCCCUCAAACACAAACACAAAUAAAUCUUCCCGUCUAGAAAUUUCAGCACUCAACAAAAAUACAAUUUAUGAGAGAUUUUUUUAUUUUGUAAGAGACGGUGGCCGAGAAAGUUGGAGUAGGGGGCAAAAUCCCCCUUUAUAUAGGCAAUUGGGAAAAAAAUAAAUAAUGUGGGAGCCCGUGAUCGGAAUUCCCGGGAUAGGAUGUCUGAAAAUUAUCCUGGGAUUUUGGGGUUCUGAAUUAUUUUCACGAGUUAGGGUUGAAAAUGGGAGGGAAGAAAAUGUGCCUUAUAAGACACAUUUUCAGCUAAGGUGGUAGAAGGGACUCUGAAAUUGUAUCUUGUAGGACACGCUUUCAGCCUGCAUGGCGCCAACUCAGCUGAAAACGCGUCUUAUAGGGCGCGUUUUCAACAUCCUUUCUGCUAACUCAACUGGAAACGCGCGUGUUUUCUUCCCUCCCAUUUUCAACCCUAACCUUAACUUGUGAAAAAUUCUCAGAAUCAUAACCCUAACCUUAAACUAGAGAUUCUUAAGCUAGAGAAUCCCGAAUAAAAUUCAGACAUCACAUCCCAAAAUGUUUUUGAAAACGCUUCUGUAAGACGAAUUAAUAAGUUUCAAAUUGAAUCUCAUAAUUAAGUUUCGUUUUAAGUCAAUUAAUAAAAUAAAAACCCUAAUUUUGGUAUCCGACUCAAACCUUCGAUUUAAUACUAACUUGAUUUUUAAGAUGUGACACUUCAAAUCAUAUAAAAUAAUACUAAUUAAAUUUAAAUGUAAGUAAUUGUUAUUUAAAUAUAUAUGAUUAACUAUUCUCUCCCAUGGUUUCCCUGAAUGACUCUGGUCUAGUUGAGGGUUGAGAGUUUUGGAGAAGUGUUUGUACUUGCAUUUUAAGGUUAAAAAGUGAGAUUCUUCCGCCAAAGAUUGAAGUUGGAUUAUUUAGUUUUGCAGAUAUGUUUGAGAAUAUUCCUUUUUCACAUUUAAAUGUGUUUAUGUAAAUAUAUAAAUAACAUUAUAUGUGUUUAUAUUUAAUUAUACGUGUUUGAUGGUUAAAUUGAUAGAAUUUGUAAAUGUGAAGGGUUAAGUUUAUUGAAUGAUUUAGAAUUAAUAUCAAAUAGAUAAAAUAUAUAAGUAUAGAAAACUAUUCGUGUUAUUAUACUAAUUAAAAAGGACCCAUGAUAUGAUUUAUCCUAUAUAUAUUUUAUAAAAAUUGCGGUACAAUCAUAACUUUUUAUGCAUACUUUAAAAAAAAUUAAUAUUUUUUUUGUUAUUUUUAUAUUGGAGCAUUUAUGUGGUAAAAAGUUAAGCAGGUAGAAUUAAAUGAAUUAAAAUGGAAAUAGAUAUUGAUUAUCAUCUGUCUGUAAAAAAACAAGGCUGAGUAAGUGAAUGAAAUCAUAAACAUCGUCGACCAACCACGGCGUCUUACAUCCAUAGGAUUAUAUAUCAUUUGAAUUACCAAAAAUAUCCCUUUUCUUCAACUCUUUUCAAUUUCCUUCCUCCUCUAUUCCUUUUCUUUUUCAUUGUUUCAACUUCCUAAUGCUAAAAGCUAUACAAAUUCUUGGGUGUUCAUCUGGGUUUAUCUCUCAAAGACUAAAGAAGCCUCAUUCCGGUAAUGGGUUUUCUUUAAUUUCCUCAAAAACAAGCUACAACUCAACUCCCAAAUCGCUGUCUUUUAGAGUGAUUCGGAUGUUUUCGACUCCGUCCCAGUCCAACUCAGAUGCCCCUUCUUCCUCUUCUUCUUCCGUUGCAGUUCAUUUAGCUGUGAGUGUUUUGUUGGGAAUUGUGAAUUUCGUGGUUGAUUGAACACAUUAUAAUAGAAAAAUUGAUGUGCUUUUUGUGUAAUUAAGCAACUAAUUUUGUGUUUUACUCUUUUGAUUAGUAUAAAAAGUUAUUUAUUUUUAAAAAGAAGUUCAGUGUAUUUUAGGGUUCAAAUGCUUAUGUGGUGGGUUUGGUUUUCUGUUCUAUCAACUUUAUCUGGAAUAUUGAUUAUAGGCUUGCAUUCAAUUAUCUGUGGAAUUGUAGUUAUGUGAUCAGCCUCCAUUGAAAAUUAUGAUAUAAAGUGAAUGAUCUUUGUAUAAGCCAAGUUGGUUUAAUUUUUGUGCUAUUUUGCAUAAUGAUGGAAGUACAAACAUUAAAGCUACCUUUUCUCGCUGCUCCUUUUUACUUUGCGGAUACCAAUAAAAAUAUCUGUUUUGGAUCUACUGUAAUUUAGUUGUUUUAUUUGUUUGAAACAUUUGCUUCACAGGAAUUAGUUUUCACUUCAUUUUUUAUGUAGAUAUGUUGUGGAGAAAGUUUGUAAGUCCGCCCUCCCUUUAUUCUUGCAGUCAUCAUUCUCUAUAUUACCUGUCAUAUGUCAAGCUUACUCUAUGUUUGAUUAUUUGUCUUCUUCACCCUAAAUUAGAUUAACGUAGCAAGACUUUUUCCAGAAAUGGCUCCUUUGAUUUCUUAAAUAUUGCUAGCAACACAGCUUCUAGGAAAUUUAUAGUACCUUGUGCGGAUUCUCCUAAUGUCUUGUUAUUUGGCAGUUGUUAUGUUAUAAACAUGUCUGAUAUUCUUUUGUUUUUGGAUUCCGUGUAUGGUUAUUUUGCUAAACAUAGUUUACUUAGUUUGACUCUGAUGUAGGCUUUUGAUUCUGGUUUCUUUGGUAUUUGUAUUUAUUUACUUUUUUCAGAAUGUUUAUGCAUUAAGCAUUGGAAGAAUCUUAGUCUUUAACUUUGUUUGAGGGAGCAGAAUGGGAUUCAUAUGUUACAUGCUCUACUGCUCAGUAUUCGUUGAUUCUUUUUCUAUUUCUUAUUUUGCAAAGUGAAGGUGGCUAGAAAUUUUAAUUCUCUUUUUCAUAGUUGUAUUGUUGAACCUCAAAGUGCUGAUAGUAGCCAUAACUUAUUUUCCUACAAGAUAAUUGUAAACUAAAUGCUUUGAUAAACUGAAAGUUGGAAUCUGUAUUGACAUUUUUUGUGGUUGUUUUCUUUACCUAUGGUGGUAGAAUAUCCCAAGGGGUCAAGACUAAGAAUGUGAAGGAAAAUACCUAAUUGUAUACCAGUGAUUGAGUGUCUUUGUCAUUUUACAGGGCAAUGUCCGUAAGAUCAAGUUCUGCCAGUGGUGUGGCGGCCCAGCAAAGCAUGAAAUUCCUGAUGGAGAAGAGAAGAUAAGAGCUAUUUGCACCCUCUGUGGAAAAAUUGCCUAUCAAAACCCAAAAAUGGUAUGUUAAUUCAUUGCCGCAACCAAAAUAUUGCAUGUUUCUGCCCAAGUAUCGCUCAGGGUUAUGGUCUUCGUCUCUCCAAGCUUUUUCACUUUGAUUUAUGGACACAUUGCAGAUAUUUAAUCCUCUAGAAUAGGGUAUUUGAAGUUUGAAGGGAAGGCCCUAGAUUUGCAUAGAACGGGGUUAUGUGUUACUUUAACAUACAUCUUUCAGAAAACUAAAGAUUUUUCCGUGCUUUGAUAAGCCUUUGAAGAGAAGCCCCCUAGGUUUGCACAGCUUCGGGUUAGGGUUUCUUUUUCUUUUUUCCCUGUCUCCAUUUGAUCAGGAUUUUAAAGUAACGUGAAGGAUCAUGGCAUGGUUUUACUUAAUCAACUACUUAAAAGUGAAAUGGAAAUUUUUUUUUAUCAUCUUUAAUGGUUGCUUUUGUUGCAAGUUUUUAUUUAUCUAUUAGGCAACAUGAAAAAUAUGGGUUUAGGGUUUCUUCAAAUAGCCCACAAGCAUUGGGGUGGGGGUAGGUAAUGGGUUUCGUUCCUAUUUUAGAUGGCUAGUAGAGAAAAAUGCUUUGAAUAAAAUGUAUGCUUCCUGUAUUCUGAAUCAUUGUUUCCUUGGUAAUUUGUACAUUGUUGCAGGCUUUGAAUUACUUUCAAUUUUCAAGAAUAUACUUUUAUGCUUAAUUUUUGUUCUAAAUUGAUGAUACCUUUAGGUUGUGGGUUGCCUCAUUGAGCAUGAUAGAAAGAUUCUACUAUGCAAGCGAAAUAUUGAACCAUCUUUGGGUCUUUGGUAUGUAUUUAUAUGAUUGGAAUUUUGUUUAGGAAAGGAUUGAAUAUUGUUUUUUUCAUUUCCUGAUAUUUGUUUGCAAAAGAGAUUAAUUAUGCAUUUGAAGCAUGGAGUAUUCACACUUGCUUUUCUUGUAAAAUAGCAAGUUUCUACCAUCUCUGAUGGCAAUACAAAUAUUUGAGUUGAUUGGGUGGCAUUAACAUAGGACUCUUCCUGCUGGUUACCUGGAAAUUGGGGAGUCUGCUGCUGAAGGGGCAAUAAGGGAAACAUGGGAAGAGGCAGGAGCUGAAGUGGAAGUCAUUUCCCCUUUUGCACAACUGGAUAUUCCCCUUAUUGGACAAGUUAGAAGAAGCAUCCUUAAUUUACUUCUGUAUCUCAUGUACAUUUAUGGAAGAUGUUUAUGUAUCUAACAUCGCUUUGUCCUUUUUGGAGCAGACUUAUGUAAUCUUCUUGGCAAAGCUGAAGAAGCCCCAAUUUUCACCAGGACCAGAAUCAUCUGAGUGCUGUCUCUUUGAAGUGGACGACAUUCCCUUUGAUUCUUUGGCAUUUUCUUCCAUUUUUGUUACUUUGAAUUUGGUAUGAGCUUUUUCUUUUUCUUUCUUUCCAUAAAUGUAAAUAUGCUUUUGUUACUUUGAAUUUGGUAUGAGCUUUUUCUUUUUCUUUCUUUGCAUAAAUGUAAAUAUGCUUAAAAUUUAUCUAAAAAUUUUCAUCGACAUAAAUUUUCAUAAAUUGUAUUAUCUCUCUGUUGCUGCAGUACAUCGAAGAUGUUAAAUCUGGGAAAGUAAAGUUUCACUAUGGCACCAUUAACAAAAGGUAAUUCAAUUUUUUAUUUCUUAAACUGCCACCAUUGUGAAGCUCAUUGAGGGAAGAGAAAUUUAGUUUCUGAACUUUCAUUUAUCAUCUUGAAUGCAUAAACAGCGAAAUAGGGAGAAAAACCUGUUUCCCGAUGUUUGUUGAAAAAUGCUAUUUUAAGUUUUCCUGUUUCAUUGUCUCUUUCCCCAACAAUUAGGGGGUUCCUUUGUAGUUUUGUUGUUUUGCAGUAUGAUCUGAAUGAAUGUGAAACUUGCACUUUAGCUUGUUCCUUAUUUACUAGUUGUUUUACUAUCAAUCUUAGUGAAGCUCUCUCUUAUUAUCAUGUCCUGGUUCUGAUGUUUGGUGGCAGGCUUGGGACUGGCCCAUCAGAUAUCCGUGCCUUUACCCUCGACUAUCACUUGCAGGUUUGAGAUGCGGUUGCCACAUCUUGUGAAGUGAAUAAUAGUGGGGGUAAGGCUAAUGUGCUGAAUUGUUGGGAGUGAAAUCCUUUUACCGUUUCUUUGGCUCUGAGAAAUUGGGUUUAGUCUGGUGCUGUAUCUUCCAUUGAUAUUUGAGUUUUCCAAGUAAUAUCCCUACAAUGUUGAUCUGGAUUAUUGGUGUUAUGAGUUGCCUUUCAUAUACUUAAAUUUCUGUGUUCUUCAUCUCUUAUCGCUCCUAUUCUAAUGAAGUUCCUAUUUGUUAGUUAACAACCAGAUUCUCAGGGUAAAUGUUUUAUUGAAAUUUCCUGCAUUGGUAGACAUAUCUUAGAAAAUUGAUUUUUUCCCCUUUUGAAUUUAUUGUUCUGCUUUCUGGGAUUGAAUGCACAACUUUUCGGUGUUGAGAUAGAGUUGAGCACCAAGACGAACUGUGGGUGAGAUAAAGGUUUUAUGAGGUCUAAAGCUAAAAGUUGGGAAAAGAUAUAUUUUGGUCUUGAAAUAGGUUUCAUGGACUUGCUUCUGCAACAUGUUUAUUGAGUCUAAGGAGUUUUUUAGGUAUGAUGUUGGAUUUUGAUCUCCGAAGACAGUGAAAAUAAUAUCAAGAAAAAGAUGUUGUUUUUAAUUUAUUUUUUAAAAACAUUAUGAUUUAUUUGGUCAGAUUUACAAAUAAAGUUAUUUUAGUCUUUGAAAUUUUAUUAUUUUUCAAAUUAUCGCAAAAUAGAUAAAGAAACUAAUGUUAGUUAACUUUGGUGACGUGAAAUUUACCUGACCGUCUACAUAUAUGUUCCAUUAGUAAUUAAUUAAUUUUUUAAAAAAUAAAAAAAAUAUUUUUUAUACUUUUUAAAUUUUAAUAGCUUUUUAAAUUUAAAAACAUUUAAUUUAUCUUUGACAUGGCAUCUACAUGUAUGCAACAUCAAUAAAAUUAAUAAAUAUUAAUUUUUCCAUUCAUUUUGAGAUGAUUUAAUAAAAAAUGCAAGUCUAAGUGCUAAAAGAUACGAAAAAUUAAAUGGAGAACUAAAAUAAUUUUUUUUUAGAACCAAAUAAAUCUUUAUGCCUUUUAAAAGAAACUUAAAUGCUCAAAAUUGGUUUAUGAUUAUCUAUUGAUGUCAAUUAACCUAAAUUUUACUAUUAGGGCCCCUUUGAAUGGACGACGUGUGUACUUACAAUUAGUAUAAAAAUAACGGUGACGGUGAAAUUAGAUACUGUACUAUGAAAUAAAAAAGCUAAAUGCACCGCACUUGAUGUAAACGUCUAUCUGAAAGGGGCCCUUAGUCAUUGUACUAUGUUUAAGUUUUGAAUUUGAUUUUUAUAUUUUUGUUUUAAUUUGAUCAUUUUUAGCUCUUAUACUUUUUUUUAAUUUUGAAAUUUUAACUUCAACCCAAAUGGUGUAAGCUUUAAAUCAAUUUAAGCUAAAUUUCAUUAUUUUUAAAAAUCUUAUGCAAUAAACAUGAUAAUAAUAUUAUGUUAAUUCGUUAUUUUCAUAUAAUAUUAAAAAAAAUCACAUAAUUUUAGUAAACAAAUUUAAUGAAUAUCAUUUCUUAAGAUUAGAAUUUUAAAAUUCAAGAAAUAAAAAUUAAAGGUAAAUUACACAAAUAGGUACUCAACUAUAAAAAAAAUCAUUUUAGACACUUAAAAUAAAAGUUUGCAAUUUAAGUACUCACGACAUAUAAUUUGUUUAUUUUGGUCACUCCCCUUAAAAACUUAAAUAAGAAAAAUCUGGCAUGACAUUUUCAAUCAGCAAUUAAAACGCUUUAUUGACAAUACACAAUGGUUUCUUCAACUUGCACCUUGAUAUUCCAUGGGAUUGGAUCAUCCAUUCAUCAACACCUUGCACUUUGUUUGAAGGUUUGCUGUUGAAGAAACCACAUCUUAAUGGCGGCUUGAAAAUGCCAUGUCAGAUUUCCGUUAAAAUGAACAAACUAUAUAAUGUGAAUGUCUAAAUUGAAAACUUGCUGUUGAUGAAACCAUUGUCCACUGUCUGACAAAGCAUUUGAAUGGCUGCUUGAAAAUGUCAUGUCAAAUUUCCGUUAAAGUUUUUAAAGAGAAUGAUCAAAAUAAAAAAAACUAUGAAACGUGAGUGUUUAAAUUGAAAACAUUUUAUUUUGGGUGCCUAAAAUGAGAAUUUUUUAUAAUUGAGUGACUAUUUGUGUAUUUACCCAAAAAUUAAAUAAGAUAAAAUAGGAAAACAAAGAUUAAAUCUACAACUUAUACAUGCUAUGCGACUAAUAGUAAAAUUUGAUUUAAUGGAUUUGACUACUAUAAUUUGGAUUAGGGUUGAAAUUUUAAAAUAUAAAAAAGUAUAGGUAUUAAAAUUGACCUAAAUCCAUAACUUAUUAUUAUUGAGUAUAAUAUUAUGUUCAAUUGCGUACCAAAGAGGAGAAGAUAUGAAAAUAUGUAGAGGAAAAAGUAAGUAAAGCACUGCACAAACACAAACACAGAUAUCUUACUGAAAAAGAACACAGAUAGGGCAAUGUCUCAAAAUAUCAGAAUUGAUAUAAAUAAACAAAGGUGAAUGGUGAAGUCUAUAGCUGAAGCCCCCCAAAGUGAGCUUGGCUGAUUGAUUAUUGAAGAAGGUUAAAUGCUGUGCAAAGAGAAACCACCCUUUCCUUGAAAUGAAACCAUCCAUCCUCUUCACUACCUUCUGGAAUUAAAACUUGUUUUAUUUUUCAUCAAUUCUGUCAAAAAAGGCAAUCCAUCCAACAAAGUUCAAUUUUUUUUUUCAAAUCGUCACACCAACAAAUUUGACACAAGAAUUUUAACAGUGUUAACAGCUGAGCUUAAAUUUUUAAAUCCAAAAAAUAAAAUGACUAUAUUUCUCAAAAUAAAAGGGACUAAAUUUCAAAUGUACGGAGAGUACAGGGAUUUGUAGCAUAUUUUAACCAAUUUAUUAAGAGAGAGGGAGUAAAUGGUUAUGAACUUAAACGUUACAAUAAAAGUAAUUUUGAUAUUUCCAACCAAAAAAGCCUAAGGCAACCUAUAUAACCCAAAAUCGAGAACGGGUACUAGAUUCGGGUAUAUGUCCAACAUGAGUAUGCUUCAUUUCUUCUAAAUAAAUAUAUUUGAAAGAUCAUAACUUGAAUAUGUAUUGAACACUAAUAUCAGACACAAAUACUUUGAGAAAUAUGAAGAGGAACACAUCACUGGAGAAAGAUGACAAGCAGAAGAGGAAGCACUGGCAAUUCACAUAUAUGAUGAUGUGUUGUAAGAUUUUGGCAACUGAUUGAAAAUGCCUGUCUAAUAUAGACAAUCAUCAGGUUUUAGAACAACUACCAAAUUAGACCCCAUCAGUCAGUCAAGCCAUCCCCAAUAAUGCCUCAAGAAUCAGACAUUGGCUAACACAUACAUCAUUAUUCCUUGAGACACACACAUUUUGCUACAACAUACCAAUCAUUAAAUCAACCUGAUUCUCACUUAUGCAAAUUAUAAGUAGCUACCGGAUUCAACAACUAGUGUAAAAGCAACAUAAGUGAAGCAUGAACUAACCUUGUUAUGAGUUUCUGGAAAUCGUGAGCCUUUAAUGGAAUCAACAAAACCACUGCUGAGAAGCCUCUCAACAUACUUGCCGAGGAUAUCCACCUCCAAAUUCACCUUUUGCCCAAUUUCCUUCAAAGGAAUCACCACUUUCUGCCGAGUAUAAGCUACUAGCAUGAAAUUAAAGCAAAGUUCCUCUUCAAACACAUCCACCACUGUCAAACUAGUCCCAUCUAUAGCUAUGAAUCCUUUUGGCACUACAUAUUUCAAUAAGUUUUUAUCCGUCUUAACCUUGAUCCACAAUGAAUCCCCUUCCACUUGUUUCCCCACUAUCUCCGCUGUGCCAUCCACGUGUCCUUGCACGAAAUGGCCUCCCAUCCGGCCUGUUGGCGGGAUAGCCCGCUCCAAAUUCACCAAUGACCCGGGUUCCAGUUCACUCAAUGAAGUUUUCCUUAGGGUUUCAGGGGCCAGCCCAACCGUGAAUUCUCCCAAAUGGGUGUCGAAAUCCGUCACCGUUAGGCAAGUUCCAUUAACCGCAAUGCUGUCACCGAGGUGGACAUCCUCUAUAACAGUUUUGGCGUGUAUUUUGAGAUCGAAUCCGCCGUGACCGGCCAUACCCAGUUGCUUGAUUUCACCCAUUUCUUCGACGAUACCGGUAAAGAGGGAGCGGAUGGUGGGGGUACGGAAAUUUUGGGUUUUUGGUCUGAGCUUGGAUGGUUGAGUGAAAAGGGAAAGGGAAGAGGGUUUGAAAAUGGGGUUGAUUUUGAGGUGAGGUUUGGCUAAGGGAGACUUUAGGAGGUUGAAGAUGCUUGGGAUUUUAGAUUGAGAGGUAUGGGGGAUUAUGCAAAGCGAAUGCAGAGAUGUGGAGAGCACCAUCCUUUCUCUUCUCUGUUUGUUUCUCGAGAAACAGGAAAUAGCAAAGGUUGAAGUUCACUGUGUCUGAAUUCCAAUCCGGUCAAACCCUUAAGCCUCUGUUGCUGUUGGAGUCUCUUUCUUUCUUUCUUUCAAUAAUAAAUUUUUUUUAUCAUGAAAAAUAUAAAUGAGUACAAUUCAAAUGCGGUGAUUUCCAGUAAAAGAAGUUUGGAAGGUGAACAAAUUUUCGUGAAAUUGCACAAAUGUCUAUUUUCUAUAAAUAUUUUAAUUCUCAAUUCUAGAUGCAAUUUUCCAAAUUGUGGACUGGUGAUAUAUUUGACAAACAACUUAAAAGAAGUCAACGCCAAAACCUGGCAAGAACAUCCAAUCCCACAUCUCGUAUCAAUGGUGGCAAAUAUUUUCAAGUAAGGAAGCUUACAAAUUAUGGGUCAAAUUUUGGGAUUAAGAUGAAAAGAAAUUAAUUCGUAAUUAUAGAUUCCAUUGGUCGUCUACCUUUGCUAAUUAGUGAUUUGCUGCUCAUUGGCAUUAUAAAAUAGUCGAUGGCGUAAGUUUCUUUGGUUAGGUUUUAGUGUUUGGUCAGCCAUAUGUCGCAGAUGUUGACAUUUUUAAACUAUAGCAGAGCGAAGCCAAAAAAAUUUAUUAAGGAAAUUAAAUUGUAAUUUUAACCAUAAUAAUUUAUAUUUUUAUAAUUUUAAUUUUACCUGAAACUAUUUACAAGCACUCCAAUUUACUUUUAAUUCACUUUCACUUUUAAGUUGAUAUUCAACACAUUUAAAAUUCCAACAAACAAAAGAGAACUAAAUCCGUAAAUGGAUCAUUGAUGGAGAUUGGGCUUGACUGAUAUGAUUUCAUCUACCACUAAGAUCCGUAAAUGGAGUGAGUUGACUUCCUGUAAGUGAAUCAUCCAUGUGGUUGAAGGAUGGGGGCAUGGCUGGCCACACAAAUGAAGGUCGCUCUUGGGGUACCUGGGGUGGAUCCGCUUCACCUGAAAGUACCUGCAACACAGUCCUCAUUGAAGGCCUAUAGUGUGGGUUGGGAUGGCAGCAACCCAAGCCUAUAACAAGCACACACUCCACUUCUUUUUCAUCAAAGUCCCCAUCCAUCCUGGAAUCAGCAGCGCCACUGAUGCUUCCUUUCCUAUAGUAAUCCCAUACCCGAUUCACAAUACUAUUGUUGUAGUUGUUUAGCUCACUUUGAUUCCCGGGCCUUCUCCCACAAACAACUUCCAUCACAAGAACCCCAAAGGAAUAAACAUCGGUUUCCACCGUGGCUCGGCUUAUAAGAAAGGUUUCUGGGGCCAUAUAACCUGGCGUGCCAGCGAUCUCGAUGGUCGAAUGGUGCGUUUUUUCUUUCUCUUGGAUGGUUCUGGCCAGUCCGAAAUCUCCGAGCUUGGCGUUGAACUCGGAAUCCAGCAUGAUGUUGCUAGAUUUGAUGUCACGGUGGAGCACCCUUUUUUGACAACCGUUGUGAAGGUAGUCUAGUGCUUGAGCCACCCCUUGGAUUAUCAAUAGCCUUUGCUCCCAGUUGAGUGUGGAUUCCUCCUGCAGGGUUGGUUUAUCAUCGCAGAAGAUGAACUUAUCGAGGCUUCCAUGGGGCAUGUAUUCGUACACAAGGAGAAAUUCCCGCUUUUCGUAGCACCAUCCUAUUAACUUGACGAGAUUCUUGUGAUUGAGGUGGCCGAUUGUAGUGACUUCCGCAAUGAAUUCUUGCUUGCCUUGGUGUGAUUUCUUGGACACUCUUUUGACAGCCACGUCGUUGUUUCUCCAGGUUCCCUUGUAAACAGUUCCAAAUCCACCUUUCCCAAGCUUGUUCUUCGGGUUAAAAUUCCCAGUCGCUUGCUUCAAUUCCUUUAACCCAAACCUCCUUGGACCCAAAUUGGAACGUUUAAUCUCAUCUUCUAUGUUCCCUUGAAGUCGAGCACCCUGACCCUCCAUAUCUUCCUCUUUGUAUACCCUCCUCAACCACAAGUACAUGGCAACCCCAACUAAUAUACCCACACUUGCCACUGGAACCAUGAUCCAAACCCACCGUAGAUUGCGAUCUCCACCUAUAUCGGUACCAGAAAACGCCCAGGAUUUCACACAGUUGAGCUCAGUUUCAUUGCUUGUUGAACCAGAGAAUCCCAUGAAAACCUUCUCCGGAAGAUGAGUAGAGAGAUCAAGAGACUGAGAAAGCACAAGUGUCUGGUUGUCCCCAAUGAAAACUGACAACUUUUGGCCGUCAUAACGAAGAUGCACCCUUAAAUCCUCACGUCCCGAAAUGUUAACACCGUAGUUGCUUAAAGAAACUUGCUUGGUUGAGUGGAUGCUGUUUAUGUUUAACCCAAUAUGGUUGCCAUCCAUAUCUUGGUCGUCGCUCUUCCUGGUGUCAAAUUCCACCGCCACCACACUGGCCUGAGAAGAACCAUUUGUAUUGGCAUUUACCAUCCCCAACCACUGUCCUUGGCUGUUGUCCGGUAGGCUGGAGUUGCCGGUUAUUAAAAAGGCAACGCCUUCGCCACCAGGAGAGGUUUGGUUGCGGAUAUUGAGGACGAAACUUGUAUUGAAAGAAGCAAUGGUGGUGUGGUUGCCUUUCCAAAGCCUAAAUGGUUUCUUAUACAGAGCUCGUCCAGACAAAUUUUGCAUGGAACCUCCAUUAACAUCGGGAGUAACUUGGAUAGCUCCAAGAACUAUGUAAGAGUUCCUACUCAAGGUAAGCUGGCUUUCAUCUUCUUUCUGGAAAGUUGAAAAAUUGAACUGAAAACAGGUUACUUGAACAAGAAAAACAGCUGGGAUUAAAAAGUAGGCUAAAAGGGUAGAGCCCAUGCUAGCUGCUAGCUACUGAAAUCAACACCAGGUUUCUGGUUUAUAUGAUGAAUAACAUACAACUGGAGAUGGAGGUAUAAGUAUGAAAUUCGGCGGGGAUGGAGGUGAUUUUAUAAGGGAAAAAGGGAAAUGUAAAAAAAUAACAAUUUUGGUCAACCCCAUAUGAGUUGUACAAUCGGAAAGUUCUUAGUAUUUACUCUGAGGAAGGAGACUUGGAGUGUGAAAUAAGUAAUUGUUGAAUAAUAUGUUUAGACUUUAGAGUUAGUUGUAAUUUGAAUAUAUUAUUAUGUUUUUCUUACAACAUUCUGUUUUCCAUGUUUAUUUUAAUUUUAUUAUAAGGGUGAUUGGAAUUUAAAUUAUUUUUAGAAUAGAUGUAAUUUUUUAAAAAUAUUUUAAUAUGAAUUUUAUGUAAGGAUUUAUGAUGAGUUCCAAAAGUAAUUUUAUAUUAUAAUUGGAAGUGUUUGGAGGGAGAUAAUCCUAUUCAUUCAAAGUCUAAACUGGAGUAAAGACUUUCCCUGGUUUUCUAUAAACCAGUGCUAAAGUUUCACAACCUAUAUAGGCAUAUCGAAUUUUAUUUAAUCAUAACAUAAUUAUCACUUAUAAAAAUACACCCCAAUGCUUGUUCUAUGUUGUUUUGUCAGCCUCUUCUUUCUCCCACACAACAAUGUUGUUUUAAAAUAUUAUAUCUCAUUAGCUAAUCUCUACUAAUUAAGGUAGAGUUGUUUGAUUUAAAUCUUACACAUCAAUUGAAGUUGCUUGUCUAUUAGAAGCUUCUUCAUUUAAUUAAAUCAAUAUUAAAUAUUUAAAUAUUUAAUAUAUACCAUUCAACUGAUUCAAUUGAAAGCUACUUAUUCGAACGCAUAUUAAAAUUUAAAAUUUAGUAAAAGAAAUCAAGUUUAUUUUAUUUUAUUAAAAGGAUAAACUAUCAAAAUAGUUACUUUUAUUUAUCUUAGGUUAUAUUUUAGUCACUUAUAUUUGAAAAGUUACGUCUUAGUAACUUACGUUAACAUGUUAUAACAUUUUAGUCACUAAGCUGUUAAUUGUCGUGGCACAUUAAAUCAUCAUUUCAAAAAAAAAAAGAUUAAAUUAUACAAUUGGUUUCCAUUUUUUUCAUUUUAAGCAAUUUAAUUUUUUUUAUUUUAUGUUCUUUUAACUUUCCUUUUUUUUUUCAUUCUCUUUUGCUUCUCCCCUUGUUUUCCUCCUUUCUCCAUCUCUUUUAACAUAGUUUUUCCAUAUUUUUCAUUUGUUAAAACUUUCUUUAUGUUUAUAAAAUAUGAUGAGAUAUAUUAACAGAUUUCGGGACAAGAAGGGGAAGCGCCACCCUCAAUGGAGGUGGCACCACCGAAGAGAAUAAGCCUAAGACCCUGGGUCUUGGUGGCAGCGACAGUGGUAAAGGUGUGGCCACAUUUGGGACUAGGUGCAUCUUUAUCGAUGUCCUAAAAAGUCUCCAAAGUCCAAUAAGUAGGGGUCGAGAUUGCCACGAUUUCAAGCCUAUCCCUACCCCACCCCACCCCACCCCUCACUUGCAAUGCAAACAAUAUCACACCGUCAAUCCUCAGAUCUAGUACUAUAAACACUCACAAAGAAUCAAUAAUCCAAACAUCAGAGCUCCAUAAUGGGCCCAGAUUUCUUGCUUAGGACCUUCAUUCUCAUCCUUUUUUUCUUCUUUUAAGAAAUUAAUCAAUCAAUUGUUCUUGUAAAAAAGAAACCAAAAGAUCGAAAUUUCAUCCUUGGAUACCCUAUUUUCUUUCUUUAAUUUUAAUUUUUGAGAACUUAAAAUUGAGAUGCAAUUUAAGUGUGGAAGUAAUUAUAUGUUUUUUUUCUCUAAUAAGUAGAUGAUGGUGGCUGGCUUUGUACAAAAAAGGUGUUGUGUUAUGAAAUUGAAAUCUCUUUGCCCGUGCCACAUGAAAGAAAAAUGGAAAAUAAAGAAAAAAUUUAAAAAAUUAAAAAUUUUAUAAAAUAUGGGGACCAAUUGCAUUGGUGGGCAUGGAGCCAAGAAGAGCCUCUGACUGGUUUUAGCGUGUUGUUUCUAGAGGGAUUUCAGCCGCAGGAGGCUCAGUGGCGUAGAUUGGAGAGUUUGUCGAAUUAGCGGACUCUACUGGCAGAGUUGAAAUCGUAAGUAGGGCAGGAACAAAUGGAGUGUUGGCUCUCGAGGAAGCAAACCCUUUCUUAAGUAUGCGUUGAGCCAGCUGUGGGCGAUCACUGUCUUUUGUAUGUUGGGUGCUUCCCUCCACCUUUGGCCUCUUUUGAUCUUUCUUACCAGUCGUUAUUCUUGGUGGGGAAACGGUAGCACCUUCAUUCCCGCGAACCUCGUCUAGUAAAGCUAAGACAUCCAUGUUGACUGCUAGAACGAGCGUAGAGGUAUAAGAACUGGACAUAGACCUUGCAACAUAAACAUGAGAAUUAACCUGAUUGGAAGGAGUGGAAGACGUACCAUGAAAAAUAAUGUUCCACUAGAGUGAAUGCAGUCCACAAUAAUCAUAGAAAAAGAAGGGAGGCUCCCUCAUCCUCUCUAUUAGAAUUCGUGCCAAAUAUUUAUUAGAGUUUUUGGGUUAGGCUACUUUAGUAGAAGGGACAUUCUGAGAAACCGCCCAUAAUAGAAUUUCAUUAGCUUGGCCGCCAUUGGGACUUAGACUUUGCAGACAGUAUUGGAAGACAUGUUUGACAAUGACAAUUUCUCCCAAUUCUAGAACACGCCCUACCCUUAAAUGUUUGAAUUGUUUCCAAGCAACCCCUGAGUCAACAAGCUGACUUUGUACGUAGAUGUUUUCUCGGGGUAGGGACCAGUAGGUGGGAAAGCCAAACCAAGUUUUGAGCUUACUGGUGACCCUUACAAACUUGUAUUUUCUAAUAUGCAGGUUUGAGGUCUAAUUCUGGAUUAUGGGCAUAAAACCCUAGAGUGUACUGAAGUGGGCAUUUCCAAUCGAGAUAUCCUGUCUUUUUACCUUUAACUGGUAAAUCUUUUGGAAUACACCAAGUAUUGGCAACUCACGAUGCAUACAUAAGUUUAUGAAAAAGGCCAUCAGUGUCUACUAGGAUAGGGCAGAGAGUUGCCCCGGUGUAAUACCAUACUCAUUGAGCACCAAGCAGAAAAAGAGGUGUAGAGACAGGUGGAAGCGAACUUCGAACAAGAAAAAGGGAAUGAUAAACCCCAUGGUAUUUUCACUUAGGUGACACUCUCCUUACACUAUUUGAAAGUCGAAGGCAUAGUUCUAUCAAAAGAUGCCUCGGGCCCUAGGUAUCGAACCAGCUUUUCAUCGAUGGUGCUACAUUCAUAUAUAGGAGCAGCCACACAUUGGGUAUUAUCAUGACCAAUCUUAACUACAUCUCUAGGGCUGUCAUUUCUGUUACUCUAGCCACGACCACCACGGCCUCUUUCGCGUGUAGUUGUUUGAACCAUUUUGAAUAAAUGAAAAAGAAAGAGAAAUGGGAAAUUACCUCUAAAGAAAAUGUAAACUGAAGAAAAAAAGAAGCAAGAAGCUUUGACAGAAGUCAAAUGGAUUGAUUUGACUCUCUCCAUGACUGGUCAAUAGUGAGGUUAACCUUUGCCAGAUUUUCUUUUACAUACCCUAGAUUUGGUAAAGACAUGAGGGGGACCGAACGUAUGUUUAUAGGAGGGGAACAUUUUAGAUAGUUUUUCUUCUUACUUAAUGUUUAGGUUCUUCUUUUUAACCUCAAUAUUUUCUUCUUCGUUAAGAUCAAACUAAGAUCUAGUUUAAUCAGUAGAUGAUUCAACAUUCUGGUAAGUCUUAUAACUUUGUACGUUACAAUUAUGGAAGAGAUGGGUGUUACAAGAAAGCCUUGUAUGGAGGUCGCAUGUAGUUGAAAUAUUAGCAACAUGUCUGUGAUAGGGAUUCUAAUGGGAAUCUUAUAAUAUUUUAAAUAGUUGCUGAUGUUGGAUUUGGGCGAACGUUUGAAACAGAAACUCCAGGCCGAGGUUAAGGUAAGUCUUUGAAUUCGUCUCCUUCAUGUAAUAAUAUCAUGAUCCUUUGUAUGAUCAUCGUAUACUUAGAUAAGCAUGUCUUCCUGAGGAACCAUAGUAUGUAUUCUUGCUCGUAUGAUUAUCUGUGAAGUAUCUAUACGUAUGUGUUGACAUGUAUGUUAUGUUGCAGGGUAAUGACAAUGUAUAGAAAGUGUAUGGGAAUUUAUGUGAUAAGAAAUAAGGUUUGACUGACAGUAUGAAUGAACUCCGUGCAGAUAUGUUUAUUCUAUCAUUUGAGUGAUGCAUGAUUAAUCUGCCAUGAAUUAUACUAGUAUUUAAAUCAUUUUUACAUAUAACUUUAGCUUAUUUAAUAGUUAAAUCAAAGUAUCUUAGUAUAUAUUUAGGUUUUCAUGCUUAAAGUAGUAAUUUAUACUUUCUAGUAGUUUUUAUUACAUUUUAUAUAUCUAAAUAAGGUUACAUGAUCUUGUAGGUCCAGUCAGGAGCUAAAGACGCUUAUUUGGGCCAAAACUGAUGCCUAUGUUAUGACAUUAAGAUAAAAGCCAAAAACAAGUUUUAGAACGAAAUUUCCCUCGAUGUCAUGACACGACUCUCCUAUGUCGUGACAUACCCCUUUUGGUUGGUUGCAACAUUGCAGGCCUGUGUUGCAACUAAGCCCCUGCGUAUCCCAAAAACUCUUGUACAUUUUAUUAUGUUUUUGAGAAAAAUUAAGAGUGUUUGUCCUAGUCGAACUCUAAGUACUUCAAGAAUAUUUUAGGCACUUUAAUAUUUCGAGUUUAACUUAUAUAAAGGCCAUUGUAAUAAGUUUAAACAUAAUCUUAGGGAGAUAGAAAAUAUAUUUAGUUUCAUUCUUAUUUUUUACUUAGUGUAUUUUUAUGUUCUUGUAAUCAGAAGAUCUUAUUUCGAAGUGAGAUUCUCGUAAGUGGAGAUUGUUCUAGAGCCAUGCUUUUAUCGAUAAAUCUAUGAGCAUCUCUUUUCAUUUAUUCUAUUCUUUAUAUCUCUUUCUUUAACAUUAUUUAAUUGAAUGUUUGUGUAAAGAUUAGAAUCAAUUUAUACUUUAUACAUAUCUCAUAUGGUUUCAACUGUUCUAAUCUUAUUAAUUGAUUGAAGGAUAGAGUUUCUUGAUGGAUUAGCUGUUUAGGAGAGGAAAAACUUAAACCCUAAGCUUAACGACCCUAGGAAGUUAUUUAGGUGGGAAUUAACCCAAAAUUGAUAUGGCCUAUCCGUGAACACUUUAACCCCGAACCGGUCUAGAUUGUGAUGUCGGAAGAUAAGUAGUUCUUGUCGACUCAUUAUUCUAGUGGACAUAUUGAAAGAUCUUGCUAGGGUAUCGACUGAUUGAUUGAUUAGAACCCUACAUAAAUAAUUAAUUAGGUAAAACAAUUAGAUCUAGGUUAAAAGGAACUCGCGUAGUCAAAACAAGGAAUAGGAAAAGUCGAUACAUGAAUCUAGGAGUAGACUUCAGUUUAGUUAAAUUUAUUUAGUUUAUUAUUAUUAUCUUGCUUCUUGAUUGACACUAUUAAUUCGUGACUCGAGUAGAUUAGUAAUUAUUUUUAGUAAUUGGCUUAAUAGCAGUUUUCCCCAAACCACAAUCCUUUGGGUACGAUCCUCGGAAUACUUACCAAGUGUUUCAUUGUAAACGCACUAUAUUACAACCUGACUCGUAUACUUGCGGACACCUCCUCAAAUCCAUAUAUUUAGUUGUAGUAUUCAUACUCUAGAUGUUAGUAUGUCUGAAGGUGGUUAAUGACAAUGUAUGCUGGAGAUAAGGGGGUUUCGAGUGGAGUGUCAAAAAAAAUAUGUGAUACGAUAAUAAACUCCACGUUGGUACUUUGAUGAUGUUCGUUAGGAUAGUAAACACGAUGGCUGAUAUGACGUAAUGUAGCCCGUCGGGACAGUAAACAUGAAGGCCAGUGUGACAAUUAUGUGGAAAGACCAUGGCCAUGAGAUAUUCUGGAAAUAACAGAUGAGCUACAUUUUUCUUAUAGGGUUGCUGCAUGUCCCUAGGGUGAUGAUGGGCAAACCUCAGGUAGUGUUGAGUUUAGGCAAAUUCAUAUUGCCAAACACAAUAGAUUACUUAGGAAGCCUUUGUGGCUAAUCUUGUGAAAAGUUUUUGUGGCUAAUCUUGUGGAAAAGCCUUUGUGGCUUGUUAUUUAGAAAAUCUGUAGAGUGAAUUCUGUAAUGAUCAAGUGGUGAGAUGUUAAUCUGCCUUGUGUGAGAUCUGGGUAUGCCUAUGAGGCAUUUUCUGAUAAAAUUCCCGAUAGAGUAACCAUUUGAUGAAUCCGCCUUAGUGAUCUGCUAUGACAGGGAACCUUAUGUAUUGGAAUAUGGGGUAGUAUAAGUGCUUGUCAAACUUGGAAUUUCUUAGGUCCUAUAUUGAAGUUAUCUUGGAUUUUAUUGCUUGAAUUAAAACGUUGUAUUCUUUUAAGUAAGUAUGUCUGUCUGGAUUGAUUUGAAGAUACGAUGUAACUAGUGUUCUAAUAAUCGUUGGGUCUUGUAAAAGAAUCUGUCAAGAGUAGUAUCCGCUGAGUAUCAUUCUGAGAAGCGUAUCUAACUACAAAUUGUAAAGAAAUUGUGUAAUGGAAUUUGAAAUAUGAUGUGAAGUUUAAGACCCGCCAGUUGGGUAAGAUGAGUAUAAGAUGAUUAAGUGCAGAGAUUGACGUAUGGUAAUCUGCCAAUCAAGAACCAGAUCGAAAGUAUCUGCCAAGGUCUGAGAGGGAAUCCAAACCCUUGAGUCGAGAAAUUCUACAAUAUCGUUGAAAGGUAAUAUUGAAUGAGACCCACUAAGUUCUUUUAAACUUAUAUGCGUCUUUUGGUAUGCAGGUUUGAGAACUGAACCAGUGCGUUAAGAGGGACGAAGUCAGGGAUGUGCCAUGGUGGUAGACUGAGGGCAAUAUUAUGCAUAUAGAGGGACAUUUAUAGAACAUGUUUUUCAAAUGAAAAAUAGUAAUACACGUUACGAAUAUGUUUGUUUUAUCAAACAUUUAUAAAGUUUUAUUCUAGUUUUGUGACAAACAAUAAAUAUAUUAUUCAAACCUAUUAUCUUAAAAAGGAUUUUAAAUAAAUAAGAGGUACAUUCAAUAAGGUUUUUCGUAGAUUGAAAAAUUUAGUUAAGUAUGUAAGUAUUGUGACAUCUUAUAUUCAGAUCCGGUAAAUGGGGUCGGAAAUAAUGUGUUACAUACUUAAUACGAACUACGAAAAGAAAAAGAAAUUUAAAUUAAAUUAUGAAUAAAAAAACUUAGAUUGAAUGUUUUUUUUUCUUUUAUCACUGAAAAAAAUAGAUUUAAAAAAAAGUAUAUAUAUACAUAUAUACAGUUGAAUAUUCAAACAUUUGUUUCCUUCCUUUUGCCUUCCUAUCAAAACAGCGUUGAAAAGGAAUUGUUUUGGUGACUACAUCUUCAAAGCUUAAAUUUAGAUGAAUCAUAAAAAGAAUUUCUUUUUCUUUUUUUGGGGUAAAAAAUCUUGAUUCUAUUAAUUAGGAUUAAACUGAAAUUUAAAUUAUUUAAUACUAAAAAAUAAAUAAUAUGAGGAUGUAUAUAUUUUUGAAAUCCAGUUAUAACUUUAUCCUCAACCAUCCAUCAUUUGACUAGUUAAUGUCCAAAAUAAAAAAAGUUAGGAAUGAUUGGGUUGCAUGUGUUGCUAUUUCACCAAGAACAAGUCAAAGGGUAUCUCAUCAUCUUUAUUAAAAACAUCAAGUUGGUAACCUAGUCUAUUUAAAUAUUUAUGUUUGUUAAUGCCUUGGUUUCAUUCCCAAAACAUAAUAUUCCAAAUUUUUUAUCAUAUAAUUCAUUGACUUAUUAAUUUAAUAAAAUUAAUGGGAUUUACCAAAUUUAUCUUAAAAAUCAUAAAUUCUAUAGGAAACUUAAAUUACUGUAUUUUAAGGGUAAACUAUAAAAAUAGUCACUUUUGUUUGUCUCAGACUCUAUUUUAGUCACUUAUGUUUGAAAUGUUACGUUUUAGUCACUUACGUUAUUUUUUUAUACUGAAUUAGUCACUUUGCCGUUAAGCUCAAUUACUUCCCUAAUGACAAUUCUAUAUGGCAGUCCAAAUGAGUUUUAAAUACCAACUUGGAUAAGAAUAGUUUUUUCAGUUAAAAAGGAAAAGAAAACUAAAAAAAAGGAGACGAACAAUUUUUCUUUUCCAGUUCAAGUUGUAAUUAAUUUAAAAUUUUCAAUUAAUUAAAAACAUAUUCUCGUCCCAGUUGGACAUCCAAAUUAGCAUUUAAAACUUAUUUGGACUGCCACAUAGGAUUGUCGUUAGGGAAAUAAUGGAGCUUAACGGCAGAGUGACCACUUCGUAACAAAAUAAUAACAUAAGUGACUAAAACGUAACAUUUCAAACAUAAAUGAUUAAAAUGUAGUCUUAGUGAAAAAAAUUGACUAUUUUUAAAUGUUAAUUAUAAGGAUUAGAAGCGGGCAUGUGUGAGCGAAUCUAAAAUCUAUUACAUGUACGACCAUGGGUAAGGGCGAGCUUGAACUAAAGAAAUGAAAAUUUUACACUGAAAUAGUUUAUAAUUGAUAUAGUAAAAGGAGUGAAACCGUGGACAAAUUACCAAAAAAAGCCCUAUUUUUUUAAAAUUUACCGAAAUGAGCCCGGUAUUUUAUUAUUUACCGGAAUGAGCCAUUUUUCCCGAAAUCGCGUCCACGUCAGCGCGAUGUCAGGGGACGUGUCAGAACAUCACGUCCACGUCAGCGCGCUUUGCUUACGUGGACACAAAUUGCGCCUACGAGGACGCGAUUUGCUGACGUGGAUGAACAGUUUAUGUUUUUUAGCUUGGAAAACUUUGAAAGGCCAUAACUUUUGGCUCGGUUGUCCGAUUGAGACGAUUUUUUUUUAUUUCGAAUAACUUUUUGAGAUGUACGCUCUGACAAACAGCCGAAGGCGGCUUGCCACAGUUUUCGUCGAAAAAGAUCAUUUUUUGCCCCUAAAUUUCAAUUUUUUCGGUUUAAAAUUGAAUUUUGAAACAUUCAAAUAAUUAUUUUCCUUAUUUAUUUGAACUAAACACCGAAUUUUUUUUAUAGAAUUGUUGUAUUAUUUUUUCUGAUUUGACACGUGUAUGGAAUAGGUCCGAUAAAUCGUUAGAACGUAAGUAAUAUAAUUAAGAUAAUAACAGUAUUUUUAUAAUAUAUCAGUUAAUUAGUUUAGCUUAAUUGAUUAAGAUGCUUGCUCUUUUCCCUUAGUACCUUGGUUUAAAUAUUGUUGGUAACAAUUUUAAAUCUUUUUCGUACUUGUUGCUAUUGAUGUAAUAUUGAUGAGUUAAUUGAUUAAAAAAAUAAAUACAAGUACAAAAAGAUUCAAAAUUUAUUUUUUCAAAAUACCAAAAAAGCCCUAUAUUUUUAAAAUUUAUCGAAAUAGGCCCGGUAUUUUAUUUUUUUGAUCGUUGGAUACUGUUCACACGCGGGCCGAAAUCGCAUCCACGUCAACGCGAGAUGUUGAUGUGGAAGGAAAUCGCGUCCUUGAGAGCGCGAUUUCCUUCCACAUCAGCAUCUCGCGCUGAUGUGGACGCGAUUUUCCGAAAAAGGACCAUUCUAGUAAAUAAUUAAAAAAUAUACCCAUUUUGAUAAUUUAAAAAAAAAAAUUUAUUGGUAAAUUACCCUGUACCGAACGAAAGAAGUCUAUCCAGAUUAGGUGAGCUCAGACUCUUUGACUUUUUCUAAUUACAUCCAUUUGGAACAGCAGAAAAGUCAUCAUAUCCCAACACAUUAUGUUUUUUAACCUUCAACUAAAACCGCUGUUCCAAGUCUCCCGCGCCCAAGCCUGUUUUAUGGAGGGCAGGGCCAAUAGUAACUAUUCCUACCCACUGUUCAAUAUAAUGAUAUAUAUAUAUAUAUUGCAUUUCUUACACUAACUAUGCAAAGAACAACAAAAUUGCCUUGUGUCUCAUAACCCUACAUAUCUUGGGCUGCCAAAUAAUACACUCCAACAACAAUAACAUCUUUUAUCGCAAUACGUCCAUCGUAUUAUAUAUUCACUUCUCUGCCUUCGACUUAACCUGCACUUGAACAUUAUCCACUAUCAAACAGUGAUAUGAAUAUAAAUCUCGCCAAGACAUUUGUUAUAAUCAACAUAUGAUCCUUAAAUGCUAUUUUCCUUACCCUUAAUCACUAUUUUCAAUAUAAUCGGAUAUUAUUAACUUAACCAAACUGCAUGCAUGCUUAAUUUCUCUGAAAUUUAAAUAUAGAGACACUAGUGCCAUAAACUUUAAGUUCACAGAGUCGAAGACAGUUAAUAACUACAAGCAUAUAAAAUCCCACCUUUUAUUGCCUGAGCAUGUUGCAGUAACAGUAAAAACACUCGAAUAGAUUCAAACUGGCAAGAGAAAUAUAAAUAACUGCACCUUCUUAGCAACGAAAAGUUCCCUCCGCGUAUAUCGAUCUGCCGCAAACAUUAUGCUGAAACUCAAACGACACUCAGCAGAAGAAUUUUCAAUCGGAGAUUAAUGAAAGGUCAUUUGAUGUUUACAUGUUGAACAAGAUGUAGGGUACAGGUGAAAAAGUUAAGUCAUUACGUUUGAUCAGGUGAUGUUAGAUGAUACAAAUGACAAGCAUGGCCCGACAAAUGCUCUUCUACUACUCCCAUCAUCUCAAUCUGCUGCUUGGGAUCCCGGAUCAUUUGUAUCUGGAAAAAAGAAAGGAACAAGUUAGAAGUCCAAAAUUUUGAAAGAACCAUAUAAUAAAGGGAAUUUAUAAUGACAAUAAAAUCAGUGGGUUGCGGUUGGCAGAUGUAUAUCAUCAUAUGUCAUUCCUAAGGGUCAAUAUCUUCCAACAUUCUCCUACCCCCCCCCCUCCCCGACCCCUAAUCAAUAAGAAAAAAGAACUCGAUAUCUCUUUCAAUCACAAUUAAGAAUAAGUGAGAACCACACGCCUGAUUCAUGUCAAAUGACACCCCAAUUUCUGAAAGCAAGAAAUAAUAGCCUUAGCAAUACCAGACGUGUCCAAUUUGCCUGCUAAAUGGGACUCCAUCACCUAAUCAAGAUCUUUGAAGAUUAGCAAUAUGCAACCAAUAGGACAAAAUACUAAGGAUGGUGCCUAAGAAAACUUAGUAGAAAUAAUAUUUAAGAAAAAGAAGGCAUUCCAAAGGACUAUCAUAUCCAAAGACCAAGACAAGAAACCGUAAACACAAGCCCAAGAAAACUUGUUACAAACAAACUCCCUAUUGUAUGUAAACACUAAUGGAUAAAUCCAUCCACAAAUGUAAAAUCCAAAAUAUGACACAUAUGUUUUGUUGUUGCUGCUCCAAGUCGUGAUAUUUCUUCAGAAUGUAUCAAACCGGCUUCUUGAUAUUGCUUCAAACAGUUGUAUUUUGCAGCCUCAAUUGUUUAUAACACUAUUGGUUAUGCCUAAUCAACCUAAUUUGACAUAUUUUUCUUUCAAGCACUUUCAAAACAAAGAACCUUAUUGAAAGGAGUACCUGUAGGUUAUAUCCAGAGAAGGCUCCAGGAAACUGCUCAGCCAUGAUCUCCAUGGCUGCAAGAAAUGCAACAACCUACAAAACCAUCAAUAUUAAGCAACCAAAAAAAGGAAAUCUAUAUUUCCAACUAUUAAAAUAGUAUUUCAACUGAUUAAGGGUUAGAUGAUCUGUUUCCCCAUUGUGGCGAGAUCACAGCAUAAACCUUUGACUCUUCAACAGUCCUAUAGAGUCGAUCCCUGUCUCCAACAGUGGUGCCCUGUUGGAACAUUGGCAGCAUGCAAAAGAAGAGAACAAUACAAAGAACAAAGGAGGAAGAAACAAAGAACAAUUUACUUGCUCACAAACGUGCAGCAAGGAAGCAAUCUGCUUUACACAAGUGAUAUGCUUACUCAUUCAAUAUGAAAACAAUACAUUUAUAGUCAAAAUACAUCACCAAAUACUACCUACUACCACUAAGUAGCCUAGUAACUUGAUAAACAUAGCUUGUACACAUAAACAAGCCACCUAAACUAGUCAUUCAACACCUAAUGUAUCAAGUUGUCAUCAACUUGUUCAUUUUCAACUAGUUUGAUUACAAUGAAACUAAAGAGAAAACCUUGCUGUUACAGCAAGCAUAAGUGCUGCAGCAUGUUUACAAGCUGCAUGCACUUCAACCAAAAAUAUCACAGCAGCAUGGUUGGCCAAUUUUCAACAUGCCCAUAACAAAAGGUACUCCAACUUUGCCAUAGAGCUCAGCAUUAUCUGUAUUUAUCAAACACCCCAAUCCUAUAAACAGUUUAAAAAGGUAAUUGAUUGAGAGAUCAAAUCAUAAAAUCAGACUUGAAUUGCAUGCAUAAAUUUAUUUAACAAGUUGUAAAUCUUUUAAUGAUAAGCUGAGAAGAAAGUAAUUCAAUCAUAGUAUGGAAUAUCACCACAGUAUCACUUCAGAUUUUGGAGACAUUAUUCCACACGCUAUCGAAAUGUUUCUCACUCAAGUUCGUUUUAGUUUCUUUAUUCAUCAAAUAUGAAAUAUGAUGUAGUUUAGUAUGCAUGUUCCUGAAUAGGUUACCAUUAACUGUGGCAGGGACGGUGUAGUCUACCACGAUCAGGUUUGGAUACUCCUGAAAGACAAGCAAGGAUGCUUUCUCUUUCAGAAGGACCAUGCACAAGAAUCUUUUUCCUGCACAGUUCAACAGUUUGUCCAGGCUACUCCUCCGCACCAAAAGACACAGGAACAAUGUGAAGGCCAGCAGAAUCUACUGCUUGGAUAACAGACUUCCCUAUUUUUCUGGUACAACCAUUUACCUGCAGCAGGAAAAGGAACAGCAAGCCAUGGGGUGAAUAUUGUUUUAGAAAAUAUACAAAAUAUUCAAUAACCAAGUUAAUGGUACAAUUUUCGAAGAUAUUUAUUUGUAAUAUUAACGUUUGAUGCAUAUUAAAAUAGGGCUUUUACUACAACCCAUAAGCUUAGAGUAAGUUUUUUUCCAUUAAGCAAGUAGCAAGUUAUUAUAAAAUAUCUCAUGUUGCGGUAAUAUAUUUUGUAAAAUAAAUUACAAUAUGUCUUUUCAGAUUACGAAGUUUUUGACUAAAUUUUUUUGUAAUGGCCAAAUAUUUUGUCUUGUUACAAAAUAAAUUACUUUAUUACAAAAAUAAAAAUCUUACAAUUAAAUUUUACACAAUUUCUUAUGUAUUUUGUAACUAGUGUUAAUACAAUUAGCAUUCAUAAUUGUAAUAUUUAUUGUAAUUACAAUAUAUAUUAUUUUAUUUACUUACAAAUUAUCUUACAAUGUAUAUCAUCCUAUGGUUUUAGGUUUAUUACAAAAACCAUUACUUCAUUACAAUAUUUACUACAACAUUUUAUGCAUUAAUAUAUUGCGUAACACCAUUACAAUAUAUUACCUGAUUAAAUAAUUUCUUACAUAGUACAUAAUUUGUUUUUGUAAUCAAACAGUUUCUACUGAGAAGAUUUGAAAAGUGGGGCGAGGCUAUCAUGUUUGUGAUCGCUUUGGUCAAUGGUGUGUCUAAUUUUCUUAGGGUUUGAUAUAGUGCUUCAAAAUGACAUAUUUAUGUGUUUUAUUUUGAUAAAUUUUUGUGCACGGUGCUAUUAAUUUUAUUGUUUAUCGUUUAAUUUCUAUGUAGGUGCAAUGUAAGUUCAAAAUAUGGAGAACAGAUAAAAAUAUGAACUCACAUGAAAAUUUUGGGCAUGAAAGACUCAAAAUAUUUUUUAGAAUUAUUUUAUUUUUAUUUAAAUAUCAUUUGUAAGGAUAGCUAUUAGGAGUUUAAUUAAGCUUGAGUUUUAUCUCUUAUAUUUUAUAUAGAUAAAUAUUUAAUUUUAUAUUUUAAGAAAUUAUGAAGGAGUAGAACACUAGGAAUUAAUUUCCAGUUUAAUUAAAAAUUGAGUUUGGAAAGAGGGCGGAACCUCCUUGUUUUGUCUUCGAUUUUGAAAAAAAGAAUAGGGUUCAACAUUGAGGGGAACCUAGUCUCUUUCCCCUUCGUCGUUCUUUAAUAUCUCAAGGCAAAAUUCAUAAUAUGUGCCCUCCUCAAGGUUUUAUCAUAUCUUGCACCAAUAUUCUUAAACUCCAAAGUGUUCACCAUUAAGGAUUUCUCAGGUCAGUUUGUUCUUCAAUGUGUUGCCUAUUUCUUAUAGUCUCAUCUAUUGCGACCUUUAAGCGCAAUUUGUAGUGGAAUGGCCUAUAUAUCAUUGUGAUAUAGGCAUUCCACUGUUGAUUCCCUCCACAAGUUGGAUCUUAAGGGAGGAGUAGCAAACAACUCUUAAGUGUAACAGCCCAAUUUUCAGUAGUGUCAGAAUAGUGAUUUGAGAUCACUAAAUCUGAUGAAAAUAUUAGAAAAAUUUAUUAAUUAAUAAUUAUAAGUUCAGCGUGAUUUUAGAAAUAUUUUUGAAUUAACGAAUUUUGUGAUUUAAAAAAAAUUAUUCGGAAAAUUGGGUCAAAAACGAGGUAUCGAGACCUCGAUAUUAUAAACUGAGCCGUAAAUAUUUUUAUAAAUAAUUACGGAGUGUCAUUAGGGUAGUAUUAAAGUUUCGUUAAGAAAUUUUAAUGUUCCGAUGGUUAAUUGAUUAAAAAGGACUAAAUUGCAACAAAGGUAAAAGUUUAAUUAUAGAUUAAAGAAAAGUUAAAAGGACUAAAUAGGUAAAUAUGCCAAGUCCCAUAAAUGAGGCGGCAUAUGCAUGAUAAAAUCUGAGAUUUUUUUUAAGUAUAUUAUUAUUUUAUUGUAAAUUAUAUUAUAUUAUUAUAUUAUAUUAUAAAUUAUAUUAUAUUAUUAUAUUUUAAAUAAACAAAAUUGUUGACAAAUGUAUGGGGUAUAUGAUGACAUGUGGACAAAUAAAAUACAUAUAUUAAUAAUUAUUACACAUUUACUUAUUAUUUAAGUAAAUAAUUUUAUAUUUUUAUUUUAUUGUUAUUAUAUUAAACUAAUGAAAUAAAAGAUAGAAAAGAGAAUAGAAACAGAAUAGCAUGGACGAAACAGAGAAGGAAAGAAGGAAAGAAAGAAAAGAAAGAAAGAAAAGAGAAAAUUGAGGUUUUGAGGUUCUAAGCUCAUUUGGUAAGUCAAUUUAAUCCAUUUUCUCUUAGUUUUGAUGUUUUUGGAAUCCUAGAGAUAAAUACUACUUGAUCUAUGUUGAUAUUUUGAAAGUUAGUAGAUUAUUAGAUGAUGUUCAUGUUGAAUAAAUUGAAGUGUUAGGGGGGUUAAAUUGAUUGAAUUUCAAGUUAGAAGUUAGUAAAUGAUUUAAUUGUAAAAUAAAGUGUAAGUUUUGAAAAGUAGGGACUAAAUUGAAAGAAUCCCGAAAUUAGGGAUUUAUGGUGAAAUUGAAGAGCUAAAUUGAGUUUGUAGUAAGAAUUAAGAGAGAAUAUGGAGUUAGAAUGGGAAAAUAAAAUUAAUAUUGAUAAGGGAUUAAAUUAGAAUUUGGGUAAAGUUUAGGUACAAAAGGAAAUAUUUUAAUAAAAUUGUGUAUUAAUGAUUUUUAAUUGUUUAAUUACGUAGCUAAUGUCGUGCAAGAGUUAUUAUCCGAGAAAGGAAAGGAGAAGGUGGACAAGGAUUGACUCGAGAGAAAUUUCGGUUAGUAUUAUCAUAAUUCAAAUCUAAUUAUUAUUAAUUAUUGUGUUUUAAUUAGAAUGUAUGGUAAAUAAAUAAAGUAAGAAAUUUGGUAUGAUAAUAUUUCUUUGAAUGGAGUAGAUUUCUAGUGAAUAUAAUUAUUGAGAUUAAGUACUGAUAUUGAACUGAAUGAAAUUAGAUUGAAUUGUGAUUAUAUGUGAGUAAUUGAGAUGAAUAUUGAAUUAAGAAAGUGAAAUUGAAAUGUGAUUAUUGAAUAGAAAUUGAAAUGGUUUGAAUUGAAUCAUUGAAUUGAACUGGAAUAUUGAAAUUGGUGAUUGAUAUGGAUUUUAUUGGAAUUGAAUUGAGAAAGUGGAAAUUGAUAUGUGAGACUGAUACUGAACUGAAUUAGGGAAUACUGGAUAUUGUUUUGAGUACCGAGUGAAUUAUGAAAAUACUGAAUAUUGUUAUGUAUAAUGCAUUGAAUUAUAAAAUUACUGAAGUAAUAAAUUACUAUAAUACUGUGAAAAUGAUUGAAAUAAGGAAUUUAUAAUUGAUACUGAACUAAGACGAAAAUUGUACUGAAAAGUGAAUUAAAUACCCUAUUAACUAGUCGGGCUAGUCGGAUAUAGUUGGCAUGCCAUAGGAUAUGGAAAAGUACGGGGUAUUUGCCGGCUUACUGAUCAGGCACGUAUGUGCCGACUACUGUUACUGUUACUGUUACCGUUACUGUUACAGAUUCAGCACUUUGUGUGUUGAAUACUGUUACUGUUACUGAUUCGAUACUUUGUGUGUCGAAUACUGUUACUGUUACCGUUACCGAUUCGGCACUUUGUGUGUCGAACACUGUUACCGUUACUGAUUAAUGUUACUGGUGUGUUUGGUUGGAAUCCGUGUAUCCGCCAAAGUCCGAGUCAAGUUAAUAGGGGUAAAUGGAUAAUUUUGAUAAUAUAAAUUUUAUUGAAUGAUCUUGAAUAUGAAUCAAAAUGAGAUAUUAAAUUGACAUAUGGAAAUAAAAUGUAUGAACUAGCGGUUCAAGAAAUAGAUAAUGAUAUAGUUCAUGAAAUGGUUUUGAUAGUAUGAGAUGAUGUAAAAUUAUAAGUAAAGAAAAGCAAAUUGAAAUAGCUAUUGUUGAGAAAUGAGAAGUGAAAAUAAAAUGACUUGAAAUAGUGAAAUAAUAUGAAAUUUUAAUACAAGUUAUUAAAACUUAUUUAUGGAUUUAAUGUACAAAUUGAGUGUUAAAAGAUCAUAAGUGUAAAUUGAUUAUAAAUGAACGAAUCGAAUUGAAAGAUAGCUAUUAUUAUCAUUGUUAUUGUUGAAACAAGUUGGUUUAAUGUAUUAAAUGUUUAUUGAAAGAUUAAUGGUAUAAAUUGUAUUAAGAAAUAGUGUAUGAGUUAAUUUGAAUACAAUUUUAUACAAGAUUUGAAUUAUUGCUUAUUGUUAUUAAUGAUCUACUUGAUUUAAAGUAUGAGAUAAUUAAUGAAUAAUUGUAGAUACAAAUUUAAUGUAUAUAAAUUAUCGAUUAAUGUUAUAAAUUUGAAUUAGGGUAAUACCACUGAGUAUUCCCAUGCUCAGCGUACGGGUUGUUUCCGUGCGCAGGUUAGUAGAAAGCCAGUGUCGCUCCAGCAUCCAAAGUAAUCCCGACUUCAGAGAAACUUUAGUGAUGUACCUUUCUUUUGAUAACGUGGCAUGUACCUAAGUAAUAUAUAUACCUAAGUAAUGUUUAUACCUAAGUGAUGUAUAGGAAUUAGUCAAUUUGAAUGUUUGUAUCUAUGAUUUUGCUAAACGAAGAUGUGUGAGUAUGUGAUAAUGUUUGGCUUUUAAAAUGGUUAAGUAUGAAUAUGUUUGGUAAUAUGUAUGUUUAGAUGAUAAAUCCUGUAUGGAAAUCAUGAAAGAGUAAAAAUUUGCAAAGAAACAGAUUUCAAGAAGCUACAGUGAUGUAACUUUGAAAAAUCACCUAGGAUAGUAUAAAAUGAAUUAGAGGGUGAAUGAUAUAUGGAAUUAAAGCUUGUUGAGUCUGUUUUCAUGGAAAAAUAACGGUUUAACAAAAGGAGUUUUAUAUUUUAAGAUAUGUGAAUUUUCGUGACACAGGGUCAGAACAGUUUUUGGUGUCCCCUGUUUUGAGUUUAGAAAAUCAUUAAAAAUUAUACAAAAAUAUUUAUGAGUUUUAUUUUACAUUCUUAGAUUCCUUAUUGAGUCUAUUUUCUGUAGAAAUAAGUGAGAACAUCAUAUGAAAAUCAUAUAGUGAGAAAAUUUAUUUUUAGUGGCAAGAGGUCAGGACAGUCAAGUAGUGAAACAGGGGAAAAUUUAACUAAUAAACUGUACUAAUUGGCUAAAUCAAAAAUUCUAAAAAUUUUAUAGUAGAAAGAUAUAUGAGUCUAGUUUCAGGGAAAAUUUGCGGAAUUAAAUUUCGAGUUCCGUAACUCAAGUUAUAAUUAAUUUAGUAACUGCUGCACGAUUGGACAGAUUUGCAGUAAAUAGUGAAAUUAAAUUUCAAACAAGUUUUUAUACUCCGAAUUAGUAAGAUAAGUUAAGUAACGCCUCGUGCUCGACUCCGACAACGGUCUCGGGUAAGGGGUGUUACAUUAAGCCUCAUUUAGGACCUCAGUUUGCAAGGCCUUCAACGGAGUGUAAUGGUGAAAAGGGGUCGAGGGAACUCUUUACAAGUGCUUUGGGCAGUAAUAAUAACGACACCCUAUUGUAGCUUCAUCUAAUCUCCACUAGGCAAACUGUCUAUUUGAACUUUUUGUUAAGCCUAACUGUGGGAUUGCCUCUAAGGAUGUUGUUGAGUUUAAAGUCAAAACCAAGGAUCAAAAACAACUAAAAUUUGUGUUGAAAGAUGAAAAACAGAAGCAAGAAUCGGAUGUUGAAGGAGAAAAGAAGUUUGACUUAUCUCAUUACUUCAUUAAGCAAAAAUAACAUGUACAUAUAUGGUUCUAUUACAUUGAAAGAAAAAAUAAACCUUGCUUGUGCAAGUAACUAACCUGUAACAUCAGCUUAAUGAUAACCUAAAACCUACUAAAAACUGCUAAGUACAUGGCUAACCUUAGCUAAUCAAAAAGUUACAAUCAAAUCAAACAUAUGUCACAUGUUACAAAAGUCAAAUGACUGAAAUACACUAUGGGUAUGUAACACCCCUUACCCGUAUCCAACGCCGGAACAGGGUUUGAGGCAUUACCAGAACACUUACACAUGUAAACCUAUUAAACCGAGUUACAAAAUUUCAUUCAAAUUUAAAACUUUCAAAAUUAUUAACAUGCUUUUAUAACUCUUCACAUUAUAUAUAUAUAAUGCAACAUUUUCUGCUAACCACACUAUCAAAUAAUGGAUUUACUCAAUCGAGCUCAAUAUCAGAUGUCAACUUAUAAUCCAACAUUUAACUUCAAUUGCACUUUCAGAUACUUUUUAAAUUAAGGAUCGUAUUACGGACUUGAGUACAUCGUCUGCCCGGUGUCACAAUUUGCUUGAAUUUUUUUUUUCACAAUGCUAUAACUCAGUAUGGUGUUCUUUAUUGAAACACCAUACUUACUUUUCACAUUUUGCCAUGGAUCCACCAUGGACUUAUCCGUCAAUUCAUCACUGAUUGCCGUACAUAUGUACUCAAUCCUGCGUGUCCAUUAAUUUGAACAAACAAUCUCAUUUUAUUCUUAUUUUUACCAUAAUUAUAAUUCAACAACAUUAUACUAAUUGAUACAUUAUACCAUUCCCACAUUAACGAUUAAUCAUAAAAGUUCAGCCAUAUGAACUUACUUUUCAUUAACUUUCCACACUCAUUUUCUAUGAACAUCACACAAGAUAUAAACAAAUCAUUCAACCAUAGUCGCGAGCUAGUGUAUUUAAACAUAACUCUUUUUGGGGCUAAUCACAUAACAAACCAUAUCAAUGCAUAACUUAUAAAUUUAACGUGGCAUGGUCUAUGUAACUACUUGGCCAAAGCCUAAGCAUGUAUACCAAAUAUGUUCACCAAAUAUACAUAUAACAUAAGCAUUAUAAGUAGGGAUAAGCACAACAUUUAUUCAUGUAUCGAGCUUACCAACAUGUUUUAAUUCAUAAACUCAUGGUCUUACUCCCUGCCAAAUCAUGUACCGAAUAAUUUAGCUUUCUUAACACAUUUAUUUGCUUUUACUAUUGCUCACAUAAGAUUUAUAGAGCAUAGAGCCUUGUAUAUAACACCGGCAUAAAGCCUGCUAGGCACCAAGCCCGAUACAUUUCACCGGCACAAAGCCUGCUAGACAUAAAGUCUGAUAUAAUUCACCGGCACAAAGCCUGCUAGGCAUAAAGCCUGAACUUACAAAAUCAGUCUUUCACAUAAUUCACAUCUAAUUUAAAUCAUUCUCGAAAUAUAAUCAAAUCACAAUAUUACAUUCGGCACUAGCUUAUAUAACUUCAAAUAAUUAAUUUCAUACAUUUUAUUGUCCUCCUCCUCCUCUCCAUUCCACAUCCUUUACGUAUAAAACAUGCUUAAAUAGUAUUAUACAUAAUUUCACUAUUCACUUAUAUUAAAAUUUAAAGCUCUCUAUUUGAAUCAGAGUCACUAAAUCAUAUUCAUCCGGAGCUACAGAGCUCCAAAUUAAGUUCCGUAAAUUUUCCCUGAAACUAGACUCAUAUAACUUCUUACCAUAAAAUUUCCAGAAUUUUUGGUUUAGCCAAUUAGUACAGUUUAUUCAUUCAAUUUACCCCUGUUUUGCUGUCCAACAGUUCUGACACUUCUUCACAACGAAUCAAUUUUCUCCUCAUAAAAAAUUCAUAUGAUGUUCUCGUUUAUUUCACUUGAAAAUAGACGUAUUAAGGAUUUCAAACAUAUAAAUUAUACUCCAUAAUUAUUUUUGUACAAUGUUUACUGAUUUUUCAAAGUUGGAAUAGGGGAUUCUGAAACUCAUUCUGACCGUGUUUCACCAAAAUUCAAAUAUCUCAUAAUUCACACUUCUUUUGCUUACUCUAUUUCUUUUAUAGAAAAAUAGACUCAUUAAUCUUUAAUUUCAUAUCUCACCCAGACUUUAAUUCAAUUUCUACUAUUUUUCGUGAUUUUUCAAAGUUAUACUAGUGCUGCUGCCCACAACUGUUUUAAGGUCAGUUUCACUCAUUCAAUAAUUAUUUGUGUUCACUUUCAUUUAUAUACAUUUACACCAAAGCAUAUUAUAUCUUGGCACAUAACAAUCAAGUGAUCAUAGACACACCUUACUUGUAAUAUUAGGGAUGUUCGGGAUAUCUCGUACACCUGGUAGGACGCCAAUGCCAUAUCCCAGAUAUGGUCUUACAUGGGAUCACAUAUCGGUGCCGAUGCCGUAAUGAAGUUGCACAAUUAGUGCUAACCAAAUUACUCUCGGUAUCGCACACUUAGUGCCCGUUAUUCAACAUCAUUAUUAUAAUUCCGCACACUUAGUGCCUAUUAUUCAACAUCAUCAUUUUAAUUUUACACACUUAGUGCCAUUCAUAUAGCCGUAGCUAUUCCAUACUCGCACACUUAGUGCUAAAUAUUGAUAAAUCACAUUCAUGUCUAUUUCUACUUUCCGAACUAAAAUACAUUCAGCUAUAUAUAUAUUUAUCAUAUUUCCAUUUCAGCAUAUAUAACUAACAUUUAUUCAGAAAUUUUAAUAUCUAAUUGCUUAUAAACUUACUUCGGAUGUCGUCGACUAAUUGAUCGGCUACUCAACUACUUUCGAUUUUCCCCGAUCUAAAUCCCAUUUCUUGUUUUCUUGAUCUUAACAUAUUCAAAUAAAUCUCAUUUUAACAUAUUUUCAUUCAAUUUAGUCUAAUAAAGCAUAAAUGGGCAAAUUACAUUUUUACCCCUAAUAUUUCGCACUUUUACAAUUUAGUCCUUAUUCCACAAAACACAAAAUAUACAAAAUUUGGCCACACUCCUUAAGGGCCGAAUCUUCCUAGUACCCAUAUAAGUCCAUACAUUUCAUUUAUUUCACCUUUGAGUCCUUCAAAAAUUUAUUUUUGUAAUUUAGCCAUAAUUACUCAAAAUCACCAAAAACUUCAACACAAAACAUAUUAAUCUUUAACAUAUCUUUCAUUUUUCAUCAACAACUAUCAAAAAGCUCAAGCACUCAUCAAUGGCAAAGCACAAAAUCAUCAUCAAUUCACAAAAUUGAAACAUGGGUUUUAAAGAACACAAAGCAACGAUAUCAAAAACGUAAAAAUUAUAAAAAACCGAACAAAAGACUAACCUUAAUCUAACUCCCAAUGGCCGAACCUUAGCCAAGCUUUUCUCUUUUUCUUCUUUCUCCAGUUUCGACAGUGGAGAAGAUGAUAUGAUAGUGGCUUCCUUUCUUUUUCUUUUUCUUUUUUUUUUAUCACAUAAUAAUAUAUUAUACCUUAUUAUAACAUAUAUAUUAUUUUAAUAAUAUAAGAAAACCAUAUACAUCACCUAAUGCCGUCCACUAACUUGGAAAAUGGCUUAAUUGCCACAUAGAACCUCCAAUUUAUAAAGACAAAAACAAUUAAGCACUUUUAUAUUUAACCCUCAAAUUUUCACUUUACGCAAUUUAGUCAUUUUCUCAAAUUAAGCAUACAACAGUAAAAUUAUUUCACGAAACUUUCAAAUAUAUAAUUUCACACAUAUUUAACACAGAAAAUAAUAUUAAAAUAUUUUUAGACUCGGAUUCGUGGUCUCGAAACCACUUUGUCCGAUUAGGGUCAAAAUUGGGCUGUUACAGGGUAUUAGCAUGUUGUAUGCAAGCUGUUGCAUUAUGGCUUGGACGCUUGCAUGCUGCUGAUAUGUUGCCAACUUUCAACACUCCUUCUUGGCUAUAAAACAGCAGACUCCAAUUUUCUUCUUCAAAUACUCGAACCUUGUGGCAGCCAAUGGCUUGGACAAAAUGUUUGCGAGCUGAACCUCCGAGCAGUAAUGGAUCAAGUUGAUUUUCUUUGACAAUUCUGCCUCCCUUACAAAAUGAUACUUAAUCUUGAAGUGUUUAGUCUUGCCAUGGAAUACAGGAUUCUUGGCAAUAGCAACAGCUGACUGAUUGUCAACCUUGAUCUAUGUUGCUUCCACUUGAUUAGCAUUCAAGUCACUUCAAAGUUUCCUAAGCCAAAUUGCUUGAUUAAUAGCAGUAGCAGCUGCAAUAUACUCUGCUUUUAUAGUGGAUUGAGCUACUGUCUGUUGCUUCUUAGAACUCCAACUAAAAACACUUGAGCCUAGAGUGAAGAAGUAGUCUGAUGUGCUCUUCAUAUCAUCAACUGAACUAGCCCAAUCACUGUCUGAAUAGCCAACCAGUUUCAGUUCUUCAGCUUUCUCGAACUUCACACCAUAGCCUAAGGUCUCUUUGACAUACCUUAAAACUCUUUUAGCAGCCUUGAAAUGAGCUAUAUUGCAGCAAUGUAUGAACCUCGAUAGAAGGCUGACUGCAUACAUGAUGUCUGGCCUUGUUGCUGUCAAAUAGAGUAGGCAAUCAACCAGACUUCUAUACCUUUUUCUCAUCAACUCGAGCAUGAUCAUUGUUGCUGGAGAGUUUUUCUCCCUGUGCCACAGGAGUGCUAGCAAGUUUGCAAUUUGUCAUGCAAAACUUGCUUAAAACCUUCAAUGCAAAUGCUUGUUGGCUUAUGAAGAUACCAUGUUCAUUCUGAUUCACCUCCAUACCAAGAACGUAGGUCAUCAAUCCUAGAUCAGUCAUCUCGAAAACAUCUUGCAUCUGCUUCUUGAAUUCUUCAAUCAGCUCACUCCUACAACCAGUAACCAAUAAGUCAUCCACAUACAGAGACACAAUCAACAAGGUUUCCUUUUCAACCUUCUUCACAUAGAGUGUAGUCUCAGUAAUUCUCUUCUCGAACCCCAGCCUAGACAAGUAUGCAUCAAUCCUGUCAUACUAGGUCCUUGGAGCCUGUUUUAGGCCAUAUAAGGUCUUCUUGAGCUUGUAGACUUUGUGCUCUUCACUAAGAACAUUGAAUCCAUCAGGUUGUUCAAAAAAGAUCUCUUCCUUGAUAAAUCCAUUCAGAAAAGCUAAUUUAACAUUCAGUUGGUGAAUUUUCCACUGCUUUUGAGCAGCCAAGGCAAAUAAUAGCCUUAUGGUGUCCAACCUUGCAACAGGUGCAAAGGUUUUAAAGAAAUCGAUGCCAUGUUGCUGAUUGUACCCCUUCACAACCAACCUAACUUUGUGCUUGUUCAGUGACCUAUCUGCAUUGUGUUUGGUCCCGAACAUCUGUUUCACACCAAUAACCUUUCUAUUUUGUGGUCUAUCAACCAGCUCCCAUUUGUCAUUUUUGUAGAUCAUCCUUAAUUCAGCCUCCAUAACUUUUUUUCUAACAACCAUCCAUUGUAGCUUCAUCAAAGUAGGAAGGCUCAACAAUGGUCAUACCACACCUCUCAUAGAUGUCCAUUAAGGUUCUAAUGCCUCUGACAGGUGCAUCAUCAAAAUCAUCCUCAGUUUCAGCUUCAAUUUCAGCAUGCUGCAGAUCAAGAUCAUGCUGGUCUUGCUCAGACAAGUUUGCAUCUGUUCCAUCCCAUUUCCAACAGCUCCCUUUAUUGAAUUUCACAUCCCUGCUCACAACAAUCCUCUUAGUAGAUGGAUAAAAAACGUCGUACCCUUUCUUCACACUGUUGUAGCCAACAAAGACUCCAGGCAUAGAUCUCUUUUCUAGCUUAGUUCAGUUGGAACUAGUAUAUAACAUAAGAAGCCAAACAACUUCAAGUGUGAGACAGCUGGUUUUUGUCCAAACCAGGCUUAAAAGGUGUUUUGCCUUUGGCUAUAUUAGUUGGCAGCCUAUUUAGCAAAUACACAGAGGUAUAUACUGCCUCAGCCUAAAAAUUGUUAGGCAUCUUGCCUUCAAACAAUAGGCACCUGGCCAUAUCGAGAAUAGUUUUGUUCUUCCUCUCACAAACAUCAUUCUGUUGUGGUGCUUAGAUUGUGGUUAAUUGGUGCUGAAUUCCAGCUUCAUCACAAAUCUUCUAGAACCUUUGAGAUACAUAUUCAGUCCCAUUAACAGAUCUUAAUGUUUUCAACUUGCAACUGGCUUAAUUAUCAGCCAAUGCCUUGAACUUGCAAAAGAAGUCAUCCACAUCUGACUUUUGUUUCAAAAAGCUCACCCAAUAGAAUCUGGUGUAAUCAUUAAUGAAUAAUGCAAAAUACCUAUUGUCAUUCAAAGAGGAGGUUUUCAUAGGUCCACAAAUAUCUGUAUGGACCAGUUAGAGCCUCUCUUAAGCUCUCCAGACUUUGUUAACAGAAAAAGGCAGUCUAGUUUGCUUGCCAAGCUGACAAACCUCACACACAUCAUUCUUAGGCUCAAUCUCAGACAUGUCUUCAACUAAACUCAUCUUGUGCAGCAAGUCAAGUGACUUAUAGUUCACAUGCACAAGUCUUUUGUACCACAAACAUGAUUCAUCAGUUGGAGCUGUAUGUGCCUUUGCUUCUAACUGUUUCACAUUCAAAGUGAAAGAUCUGUCAUGCAUAGCUACUGUCACUAGCACUUGAUCAAAAACAUCAUUGAUCACACAAGUUUUUCCUUCAAAAAUAAGGGAGUAACCCUUCUCUAACAACUGACCAACACUAAGUAGAUUCUGGUCAAUAUCAGGUACAAAAAGAACUUUUUAGAUGGUUUUGUUACUUAACUGAGUGCAAAUCAUAGUCUUGCCCUUACCUUUGGCCUUGAUGAACUCACCAUUCUCUUUGACACAAAACUGGUGUUUAGCUCCCUUAACAUGCCUUUGUCUGAAGCUAUAUGAUGAGUGCAGCCACUGUCAAUCAGUCAAUGCUUCUUGACUUUGCUCAAACUUGCAAAACAAGAGGCAGUAAAAACAUGCUCCUCUUGAGCUUGAACAUCCUCAGCAGCCUGAGCUUGAUUCUGCUACAGUGGUUAUGUUUUUGCCUUAUUCUUGUAAACAUUGCGGCUUCUACAUUGAAUGUCCGGCUUGUACCAGCAGUAUUUUUCCAAAUGAGUGGACUUCUUGCAAUGAGUGCAUGGUGGAAACUUCUUUUUGGCAGCAUCUUUUUUCCCUUUCUCUUUCUUUUCUGGCCAAAGCUUCUUGCCCUUGCAACUUGAGCUGAAGCUUGAGCUCUCUUUGCUCCUGGCCUGAAAGGCUCCUUCAGAAUGCUCCUCUAUUCUGUUUGCUCUUCUUUGCUCUUAUACAUAGAGAGCAUUUAUCAGCUUUAUCAAGGGUAUAGCUGAUAGGUCCCUCGAGUCUUCCAAAGAGGUGAUUUUUGAGUCAUACUUCUCUGGAAGAGUUGUAAUGACCUUUUCAACUAUCCUUUUGUCACUAAACUCAUCUCUAAGUAGUCUUAUGUUAUUGAAUGUGGCCAUAAUCCUGUCAGCAUACUACUUGAUGGUUUCAGACUCCUUUAUUCUCAAAUUCUCGAAGUCUAUUCUUAAGUUUAUCAACUGCUGCUGCCUGGUCUUGUCUGACCCUUGAAACUCUUCCUUGAGUCUAUCCUAGGCCUACUUUGGAGUGUCACAAGCCAUUAUCCUUGUGAAAAUAACAUCUGAAACUCUAUUUUGAAGGCAUGACAUAGCCUUAUACUUUUUGGCAUAGUCUUCAUUAUGUUGCCUGAUUUAAGCUAUGGUUGGGCUAGCUCUCAAAGGUGGUGGCUCUGUGUCUGCUAGAACAACACUCCAUAGAUCAUGAGCCUGCAAAUAUAUCUUCAUUUUCACAGCCCAAAUGUUGUAGUUCUUGCCAGCAAAGACAGGUGGUGGUGGUGGUGGU
rnacentral:lncRNA from 1 species